GGAGUUGUUGCUGCUUGGCGGCGGCGAAAGCUAGGCGGGUCUGGCGGAAGGAGGAGACGGCGACGAGGGCCCGGGCAGGCGGGAACCAUUCUCGGGUUUGGAGCAGGAUGUCGGAUCCAUUGGCGGGUUGAAGAGAGAGGGCUAAGCAGGACAUGGUGUGAUCGGAUCAAGGUCGGAUCGGAUCCAGGGCCUCGGGUUGCGACGUUUUGCUUUGCUGUGAUUCCGUGAAGUUGCGAGAGAUGAUGACUCGGUGAGACUCCGGUGGGGAAAGCUCACAGUUUGAUGGGGAAGACGGUGGUUAUGGGCCGGAGGGGAAUUUAACAGGCCGGCCUCACCUAGAUGCAAAUGACUACCCGCUGGCCCAUUUAGCUCAAGCAUUGAUCCAAUUUCAUUAUUAUUUAAUUAAUUUGUCUUAAUUUCUAAGUUAGGAGAGUAUUCUUCUUGAAAAGAAAAAUUAGGAGAUUAUUCUUUUGGUCAAUCAGAAAACGGAAAUGUUUUUUUUUAUGCAACGAUAUCCAUCACAAUGGGCAAGCCAUUCAGUAGGCAUCAAACGCAACACAAAUAUAAUACGUCUUCCCUAUUUGUGUGAGUCGAACUUGAGACAUCUCACGUAUAAAUGAAAAAGAAUAUUACUACGACGUAGUACUAGUUUGUUAAAGUAAAAAAUAUUGAACAAUUACUUCAUAGCUUUUGAGGCGAAAACUGAGCCUUCUUCUAUGGAAAUGCAUCCAAAGGUGAACUUAAUUGGUGCAUUCAAUUAAUGAUGUUUGCCCAAGUAGGAGAUUAAUGUUAGAGCUUUCAGGCUUGAGUCACCAACAUGUGUCUUCUAUGUGCCUUGAUCAAGGGUGAACCCAUGAUGCAUUAAUAGGAAAGAAGAGUGCUAGUGAGAUGACGUUUUAAACGCUCUCUAAUAGAGGUAGGAUUUACUUGUACUCUAUGAGAGAGAGAGAGAGAGAGAGAGAGAGAGAGAGAGAGAGAGAGAGAGAGAGAGAGAGAGAGAGAGAACAUAUAUAAGCAUACACCCACAUUAGGUGUAAGGAAAACUUAGGAGAAUAUUCUUUUGGUCAAUUAGAAAACGGAAAUGUUUUUUUUUUUUUUUUAUCAACGAUAUUCAUCAUAAUGGGUUAGCCAUUUAUUAGGUAUCAAACUCAACACAAAUAUAAUACAUCUUCGUUAUUUAUGUGAGUUGAACUUAAGACAUCUCAUGUAUAAAUGAAAACGAAUAUUACUAAGCCGUAGUAAUAGUUGGUAAAGUAAAAAAUAUUGAAUAACUACUUCAUAGCAAAGUUCUAAAAAACGUUAGGCGUUAGGCGGGCGGCGUGCUGGCGCUUAGAGCCUAGGCGGUUAAGGGGGGUCUACACAGGCGCCUAGGCGGAUUUAGGUAAAUUUCUUGUAUAUCUUGUAAAUAAGUGUAUACUGACACUUACAAAAAAUCAUACUUAUAUGAAAUUCCUGAAUAAGAUAGAGGAAUUAAUUUGCUCUCAUCUUCGCAAGAACACAGACCAGAAAUUGAAAAACCAAAACACAAACUAGAAGCAUUCAUCCUUUCUCAAGUUCAAAUGCAGAAAAAAUUGAAAUUCUCAAACCGCUUAGGCUGCCCAAGGGCCACUCAGGCCGCCUUGGCGCCCGCCUAAUACCUGUCCCAAUUUUGCUCUAGAUUUUGCAUUAAUCUCGGUUGUUGGCCACCACUCAGCGCCUAGGCCGAUUUUUAGAACACUGCUUCAUAGCUUUGAGGCAAAGCUGAAUUGGGAGGCCUCACAGCCAAACUGAGCCUUCUUCUAUGAAAAUGCAUUAAUGGGUGAACCCAAUUGGUGCAUUCAGUUAAAGAUGUUUUCCCAAGUAGGAUAAUGUUAGAGCUUUUAGGCUCAGAGUCAUUAACAUGUGUCUGCUAUGUGCUUUGAUCAAGAGUGAACCCAUGAUGCAUUAAUAGGAAGAAGAGUGCUAGGGAGAUCACAUUUAAACUCUCUAGUAGAGAUAGGAUGUACUUAUACUUUAUUAGAGAGAGAGAGAUAGUGCGUUUGCAUAUGGUUUACAAUAUGUGAUCUCCUUAACAUCACUCUUGCUAACUGACUGAUAUAGUUACGAUGCAUUCCCGAUAUUUUAAUGUGAUUGGGAUUCCUAAGUUAUGUCGGUUUGGGGCUGAGCCAACUUGUGUUAGGUAUUUUCCAUGAUUGGUUGGAAACUAAUCUAGCACUUAUAUAAGCUAACACAAGUUGGAAAAAGUUUUCUUAUUGAGUAUCUAUCUGAGUACUGUCUUCUUACGUAUCUUAUGUUAUUUAUGAAUCUUAUUUAUCAAGACAUACAACACAUAAGUAGGCAUUGCCACAUUGCGUAGAAGAAUGUAUUCUUGAUAGGAGCAUAUUUAUGCCACUUAGUGAGCUUGUUUCUUGGCAUUUACUUAGUUUAAUUCUAGUUAUUUUAGUACUUUAAGCUAUUUUCGUGUGUUUGUAGGUUCAAAUAACAAAGUUGGCAACAAAGUGCUAUUUGGAGCACUUUGGAGCAUUUUUGGGCCAAGAUUGGAUAGUGCAAGCAUGGAGACAUGAGGAUGGACGUUUUUGAAGAUUAAAAGGUUAGAAAUCAGCAUGUGUGUGUGCAAGUGUGUUGACCUACAACUACAAACACUCAUCCACUACACCCAUUACAUCCACUCAUUACCAAACACUUAUCCACUACACCCAUUACAUCCACUCAUCCACUACACCCAUUACAUCCACUCAUUACCAAACAUCCAUCCACUACACCCAUUACAUCCACUCAUUACCAAACAUCCAUCCAUUACACCCAUUACAUCCACUCAUUACCAAAACUACACCUAUUACAUCCACUCAUUACCACAAAACACUCAUCCACUACACCCAUUACAUCCACUCAUUACCACAAACACUCAUCCACUACACCCAUUACAUCCACUCAUUACCAAACAUCCAUCCACUACACCCAUUACAUCCACACAUCCAUCCACUACACCCAUUACAUCCACUCAUUACCAAACAUCCAUCCACCACACCCAUUACAUCCACUCAUUACCACAACACUCAUCACUACCACCUUAAUUAGAUGGUGGUCCUCUCCCUAGCCUAUAAAUACAUCCACCCUUCACCAUAACAAGGGGGAAGAAAACCAGAGCAGAACACAAUCCACCAAUCCACCCUUCACCAUAACUCACCUAUAUCCAUCCACCACCAUAAUUUACCACUCAUCCAUCAAACCACACCUUGUGCCGCAACAGAGAGAAGAAGGAGGACCCUUGGAUGUGCUUGCCAUUCAAGUUGGAUUGUUUGAGCGUUUUUAGGUGUUUUCUUUCUUUUGUUUUCAAUGUCUAAAUUUGUUUAUCUUUGCUUUAUAAGUAUGAGGAACUAAACCCCCCUUAGCUAGGGGGGAAUUCGAAACCAUUUUCAUGCUUGAAAUAUGAUUUGAUUACCUUCAGUUAUGAUUUCAUAAGUUGUGAAUUCAAUUUGUUUCACUGCUUGAUUGAUAACUUAUUCGUGUAUGUUUAUUAAGAGUGCACAUUUAGUUUGCAUGCAUGAAUAUGAUGCUAGAGUAUAAGGGAGUUUCACCUAAUAGUUACAAACUUAUAUUCACAAGUAGUGGAGGUCGCUUAUAAACGAUCGCGUUAAAUAAAUUCUUAGCAGGAGUUUCAUGCUCAUCAUAGUAACGAAUGCCUUGUCAAUACUUAUAGUUUUCAUAAUGCUUAAUGAUCUUUGAUUGUAUCUUUAUUGUGUUGUUCAUGUAAAGAACUUUUGAAGAAUGCUUGAAUUGUUGUAUGCGCUUUCCCAUCCAAUUCAAUAGCAUAAGGAGAACUUGAAGGUUAAUUUAAGCGGACUUAAUUAACCUGGGGUGUUGAGUUUCAUGAUUGAUCGAAAGAACAACUGAAAAUUGGUUUAUGUGCAAGUAUGUCAUGUGUGGAGAAGAACCUCCUAGCUAGCCUUCCAUCCAUUCAAUUUACCCAAAUUCAUGCAGAUUUCAUUAGUUCUUUAAUUUACUUUUUUUGUUUUCAAAUUCGUCAAAACCAAAACCCCCUUUACUUUAAAGUGUUUUAUUAGUCAAAAUCUAUUUUGAUUUGUGUUUUUAGGUGUCCCAAAAGUGUGUUAGAGUCCAAAUCUGCCCAGUUUGUGUUUUUAGGCAGAUUUGAGCGUUUUUAGCUUGCUUUGAGUCCUUUUAGUUUGUAUUGCAUCUUUUGAGUCUAGUUUGGUGUUUUAAACUUAAUUUUACGUUUUUAAGUCAGUUUCAAGUGUUUUAGCAAUCCCUCCUAAUCCCCGGCCUAGAACGAUCCCUACUUACAUUCUUUACUACAAUUGACAACAAGAGGGUUUAAUUUGUGUGUUAAGUUAAUUUUAGCAUCAAUUCUCCUUAUCCACUUGAAUUCGGCUCUCCUUUUUACAGUACAAGAUUAAUUUAAAAACAAAUGAACGAAAUUGGUAAAAGCAUUACUGACACACCCUGACUCAGAAUGUCCACUAGGACCCUGAAUCGAGCCGUGCUGGUCAACACCUGGAAGGUGCCGGCCUCACCUAGAUGCAAAUGACUACCUGCUGGCCCAUUUAGCUCAAGCAUUGAUCCAAUUUCAUUAUUAUUUAAUUAAUUUGUCUUAAUUUCUAAGUUAGGAGAGUAUUCUUCUUGAAAAGAAAAAUUAGGAGAUUAUUAAAUGGAAAUGUUUUUUUUUAUGCAACGAUAUCCAUCACAAUGGGCUAGCCAUUCAGUAGGUACCAAACUCAACACAAAUAUAAUACAUCUUAACUAUUUAUAUGCGUCGAACUUGAGACAUCUCAUGUAUAAAAGAAUAUUACUAGGGCGUAGUACUAGUUUGUUAAAGUAAAAAAUAUUGAACAAUUACUUCAUAGCUUUUGAGGAAAAAACUGAGCCUUCUUCUAUGGAAAUGCAUUCAAGGGUGAACCCAACUGGUGCAUUCAAUUAAUGAUGUUUGCCCAAGUAGGAGAUUAAUGUUAGAGCUUUCAGGCUCGAGUCAUUAACAUGUGUAUUCUAUGUGCCUUGAUCAAGGGUGAACCCAUGAUGCAUUAAUAGGAAAGAAGAGUGCUAGUGAGACAACGUUUUAAACGCUCUCUAAUAGAGGUAGGAUUUACUUGUCCUCUAUGAGAGAGAGAGAGAACAUAUAUAAGCAUACACCCACAUUAGGUGCAAGGAAAAUUUAGGAGAAUAUUCUUUUGGUCAAUUAGAAAACGGAUUUUUUUUUUAUCAAUGAUAUUCAUCAUAAUGGAUUAGCCAUUUAUUAGGUAUCAAACUCAACACAAAUAUAAUACGUCUUCGUUAUUUAUGUGAGUUGAACUUAAGAUAUCUCACGUAUAAAUGAAAAAUAAUAUUACUAAACAGUAAUACUAGUUGGUUAAAGUAAAAAAUAUUGAAUAACUACUUCAUAGCAAGGUUCUAAAAACCGCUAGGCGCUAGUUGGGCACUGGGUUGGAGCCUAGUGCCAAGGCGGCUAGGCGGCUAGGCAGGGUCUAGGCGGCCUAGGCAGAUUUAGGUAAAUUUCUUAUAUAUCUUGUAAAUAAGUGUAUACUAACACUUACAAAAAAUCAUACUUAUAUGAAAUCCCUGAAUAAGAUAGUUAAAGAAUAAUAAAAUGUGUAUCUAACAAGUCCAAAAAAUCAAUAGCACUUGAUGCUGGGAACUGAUAGCCUGACAAUCUAUGUUUUUUUAAUGAGAAAAAAAAAUUAAUAGCACUUGAUGCUAUGGAUGAACUAACAGCCUUUUUACUUAGAAAAAAAAAACUAAAUAGUUUAAAAGUGAUCACGUGGGUGUGGAAGGAAGAGAGAAACUAAUUUUCUCUCAUCUUCUUCUUCUUCGCCAAACAAGAAGCAUGAAGUCCAGAAACUGAAAAACCAAAACACAGACUAGAAGCAUUCAAGCUUGAGUCAUUAACAUGUGUCUUUUAUGUGCUUUGAUCAAGGGUGAAUCCAUGAUGCAUUAAUAGGAAAGAAGAGUGCUAGUGAGAUCACAUUUUAAACACUCUCUAAUAGAGGUAGGAUUUAUGAGAGAGAGAGAGAGAGAGAGAGAGAGAGAGAGAGAGAGAGAGAACAUAUAUAAGCAUACACCUACAUUAGGUGUAAGGCAAACUUGAAACAAACUAACUUGCUUGAGUUAGGUGGCACUACUAGGGGUCUGAUUGCAGUUACAAGGAAACCAGAUUUCAACAAAAUCCUGUUCGUCGACGAUAAACAAAGUUAUUAUAUAUGCAGUUGCAAUGAUCUCGAUCCAAAUCACACAACAAACAGAUAGAGAAGGAAACAAAAUUGGCUAGCUUGUAGAGCCUUCUCUUCACUCCCUAUGAUAAGAGAGAUUAUGUGACUAGUUAUGGGGAUUUCAGUCAGAGCACGAAAGUCUUGCACCAGAUUCCAAAUUGCCUUUCUACGCCAUGUUCCUUUCUUGCCACAAUAAGAGCAGCUGCAAAUUUAGUCACAUCUGUAGUGUUAACAAGAGGAAAUAAUCCACUAUAGAGAAGGAAAAAAAAUGGCCACAUUGUUUUGGUUAAUAUUUGAACAUUGGGCUUAAAUGACGGAAAGCCUAAGGAUGCCAAUUGAAAGAGGACUUGCCCGAAGCCCAGCAUUAGACCCAUAAACAAAUUGAGGCUUUCUCAGCCAAGAGACACAAGCCACGUGUCUAUAUUGGAAGUGACAAGUGAUGGAGACUAACAUACUAUCAACUAAAUAAGACUUUCCAGUGGCAUUGCUAGUAGAAAGUUGAUGACUCACUACCCUCCAAAUGCUUUCGGGCAAGAGCAAAAGCUACAGUAGUUGGGCCAAACCGCCUAUAAAAGGAAAAAGAGGCCUGUAAGACCUCGUAUUUUAAAAGUAAAUAUUUUAUUAUUAUUAUUAUAUACCAUGUGCCUAGCUCCUAUCAGUACUGUUUGUACCAUACUUGACCAACCCCGAAACUACUAAGCACCGGUCAACAUUAUACCACCAAGGACCCACAAGAGUCUCCCUCCAACCAGGAGGCCAAUCACAACGCGACACAUGUCAACACCAGAGGCCAAUCAUAACGCGACACGUGUCGACAUCAGAGGCCAAUCACAGCAUGACACGUGUCAAUGUCAGAAUGAAACUAGAAACUCUCUUUUAUAAAUAGAGAUCAUUCUCUCACAAUAUUUCCUAAUGUCAUUUGUACUAAAUCAUUCACUAGUACUCACUAAAAGAGAGCUUGAACCUAUGUACUUGUGUAAACCCUUCACAAUUAAUGAGAACUCCUCUACUCCGUGGAUGUAGCCAAUCUGGGUGAACCACGUACAUCUUGUGUUUGCUUUCCUGUUCCUAUCUAUUUACAUACUUAUCCACACUAGUGACCGGAGCAAUCUAGCGAAGGUCACAAACUUAACACUUUAUGUUGUACCAAAGUCCUCACUGAUUUUGUGCAUCGACCUUGAUGAUAUAGGAUACUUUUGCUGUUGACAAAGUAGUGAAUGUAUCGGCACGUGUUCUAUUACGCUUGUCUCCACAUGCUUCCUUGUAUCCUUCUCACUUGCCCUAUCUGUUCCUCAGGUAGAUGUGGUAUCUUCUUUGGAAGCAUAAGAUGUUGAAGAUCUCACUGAUUUUGUGCAUCAACAAGCACAAAUCUUAAUUAUCUUGGGAGAGAGAAAUGGGUGAUUAGUAAGCACUCUAGUGUGCUGAUUUUACAAGGUUAUUUACCUAGACGUGUCAUCUUUUGCACACAUGCAAUUGACACCAUGCAUAACUAGUGACUAAGAUAUUGAUACUACAAUAGGUGUCGCAAGAAAAGCAUUACCUUCAUACACACGUAGGAGUUUACGGAUAGGACUUCAUAUAUUUUAUUGUAUAUUUUCCUUGGACCUCAAGUCUUGGAGCCGUUCUAUUUCACUAUAAAUAAGAGCUUUGCUUCAUUGUUUUUGGAGCAUAAAAAGAAGGAAACAUGCAGAGCAUGCAUUAUGUAGAGAUUGGUGUGUGUAUAUACAUACAUACAUACAUACAUACUUGUAUAUAUAUAUAUAUAUAUGUGUGUGUGUGUGUGUGUGUGUGUGUGUGUGUUGUGCAUAUAUAUUUAUAUAUAUACUUUAGAGUGAGAGCUUAGAAAGAAAAGAAAAAGGGAAAGCUAGUUUGAGGUGUGCGGAGAUGUUAGUUGGGUUGUCUUGCCAAAGCUUGGAUUAUUGAGGUGAGUGGUUUAUGUAAUGUGUUUCAAAGUAUUCUUAUUUUCUGAUAAAUGAAAACCACGAACUAUUGUGGGUUUUAUCUAUUUAUAAAUCUCUAUCUAUUUCAAGUCAAGCAUGUUGGAUUUGUUGAAAUACUCUUGGAAUUAUUAUAUAUCGUGAUAUGUGGAUUAUUUGGAAAUGUUCAUGGAGCAUGAGAACUUUGGUGUUACAUUAAUCCAAGGGAUAAAUGUAAACUGCACACGGGGACAUUAGGGCAGGUGGCCAUUAGGAGUCACGUGGUGAGUUACAAUUUAUGAAGGAUAUAAUGGACACAUAAAGGGAUGAUGUGAUAUGGAAUUAUGUGGCUAAAGCUUUGAUAGUAUUAUCCUAUUUUAUAGUGUGAUUAAAAUGGCAAGCUUGACUGGCAUAUUAUAUAUUCUACUCACUGAGGGACGGUGGUUGUUGCUCACCCCUCACCUAUUAUUUUACAGAUGAGUUAUUUGACAAGACAGAUGUUGGACGAGCUGAGGUUGUGAUUGUGGAGAAGUUUAAGGAUUUUAGUUUAUUACUACUUUGUACACCCUGUAAGGUUUUGGAGUUAUUUUAAUAGGAGGAGUUCAUUUUCCAACCCGUGUCAAUUUCCUUUUUAUUUAUUUAUUGAGAUUUUAACUCACAUUUCGGAUUUAGGUUCGAGUUUUAUUACUGACUCCGGGUCCGGGGCGUGACAAGGCCCCAGAGACAAAGACACUCAACCAAUCAAACAAACAAACAUACAAACUCUGCUCUCAAGCUAGAUUUGCAUCCAAAAGUUGAAAUUAACCCAAAAUCAAUCAUUUUUAAGCGAUAGUUAUCUGAAAAGCUAUCUCUUGUCUAGUAUAAAAGCUUUGGUACCUCACUUAGUAGUGUACUAUCUAUUCCCUUGUGUAAACUUGUUUACCAUACGUCCCUUUUUAGCAUACAAUCUUUGUAAACUCAAAGACAAGUGACUGCAAGAGGUUCAACCUUUCCAGACAAGGUGAAGUCUUGCCCAAGUUUCUUUGUUUGUUUUCUAAAUUAGUAGAUAUAUUGCUUAGUAUACUUUUCAACAUGUAUUCAAGCCAUUUCCACUUGUGUUGUCAUUUUGAGAGUCCUAUUUGCAUAUGGAUCUGGUUAACUUAAUGAAUAUGUUUUCAUUAAAAGCAAUUUAGGACCAAAUAGAUGACUUAAGGGGCACUAGACUCCCUUCAUUCGAACAUACAAAACCAUGAACUAAAAGUCCUUGUUUACAACGCAAGAAAAAGAACUUAAUGUGGACUUAACCCAUCCAUGACAAUCAUUUGAUAACAAGAAGUUUGAGUAACUUAGGGCGCAAGUAACCGACUUAAAACACACUUAUUCUACAUCUGCUAUACCGAGAUAGCAGUGGCAUGUCUAGCACUUCGUUAGUUUUGACUGCAAGCCUCAAGACCUACACCUAAGGCCCCACAAAGGCACAUUUCAGAACUAACUUUGUUCUCUUCUUGUAGCACAUCAACAAGUAAGAACCCGACUACACAUCUAAAGUGUCAAUCCCUUGGGGAGCUAUGCUGAGGUUUGAGGAUCCUUCUUCAGAGAAAUAUUUGCCCGAACAUAGUUUUGGCACGCUUGGUGGGAUCAUAUUAGUCUUAUAUGCCAAGAAGGAGAAAUAAUGAACGAACCUUAAGGUGGAACACAAAGUAUGGACCACCCCAUUGUUUACCAAGAUAAAAAAUGACAAAUCAUCCAGAAGAUUUCCCCUCUUUACGAGGACCAGCUAUUCUGGAGAGUCAGACUUCAUCUGAGAAGUCAGGAGGAAAGGUGACCAAUGAAGACUUACAAGCCACCAUGAUGCAAGUAUUGAAAGCUAUGGAAAAGAUUAAUUGGGAACUAAAGGAGAAGUGAGUAGGCUCUGUUCCUUAAUAGGGAGUCUAUAAAGAAGAUUAGAUUUGGAGUACUUUACUCCAAAAAGUGGUUAUGCCAAGGAAAUGAUGAGAAAACAAGCCCUGAGAAAGAACCAGAUCCCCCUAUUUCCUUUGCUUGAGGAAAAGAAGGAUAAGGGAAAAAAUAAGGAGGGAUCUGGAAUUAGUCAGCCAGUAUUAGAGGAAAUCCGGGAAACAGAGUUGCCCGACGCCCUAUUAUUUUCACUAGAUAGUGGGGGGCAAAGUGAGCAAGAAAGAAAGAAGUAUGGGAUGCUCUAGUUAAUCGGAGAAUCCAGCAGGAAAGGUGAACUCAUAACUAUAGACAAACUUCCCCCUUAUAGGCCACCACCAUUGGCUAAUAAGGGAGGAGGGGCCAGAUGGAGGAAGCCCGAACAAAAAAAAGAAACUUUCUCGGGCAAUGAUUGUAGCCCGAAGUGGGAACUUCCUCAUACCCUACAUAGCAAUACAACCAAUCAGCAACUCAGAAAUGAGUUAGCCGAGUUAAGAAUGAUGAUAGUCCAGAAUGCUCAACCUCAAUCUCACCCAUUGUUUAGGAUCACCUACCAUAAGCCAUAUCCCGAGUAUAUUGAUGAGCAGAAUCCUUUUCCCCUCAACUUCAAGAUGCCCGCGUUCCCCACUUUUAGUGGAGAAGAUGGUAGUGUAUCCUCUAGAGAUCACAUUUUCAAGUUCUCCAACCAUUGUGUAGCAUUUGAAGACAAUCCUAAUUAUAAGUUAAGAUUGUUUGGGAACUCAUUGCUUGGCCUAGCAUCUCAGUAGUAUUCAUUGUUGCCCCUCAAUUCCAUUGCUAACUAGGGGCAAAAAGAGAUGUCUUUUUUAUGAACAGUUUUAUAGGAUGGAGCCCGAGAUGACUAUCAACGAUCUAGUGGAGGUAAAACAAUAUGAGCAUGAGUCUACAAAAGACUUCAUGAUGACGUUUAAAAAGACAAGGAUGAGGUGCCAAUUCCCUAUCAAUCAUGCCCAACUUAUAUCUAUUGCUCAGAAGGCUUUAAGGUUACCUUUGAGGAAAAUGUUUUAUGAUGUAUAGUUCAAUGAACUGCAAGAGUUGGUGAUUGCUGCCACAAAGUAUGAGAAGCUGUUGAUUGAUGAACAACAAGUAAAACACUCAUCCAAGGUGCCUCAUUUCUACAAAAAUAAAGUUGUAAUUCACCAAGUAGAGUUUGAAAGAAUAAAGCUAGAAGGAGGUGAUGGUCAUGGAUGAGAGGGAAUCGAGAUAUGUUCAACAAAGAUGACUACUCCCUUUAAACCUCUAAUAGUGAAGGGAUUGGUCCAGCCAGUCAAAGACCAGAAGGUGGUAAUGAAUGAUGGCUGAUUUGUACCUAUGAAGCCCCCAAGUAUCAGAGUUAUUCUUUUGAUCUAACCAAGGCCUUAGAAAUCUAUGAAGAGUUGGUGCGGGAAAAAGUAAUUGUGCCCGACAGCACAAAGAAGAUGCCUAAGCCAGAAUAAUUAAGAGGAAAGAAGUAUUGCAAGAUGAACUAUACCUUCAACCAUUCUAUAACUAACUAUGUCUAGUUCAGGGACUAGAUACAAGACCUCAUAGGCAAGGGGAAGUUGUUAUUGGAGAAACCCUAGGCUAAUAUGAUGAUUAACACAUAUCCCUUCUCAGAAGCCCCAAUAAACAUGAUUAACCUAACUUGGGCAGAGAAAGGGAAAGGAAAAGCCACAUGGGAGGUAAAAGCAAAAAGAAGGCAAGUUGACAUGCCUACAGAAUGAGCUAUCAAGUUGCCCGAGAAACCUAAAGCAGCCAUAAUUAAAGGGUUGGCGUUAUGUAAUAAGUGCCAAUGUGAAUGUGAGCUAGAAGUACCAGCAUUAGAAGCUAUCAUUGAUCAAGAAUUGAUCAGAAGAAGAGAGAAAGAAGAGCAAGAAGCUCGCAAAAGCAUCAUGCGGACAGUUGAGAAUGAGACCUCUAGGAAUGUUUUCCAAAGAUUAGGAAGAGAUUCUAAACCAAAAAAUUUGUCCGAGGUAUUUAGAAACCAUAAAGCCUUAGAAGAAGUGGAAGAUAAAGAAGCCAAAAUACCAAGAUGGGUGGAGGUUAGGCUUCCCCAGCCAAGUUAUGAAGGUGGUAAUGUUAGGAUGAAGGGGAAAACAAGGAACCCAGUAUCACCAAUCACCAAGAAGGAUUCUGCCCGACUUAGGCGGAAAUGGUAUGUAGAUGGAAAGGAUGGGAGACCUAUCAAGGAAAUGGGAGCUUCUAUGAUUAUAAGAGUCCAGAGGCAGCACAAAGCUUAUAUGAAUUCACUGAGAGUUCCUACUACAUCACAAAACUCUGAAAAUGUGAAGUUUGAGAAAGUACCUCAUAGGGGAAGAAAUCAACUUCAAUGGAAAAGCCAAAAAGAGUUUGAAAGAGUUAAUAGCAAGACUAAAUGAGACGGAGAUCAUAUGCCAAAAAGCCCUAAUCCGGGAAAAUACUUAAUCUUGAGGAGAGCUCAAAAGGAUAUGGUAGUGAUGCCAACCCUCAGAACCAAUAUAUUUUGGAACUAUCUCGCCUGAAAGGAGAAUGCCCUCACCUUUGUUGGUUGAUACUCUUUGUGAAGUCCUAGAGCAGGUGCAUGACUUUGGUAUAACUCGAGAAGAAACGUUGCCUGAGCUAAUGUUUCCAAAAAAAGCACAUGUCUGGUUAGAUGAAUUCAUGGACCACAUUGGGGGGCAAGAAGAAGAUUUACCUUAACCUAGCAACUUCCACGUAAACAUGACAUAUGUUUUAUCUAACAUAUUUUGCGCCGAGCCUGAUCAACCUGCCACGAUGAAAGGUGAUUACUUGGCAACAAAACCUAUGAUGGCACAUGUUAGUGUUGAGGAAGUAGGAAAAGGAGAUUCGAGCAGAACAGGUUUGCCCGAGCUUGUAAAGAAAAAGCCUGAAAGGGUAUAUUCAUAUAAAAUGGUCUUUAGCUACCCGAGUUUAGCCUUAGCUAACCAUCGGAUGCCCAUAUAUGUAACUGCUCAUUUGGAGGGAGUACCCUUCAAGAUGGUCUUGAUUGAUGGAUGAGCAUGUACAAAUAUGUAUGAAUGCCAUGACAGUAAUAUCCAAACUGAAGGAAAAAUUUUGUCCUAGCUAAGAACAAGUAUGAACAUUUGAAUACACAUGCAAGCUAUUAACACUUUAAAGUAGGCAUGCAUCCAAAAACAAUUCAUAAAACCCAUGACUUUCAAAGCCUAGUAUAUGGUGAACCAAAAUAAACUCUUUAACAACAUUAAAGAGAAGUAAAGAUUUAGUGAUUCUUUACCCUUGAAGCUCAUCCUUGUUUACACAAGGGAUUCACCCAAGUGGAGGGCCUUCAAGUCACCUCCAAGCUCCUUGAAUCCUCCUUGUGUUUUCCUCCCUUUAGUGCUCCUUUGAUGAUUAGAGGAAAAAGGAUUUGUUCUCCAAAAACAUCAAAAGCUUGAUGUCUCUAAGUCUCUUCACCAAGGUUGUAUAUUGUGAAGAUGAUAUGGAUGACUUAGAGAGAUUUUAGAUGCUAGUAAAAAUCCUCUAAGUGGCCUGCCUCUAUGUAGAAAAUGAGAGAAAAUGUUUUCACCCCAAUUUCUAUUAGAAAAAACCCUAAUGAGAAACAAAGCUAUAAAAAGAUGACUUUAUACUUCAUCUCUUAGGUUUAGUGGCAAACUUGCAAUUAAGCAUAAAUUCCCACUACCCUUGACAUGGCCGGCCUCCUUUUGUUAUUGGGCUAAAUACCCAUAUUUGUUUUAGUUGUCAUACAACUUAAACAUAAUGGGCCUAGUGGACCAAAACAAUUUUGGACCCCGAAGCCCAAACUAACUUAAAAGCCCAAUACGAACCUUUCGUAUAAUUAAUUAACUAAUUAAUUAAUCUUGACCAUUCUUCAAUUAAACCAUUUAAUUGCUUAUCCAUUUCAUAUAAUUUCUUCACUAACAUCCUUAUGUGGUGUGCGAUCCAUUAGGUUCCAAUUAGCGAGGCAGUGGGCGAUGUUACUCUUAACGAUCGAUUGUGAAUUGAAACCACAUUUCAAGUCUCCCUUAAGAUUAGUGUUUGAUAAUCUUCAGGGCUUCCACAAACCAUGAGUGACACCUAGCAGCAUAUCAUGGUUACCCAAGCUAAGUAGAAUUGGUUGGAGAACCUAUCCAGUUACAACUACAAUGCAAUACGGUCAUUCUCUAAUACAAUACUCUUAAUCACAUUGUUUAAGUGAUAGUUUGUUUCAUGUCUACUAUCCAAUGUGAUAUUUUCCUAUAUGAUUCCUUUGAAUAUGAUUUGGUACAAACUUCCUAAGUCAUAUUCAUUUGCUUUGGCCAAAGACUUUAGAAUCAUAUCUUAUAGUAUUCUCCCUCCACCAUGGAAGGUUAGAGAUCCCUUGUUGUGCAUUCAUAUGCCUACAUGACUAGAUAGCUUGACCCCAACAAUGCCGUGGACAAUCCGAAGGAAUGCCGUUGACAUGAUCAAAGAUCAAGGACCUAACCAUUAGACAUCUAUGAUGCCUCAGGUCAAAGGACUACUUUGCAUAUUGCAACUUUAGAGUUCAUACAUGACAUGUAUGUUCGAACUCUCUUUUGAUCGACGUUCAGUGUACUCGAUUACCUUUUCGAGCACCUAUGUGUUUGUCUCAGUGUCCAACACCAAAUGACUUGAGACUAGUUCAUACUCACGUUUGAGUCAACAUAACACAUACUAACCUUAGCGGAUUGUCAAUGCCCAAUUGGCAAUCCUAUGGCUAGGAACGUUUUAGGAAUGAACAUAAGAGAAAGGUCUCGAUAAUCUAACUCAUUAGAUCACUUAUCUCUUAGAACAAAUACAUUCCUUGGAUUCCCUUAUUGCUUAAACACAUGAUACAAUAAAUAGUGAUUAACAAUAAGCUUUGCCCUUCAUUAAACAUAUAAAAGUUUAAUACAAUAAGUAUUCCAAAAGCUAUUACAUCAAAUGAGUGGCUUUGUGGGCAUACUUCCAACAAUCUCCCACUUGCACUCAAAAGCCAUCUUCCCAUGUAUCUAAUACCCAUUUUAUCCAUAUGACGAUCAAGCUGGAUUUGAGACAUUGGCUUUGUCAGUGGAUCUGCUACGUUAUCGGCUGAGGCAACUUUGAGGAUGUUGACUUUCCCCUCGGCAGCAUAUCUUCUAAUGAUAUUAAAACGUCUGUCAAAAUGCUUGUUCUUUUGAUGUGCCCUGGGUUCCUUGGCUUGAGCUAUCGCCCCAUUAUUAUCACAGUACAAAGUUACUGGUGAUGUAAUGGUUGGAACCACUCCAAGUUCAGUAAUGAACUUCUUCAUCCAGAACGCUUCUUUGCCGGCUUCAGCUGUAGCGACAUAUUCAGCCUCUGUCGUGGAAUCAGCAAUUACACUUUGCUUCUUGCUUUUCCAACUGACAGCCCCACCAUUCAGAGUGAAUACAUAUCCUGAGUUGGAACUUCUAUCAUCGACGUCAGAUUGGAAAUCUGCGUCUGUAUAGCCUUCCACUCGCAACUCUGCCGCUCCUCCAUAUACGAGGAACAUGUCUUUAGUUCUUCUUAAGUACUUAAGGACCGUCUUAACAGCUGCCCAGUGUUAAUCCUGGGUUAGAUUGAUAUCGACUAGUAAUGCUCACAGCAUAUGCGAUAUCAGGCCUUGUGCAUAUCAUGGCAUACAUGAGACUUCCUAUGGCGGAAGCAUAAGGAAUCCUACUCAUAUGCCCUAUCUCUUCAGGAGUCUUAGGUUCCAUGGACUUAGAAAGGUGAAUUCCAUGUCUUACAGGAAGAAAGCCUUUCUUAGAUUAUUCCAUCUCGAACCUACUUAGCACCUUAUCAAUGUACAUAGAUUGGGAUAAUCCAAUUAAUUUUCUGGAUCUAUCACGAUAGAGCUUUAUCCCAAGUACAUAAGAUGCAUCUCCUAAAUCUUUCAUGUGGAAGGUUUUGGACAACCACACUUUUACAGAAGAAAGUAUUGCAGUGUCAUUCCCGAAUAGUAAUAUGUCAUCUACAUAUAACACUAGGAAUACAACUGCAUUCCCAACGACUUUUUGAUAAACACAAUUGUCGUCUUCGUUUUGAGUAAAACCAAACGUUUUGAUUUCAGUGUCGAAACGAAUGUUCCAGCUCCUGGAGGCUUGUUUAAGUCCAUAAAUGGAUCUUUGAAGCUUGCAUACCUUAGUCUUUUCAGACUUGGACACGAAACCUUCGGGUUGAGUCAUAUAGAGCUCUUCCUCUAGGUAGCCGUUCAGAAAGGCCGUCUUCACGUCCAUUUGCCAGAUCUCAUAAUCAUGGUACGCAGCUAUCGCAAGCAAAAUCCGAAUGGACUUAAUCAUGGCUACAGGAGAGAAAGUUUCUUCAUAGUCAAUCCCUUCUCUUUGCCUGUAACCCUUGGCUACUAAUCUAGCCUUAUAAGUCUCCACGUUCCCAUCAACGCCUAUCUUCCUCUUGAAGACCCAUUUGUUUCCAACAGGUACAAUACCUUCUGGAGGGUCUACAAGAGUCCAGACCUGAUUUUGAUACAUGGAAUCCAUCUCGGAUUUCAUGGCCUCUUGCCAUCUCUUUGAAUCAAUGUCGGAAAUUGCUUCAGUGUAGUCUCUAGGGUCUUCCUUUGUUUCAUUGUCACCUAGAAGGUACAAUUCAUCAAAGUCAUUGUCUAAGCCAUACCUCUUAGGUGGCUUACUAACCCGUUCAGAUCUACGUGGAGCUAGGGGUUCAGGAACAGGGUUGUCAUCUUGUUGAGUGCUGGUUUGUGGUUCAUCAUUAAUCUCAUUAAUUUCUUUCAAUUCUAUCGUUUUCUCACUACUUCCAUUGAGAACGAAUUCAUCUUCAAGGAAUAUAGCAGUUCUGGCGACAAAGACUUUCUUGUCGUCAGGGUUAUAGAAUUCGUAUCCCAAAGUCUGUUUGGAAUACCCCACAAAAUAGCACUUAAUAGAUCUUGCUUCAAGCUUGUCAGCUUCAAGCCUUUUAACGUAAGCCGGACAACCCCAAAUCCUAAUAUGAUUAAGAUUUGUGCUUUUGCCAUGCCAUAUCUCAUAUGGCGUUUGUGAAACUGACUUGGAAGGUACUCUAUUAAGCAAGUAAGCUGCUGUAUAUAGAGCGUAUCCCCAGAAUGAUACUGGUAGAUUAGCAGAACUCAUCAUAGAACGAACCAUGUUCAUCAAGGUUCGAUUUCUCCGUUCAGAAACUCCGUUAUGCUGAGGAGUUCCUGGUGGAGUCCACUGUGAUACUAUUCCACACUCUUUGAGAUAAUCUAGGAACUCGUUACUCAGAUAUUCACCCCCUUGAUCUGAUCUUAGGGUCUUUAUCUGUUUCCCAGUUUGCUUCUCAACUUCAUUCUUGAAUUCUUUGAACCUUUCAAAGGAUUCUGACUUGUACUUCAUAAGAUACACAUAGCCAAACCGAGAGUGAUCGUCGGUGAAUGUGAUAUAGUAGGAGAAGCCUCCUCUCGACGUAGUAGACAUAGGUCCACAUACGUCAAUGUGGAUUAACCCUAGAAUUUCAGUGGCACGUUCUCCUUUUCCAGUAAAUGGAGAUUUGGUCAUCUUACCUUUCAAGCAACAUUCACAAGUACCCAUUUGGUCAUUACCUAAUGGGCGAAUAUAUCCGUCUUUCGACAUCUUGCGAAUCUUAUCAAGGUUCACAUGUCCAAGUUUAAGAUGCCACAUCUUUUCUUGGUUAACUUCUUCUCUAGCCCUUUUGGGUUUUGAGGUAUUCCCGCUCUCAAUACAGUGCAUCCCACUAUUCGUCUCUAGGUGAAAAAGUCCCUCUAUCAUAUUACCAUGAGAGAUAAUACGACCGUUCAAGUAUAAAGUGCAACUCAUUUUGUCAAACAAUACUGAGUGCCCAUCUCGUAAAAGCUUAGAGAUAGAAAUCAAAUUCUUUAUACAUGAAGGAAAAUAUAAACAAUUUUUAAGUUCCAGGACUUCCCCAGAGGGUAGGUUAAGCAUGUAGGUGCCUAUUGUUUUUGCAGAGAUUUUAGUGCCGUUCCCAACUCGCACAACCAUCUCCUCAUUGCGCAGUGUCCUGCUCCCAGCUAGUCCCUGCAACGUAUUGCAGAUAUGUUGACUAGCGCCUGAAUCAAAUAUCCAGGAAUUGGAGCUCACUGUAAAAGCACUCUCUAUGACAGAAAUAGUCUCUUCAAAAGUUCGUGUCAUAAGGCUCGCAAUGCGCACCCUGUAUUUCUUCUUCCAACGUUCAUCCUUUCCACAAUGAAAGCAUGUUCCUUUGGAUUUCUUUGCCUUCUUCUUAUGCAACCUUUUCCUCAUCAUUGCAUUCUCACUCCCACUGUCCCUUUUGAAACCUUUUUUCAAAUUUACAGCACAUGUCGAUCAUCUCUCUUUCAAAGAAUGAUCGAAUCUAUUCACUUUAUAGUUUACAAUAAACUUAGUGAAAUCAUCCGAGAGAGAUGCAAGGAAAAAGUCUUGGGCCAUUUUCCCAUCGAUGGAAGUUCCUAAACUUUUAAGAUCUUUAAAUAUCUUUUCCAUCUUUUGUCCAUGUUUAUGGACCGAUGCCCCCUUUGCCAUCUUGGCAUUCAUUAGACUACAAACAUUUGAGAAUCGUACAUUACUAGUCUCAAUGUCAUGCAUCUUAUGCAAACUUUCAACCAUGGCACAAGAAGUGUCCAUGUGCUUAUGUAGCUUCAUAAGCUCCUCACUAAGUGAAGUAAGGAUUAAGCAUUUGGCUUGUAAGUCAUUCUCAUAGUGUCUAACAUAAUUUUGGCACUCCUCCUUUGAAGCUAGUUUCGUAGGAGGUACAUGAGGAGGGGAUUGCUUAAGCACAUACAAUAUGUCUUUCACCUUUGAGACAUUCUCAAUGUGGCGAUACCAAGCAAGGAAACGUUGGCCCUUAAGGCCCCUUUUGUCAAGUAUAAUGGUGGGUAUAAUUUUAGGCAUGUCGUUCACUACAUAACAUAACAGAAAUCGUAUUAGAUUGUUUGUUUAAAACUAUUUGAUUGGGUCUUUGAAUCAAAUAGUACCACCCACUAUUUUUGGCAAAUUCCACAUCCCUCAAUAGAAUUCGAGAGUUAUAUUGAACUCUUAGCGGGUUAUGGGAGACUCACCAUUACCAAGCCCACCUCAGAAGAACUCCAUAUUGGCUAGCAAAAAUAAUGAUGAGAGGAUAACGCAUUAUCCAUUUACAACUUUUGUAAUUACCCAUCUAUUUUGGCCUCUAGAGAAUGAUGCCUCAGAAGAACUCCAUAUUGGCACCAUUGCACUUAGUUAAGUUAUUCCCACCAUGCUAGUUCAAGUAGGGGUUCAAGACUGACCUCAGAAGAACUCCAUAUUGGCCAUACUCGUUGCCUACUUUCACUUCAUCAUAUGUUUAUGGGCUUCUCCUGAAUGUAAGCACAUACUUUGCAUACCCCAGAACUGGACGAAUACGGUGUAUGAGUCACAAACGAUUGAAGCCCACCACGGUGGAAGGCCUACGAAGAGAUGUUCAAAGCAUCUCUCGCUUAUCAACUUAAUAUCAGUUGUUGAGGGAGUAGUUUUGGGCUACAUCAAAACAUUUUAAUCAUAUUAAAAGAACUUGGGCCUAUCACAACUAUUGGUCCAAGUCAAUAUGAAUUAGUAGCAUAUAAUACUCCCACUGUUUCGUUGAAACAAGCGAGACUAUAUGGAACUACUAACGAAUGCAUUGCAUCCUCAUAUGGACUAUAUAGUCAUAUUAGGUUUUAGGAUGAUUAUGAACCGUUUGAUUUGAUCCAACACGAGCCUUGUGUUAGACCUUGGGUUUAAGGUAGAUAGUUGUUGAUUUUAGUUACGCGUUUAAUCCAAUUAAACCGUUAUUUCCUAUUGGGCGUUGGACCCAACUAUUCCAUUUUGCAUACAUAUAAACAAAAAGGAAUACAUGAAAUAAUAAUAAGGGCUUAUGCCCUUUUACAACAUAAAUCAAAUGAUGGACUUAUGUCCAUUUACAACAAUUCGAAUUAAUCAAAUUACAUUCAAAUCUACACUACCAAACCCAAACAUUCAUAAUGUAAAGCGGCCAAUCACAUAGCUCAAUUAUCGAUGCCUUUGGUUCAUAAUCACCAUUUUCUUAAUCAAUCACAUUAACUAAGAAAGCAACUUUAAACAAUUGGUUUUUGGAUCCAUAGAAUUGAUUUAAAUGGAACUAAAUGAAAUGAAAAUCCAAUUCUCAUUAAAGAGACAAAACAAUUUUGUUCUCAUUUUAUUUGGGCCAAAAGGAAACUAUGACCACAACAAUUGGGCCAUAAUGCAAAUACAAAAACUUUUGGGGUCACUUUGUAUAAACACAAUAGUCCACAACUUCAUGUAAAUACAACUAGAUCCCAAAAUUUUAAUAAUGUAAAAACAUCAUUAAAGGAUCAAAACAAUUUGUCCUUUAGAGUUUUUAAGCCUAAACGUAAAAACGUAAACUUUUGGGCCAAAAUGCAAAAACACAAAAGUAUCAAAACUUUAUGUUAAUUGCACAAAAGGCCCCAAAAGGACCCCCACUAGGGGUGGCCGGCCAUUUAAUGAAAAAUUGAAAAAAAAUCUAAAAAGUUUUUGCAAGUUGAUUUUAUUAGGUGAGGUUAAAGGUGAAGGUGAUGGUUUGUAAGAAAAACUUAAAGUUUAUGACAAACAUUAAAACCAUUUCAUCACAUCUCACCAAUAACAUCACCCAUCAAAUAAUAAAUCAAUUAUAUACCAAAACUUUAUGAAAAACAUAAAAAUUUAGAAUCAAAACUUCAAACCUUUUUGUUCUUGGCAAGAACUUCAAGAACAUUUGAAGAACACCAUGAAAACUCAUAAUAGCUCCAUGGAUGUUUUCAUUCACCAAAACUCAAUUUUCACCUCUCAAAAGAGGGCUAAUAUCCUAGGGUACUUAGGGGUUCCAAAAGUCACCUUAAAACCAUUUUAACAAGACAAACAUGAACCCAAAAAGUCACCCUAAGGAUUUGGCCGAAUUUCCCAAAACACAUGGCACCAAAUUUUAGUUCCAAUAUUCAUGCUUGAAUGAAAUACAUCUACAACAUUUGAGAUGCUAAAUUUUCUAGCAAAAUUCAUAUAUUCAAAAGCAAGAACAAAGCUUGUAACAUUUACAACAUUUAAAUCACAAAAUAUGAACAUCACAAAACCCAAAAGGAUUCACCAUACACUAGGCCUAGGCUCUGAUACCACUUGAAGGAAAAAUUUUGUCCUAGCUAAGAACAAGUAUGAACAUUUGAAUACACAUGCAAGCUAUUAACACUUUAAAGUAGGCAUGCAUCCAAAAACAAUUCAUAAAACCCAUGACUUUCAAAGCCUAGUAUAUGGUGAACCAAAAUAAAACUCUUUAACAACAUUAAAGAGAAGUAAAGAUUUAGUGAUUCUUUACCUUGAAGCUCAUCCUUGUUUACACAAGGGAUUCACCCAAGUGGAGGGCCUUCAAGUCACCUCCAAGCUCCUUGAAUCCUCCUUGUGUUUUCCUCCCUUUAGUGCUCCUUUGAUGAUUAGAGGAAAAAGGAUUUGUUCUCCAAAAACAUCAAAAGCUUGAUGUCUCUAAGUCUCUUCACCAAGGUUGUAUAUUGUGAAGAUGAUAUGGAUGACUUAGAGAGAUUUUAGAUGCUAGUAAAAAUCCUCUAAGUGGCCGGCCUCUAUGUAGAAAAUGAGAGAAAAUGUUUCACCCAAUUUCUAUUAGAAAACCCCAAUGAGAAACAAAGCUAUAAAGAUGACUUUAUACUUCAUCUCUUAGGUUAGUGGCAAACUUGCAAUUAAGCAUAAAUUCCCACUACCCUUGACAUGGCCGGCCUCCUUUUGUUAUUGGGCUAAAUACCCAUAUUUGUUUUAGUUGUCAUACAACUUAAACAUAAUGGGCCUAGUGGACCAAAACAAUUUUGGACCCCGAAGCCCAAACUAACUUAAAAGCCCAAUACGAACCUUUCGUAUAAUUAAUUAACUAAUUAAUUAAUCUUGACCAUUCUUCAAUUAAACCAUUUAAUUGCUUAUCCAUUUCAUAUAAUUUCUUCACUAACAUCCUUAUGUGGUGUGCGAUCCAUUAGGUUCCAAUUAGCGAGGCAGUGGGCGAUGUUACUCUUAACGAUCGAUUGUGAAUUGAAACCACAUUUCAAUUCUCCCUUAAGAUUAGUGUUUGCUAAUCUUCAGGGCUUCCACAAACCAUGAGUGACACCUAGCAGCAUAUCAUGGUUACCCAAGCUAAGUAGAAUUGGUUGGAGAACCUAUCCAGUUACAACUACAAUGCAAUACGGUCCUUCUCUAAUACAAUACUCUUAAUCACAUUGUUUAAGUGAUAGUUUGUUUCAUGUCUACUAUCCAAUGUGAUAUUUUCCUAUAUGAUUCCUUUGAAUAUGAUUUGGAACAAACUUCCUAAGUCAUAUUCAUUUGCUUUGGCCAAAGACUUUAGAAUCAUAUCUUAGAGUAUUCUCCCUCCACCAUGGAAGGUUAGAGAUCCCUUGUUGUGCAUUCAUAUGCCUACAUGACUAGAUAGCUUGACCUCAACAAUGCCGUGGACAAUCCGAAGGAAUGCCGUUGACAUGAUCAAAGAUCAAGGACCUAACCAUUAGACAUCUAUGAUGCCUCAGGUCAAAGGACUACUUUGCAUAUUGCAACUUUAGAGUUCAUACAUGACAUGUAUGUUCGAACUCUCUUUUGAUCGACGUUCAGUGUACUCGAUUACCUUUUCGAGCACCUAUGUGUUUGUCUCAGUGUCCAACACCAAAUGACUUGAGACUAGUUCAUACUCACGUUUGAGUCAACAUAACACAUACUAACCUUAGCGGAUUGUCAAUGCCCAAUUGGCAAUCCUAUGGCUAGGAACGUUUUAGGAAUGAACAUAAGAGAAAGGUCUCGAUAAUCUAACUCAUUAGAUCACUUAUCUCUUAGAACAAAUACAUUCAUUGGAUUCCCUUAUUGCUUAAACACAUGAUACAAUAAAUAGUGAUUAACAAUAAGCUUUGCCCUUCAUUAAACAUAUAAAAGUUUAAUACAAUAAGUAUUCCAAAAGCUAUUACAUCAAAUGAGUGGCUUUGUGGGCAUACUUCCAACACAAACUAUAUAACAACAUUUAUCACAAUUUACAUCACAAUAUUGAAUACUUGGCAAUAUAAGCGUAAAAGUGUAAUAACUACGCAAUUACGGAAACUAUCAAUAUGUAUAGGUAUAAAAUAAACUGCCCACUCACCUGGAGUCCGCGCUAUAACUCUCUAGCACGAAUUUCAAGAUGCCACGAACAAACAUCGCCUAGAACAAAUAUCAAAUCACAACUCAGGAUUCUUAUCGAUAGAACACACAACUGACAUAAAACACACCUCCAAGGGCGUUCUAGAAUGAUUUGAAACUCAUUGACCAAAAGUCAACCGUCGGUCAAAGGUCAAUAGUAGGGUCCACAACCCUACAUAACUCGAUCUGGAAGAUUCGCAUCUCUGAUUUCCAUUCUGUAACUUCCAAAGAUUCACAUUAUGCUUCUAGAACAACAUUCUAAAGUUUCAGAAUGAUCCAAUGGUUGAAUCUCCGCCAAUUGCCAAAAUUAAGUGGAGGUCAACACUUUAUUUUGUGAACUAACAAAUUCAAUUUGGGAAGAUCCUUAAGUUCCUAUGAUCCUCAAAUAUUACGUACUAUAAGGUACUAAGGUUUGGUGACGAUCUAACAGUUUGAUCGUCAAUUCAUGCAAGGACCCCAUGACGGCCAACUAAGUGGUCAACUACGAAACUACAUGAAAACAUCGUAAUUUCACUAAAUGGAUGACAAAUAUGGAAUCAGGGCUUCAAAAUUAGCCUAAGGUGGUCAGAUGGGAUCUCGGCCCACGCGCCGCCACACGCGCCGCCGCGCGUGGUGACUGGCCACAAAGGUUCGCCGGAAAAUUCCACUAUUUCUAAAAAUUCUCAAAUUUUACAGAAAUGAAGACAUCAAAGAGAUGAAAAACUUUUAUACUUGCCAUGAAGUCCAAAAGUGGAUAGAAGAUUGUCAAUUUUGCCCACAAAGCCGGUGGUGCCUAAAACUUCCCGGUGUCAAUUCGUCGUCUACGGUGGACCAACGGGGUCAAGGUUGGUUGGGAUUUGCUCAGGGGAUGAUGGGCUACAAAGCCCAAGUGGUCGCAUUGACCAUCGUUUUGCCGAUUUGCUGGAAAAUUGAAAAGAGUGGUCGGACACGAUUUUGACGGGUCGGAUUUCGUGGCUUCGCCCCGCCACAUGUGGUGGUUUCUAAAGUUGGUUCUUGGUUGGAUUUUGUAGAGGGGAGUGAGAGCUUUAAGAUGGUGGUGGUGGCAUCGAAAAACUUCACCCGAGUUGGCCGAAAUCAGCCUUGGAAAAUGGGUGGUCGCGAGUGGGUCGACGGGGAAAGUUGGGAGCUUCCUCAUUUUUUUGUUUUGUUUUGUUUUGUCUUUUUUUUUUUUUUUUUUUCUUAUCUGAUUUCUGAUGGCUUUCCUUCCUUUUAUGUGAUUGUGAUUGGUCCCCCUUAUUUAAGCCUAAAAUCGGAUUGGGCUUCUUUCCCAUAAGGUGGGAAUUCAAUUAACUUAUAAACCAAAAUAUAAAUAACCAAAUUCAAACGUUCGUAACUAUACCGUUAUAAUUUGGACUCGCAAACGACUUUCGCCUAUGCGUUUGUAAUGACGAGUACUACGAGGGUACACUAAAAUAAUAAGUCCUACGUCUCUCAAACCGAUGGUCAAUGGAAGUCAAAGUCCUUACCUUUAGGGCAUUUCCAUAAAUUCAUGCUUUUAAAAUUAAUAAAAACGUACAAUUGGGGAUAGGAUGUCACAAUUGUAAGAUCCCACAUUGUCCAGGGGUGAGGCUCCUGUAAGCCUUAUAUGUAUAUUCCCAUCUCUACCUAGCACGAGACCUCUUGGGAGCUCAUUAGUUUCGGGUUCAAUCGGAACUCCGAAGUUAAGCGAGUUCGCGCGAGAGCAAUCCCAUGAUCGGUGAUCUAUUGGGAAGUUCUCGUGUGAGUUCCCAGAAACAAAACCGUGAGGGUGUUGAUGAAGGAUGAUUUUGUGAAAACAUGUUCAUUUGAUAUAGCAUGCAAUUAACAAUUAAAGGCGGAAUCAUGCUUGCAUGCACUUAAAAAACAAAACAUUACCCAUGAAAUUCAAAGCCUAGUAGAUUGGUGAACCAAAACUCAACUCAAAACAAAGUGAGUUGAAAUUUAUACCUUUGUAUAUUCCUCUUUGCAUAAGCAAAGGCUAAUCACCCAAAGAGAGGGCCUUCAUUCCUUGCAUCUAAAAUCUAUGGAUUUGGAUGGAUGAAAAGGUUCUCCAAGUUCCCAAAAUUGAGAACCUCUAAGUCUCUUCACCAAUGAGAGAUUGGAGAAGAAAUGAGUGACCUUGGAGUAGUAGUAUGGCUAGAUACACCCUCCAAGGGGGCCUUCCUCCUAGAGAGAAAAAGGAGAGACAUGUUCUCACCAAUUUUCUCCAAAAGAACCCUUAAUGAAUUUUAGGCUAUAAAGUUCUUUAUAUAGUCACUUCUAUAAAUGACCUAAAGAACCAAAAAACCCUAAUUCAACACAUAUGGCCGGCCACAUUAGGGAUUUGGGCCUUUGUGAAUCUUUAUUCCUUAAAUUGUCAUACAACUUAAGUCAAUGGGCUUGACGUUCGAAGCCCAUUGGGCCUUAAGGUCCAAAACUAUCCCGAGGUCUUUAACGAACUUAUUCGUUUGAUUAAUUAACAUAUUAAUUAAUCCUUGCCAUAAAUAAUUAAACCUUUUAAUUAUUCUUACUCAUCUCCAUUGUUUCUUCAAUCUCCACCUUACACGGUGUACGAUCCAUUAGGUUCCUUUUAGCGAGGCAGUGGGCGAUUAAAACUCUUUCAAAUCGAUUGUGAAUUGAAACUUACUUUCAAUUCUCCCUUUAGUGAUUAGACACGUUUAGGGCUUCCACAAACCAUGAGUGACACCUAGCAGCAUAUCAUGGUUACCCAAGCAAAUCAGAAGAGGUGGAGAACCUAUUCAGUUUAGGAUUACAAAUGCAAUACGGUCUUUCUCUAAUACAAUACUCUUGACCACAUUGUUUGGUUUGAUAGUUUAUUCAUGUCUACUAUCCAAUGUGAUUCGUGUGCUUAUAUGAUUACCUUGAAUGUGAUUUGGAACGCCUUCCUAAAUCUCAUUCAUACUUUGGCCAAAGAUUCUUAAUCAUAUCAUAGAGUAUUCUCCCUCAAACGGUUUGAAGGUUAGAGAUCCCUUGUUGCGCAUUCACUUGCCUCCAUGGCUAAGUAGCUUAACCCCAAUGAUGCCGUGGACACCCGCGAAUGGGGUGACUUUGACAUAAUCAAAGAUCAAGGACUUAACCACAAGACAGCUGUGAUGCCUCAGGUCAAAGGACUACUUUGCAUUAUCCCAACCAUGAGUUCUCAUAUGACAUGAAUAUGAGAACUCUUCGUUGAUCGUGUUCAGUGAACUCAUUCUCUAUUGAGCACCUAUGUACUUGUCUUGAUGUCACACACACCAAUGACUCGAGACUAGUCACUCUCCCUGAGAGAAGACACAGCACGUACUGAUCUUAACGGACUGUCAAUGCCCAAUUGGGAAUCCUAUGAUCAGGAACGUUUAGGAUGUGUCUACGAAAGAAUGGUCUCAUGAAUCUAACUUCUUUAGAUCGUAUUCUCCCAAUCACAUAUUCCUUGGACUUAUCGUUUAAGCAUAUAACAUUUAUAUGAGACGGCUUAAAACAAUAAUCUAUGCCCUUGAUAUUAAACUAGAUUAAUUUAACAUGUGAAAUGUCCGUAAAGUAUCAUCAUAUGAUUGGUUUUAGGGCACAUUUCCAACAGUUGACACACCCCGACCUAGAUCGAGGCAUGCUGGCUGUCACCUGGGAGUGACGUAACCAUGUGCAUAAUGCGGUGGAAGCAAUAGAGAUAAAAAUCCUAAGCGCAGUCAAGCAGGACAAGUACUAAUUAUACAACACCCCCGUUAAAUCCUCGUGAUCCACCAAGCACUUCUACUUCAAACUUGGAGGGGCGCAAAACAGAAAGUGUGAGUGGGCAAAAACAAAGCUUUUCAAAAUCAUUUCAUUUCUCAAAAGUUCUAACCCUUCGCCGUAAAACCUGUAUAAUUUCCCAGAAAAUAAUAGUAAUAAUAAGCUGUAUCAGAAAUCAUACUCAAGAUGAAAAUCCAUAGAAGUAUACAUUGCCAAAGUAUCUCAAUGCAAUGCUAUAAGUAAUCCAGGCAAAAUAUAUCAACCAAAUAUCGCAUCAGCCAAAUCCCUCUAACUCAAUCUACACAGCUGAGUAUAUAGCUCAUAACCAAUCUUAAUCAUAUCAAAUCAAAUCUUGCACACGAGUCGGAACCACCUAAAGUGGUCUGUACGACAAGACUAGCUGUAAAGUAAAUAUGCCCUAGUGCUACAAUCACGUGAAGGUUGUGCGAAUGAUCGCGGGUCAUCUACGAGUCGGAACCACCUAAAGUGGUAUGUAUGACAAGCUUGUGCACCUAACUUGGAUCCAAGGUGAGCUUAUGGUGCAGGAGGUGAACAUUACGUGAAGGGUUGUGCCUUAACUCUGGGCGAGAGCACUAACACCGGGGUGCAGGUUUAUGAGCUCUCAAAACAUCACAUCAUAUCUCACAUAACUGAAGUAACCUCAAAUCUUUAAUUUAUGAACUUACCUGGUACUCACUUGUGCGUCCGUAGCACUAAGGCGAAUACUUUGCAUGGCAUUUCAAAACUUAUAAUCAUUCAAAUUCAUUUUCUGGGAAAAAUCUCAAGUAUAUAGGUAUAUACGGAAAACCAAAAGCCCACUCACUGAUAUGUCGAAGGGUCGUAGCCCCUGACCCUCGAUUGAUAGCGCUCGUCCUCAGGAUAGGUCUCACCUAUAUGCGAAAUAACUGAAUAAACGUUAUUUAAAGCACAUACACAAAACUAGGAAAUAACUUCUCAUACAUUGCUCAAAUGGGGUAUUUGAAUAUACCACCAUGAUCUACUUAUCCUCAGGAACAUCCCCAUAUUUUUAGAAAAAAAUUUCAACCUCCCACGCACCGGCAAAGGUACAGCCAGACGCGCCCUCACAUGCAGCCAAACCCUAACUGAAACUUAACUACCGCUAGGAAUAUUCCACUAAAUCUUAACAGAAGUUAACGGCAUUACCUGACCUCGUUAGAAUAUUCUGUCAGACUUGACGGAAUAUUCUCCUUCGUCUUCCCUGGUUCGCUGGAGAAUUUCGCCGGCGCCCUUGUGAUCGCUGGAAACUGGAAAAUAUAGAAACCUUUAUAUCUUCUUCAUUUUUACACCAAAAUCCAUGAAAUUUUUACCAAAAUGAAGCUUAGGACUAGAAGAACAAAGCCAUACCAAUUUAAAGCCCUAAAAUCCACGGGAUUUGGUUGGAAGAACCUCGAUAUUCCAGCCAAACUUGAACUUGCCAAACUUAACUUCCUGACGUCCAAAACAAUUCAUUUUUUCUUCUCCGAGCUUCGUGAAGACAUCCUAAGGCUCACUAGCAGCUUAAAAUCUCCUAAAAACUUCACAUUCACGAUCACAUGAAUAGUGCAUAAAAUCGGGGUUUUUGGGUUCUCGGGUUUUCGAGGGUUUCACGUCUAACCAAAGGUAUAAAUGAGUUCCUAGACUUACAAGGAACACAAAGAUAGCUUCCAAAACCUCGAUCCAUGACUAGAAGUGAAGGUUCGAAGGUUGUCCGUAUGGUUGUACGAAAAUGGAAGGAAAUCCGAGAGAGGGAGGAGAAAGAAGGUCAACGGGAGUUUGGAUGUGUGAGUGUGAGUAUGUGGUCCAGUUUUGGAUCACUAAUCACAACCCAAAACCAUUAACUUUAAGUUCCAAAACCUUAGGAACUAAUUAAAUUAGUUUAAAACCCAAACUCAAGCCACAACACCACAUAACGCUCAAGUGUAGAAUGGUCAAUUCACACCAUCUAUAAAAUAUUUCGGGACAGGCUGUGACAACCUACCCCUCUUAAGAAAAUUUCAUCCUCGAAAUUUCCAUACAAUAAUUACAAUCUACUAAUAAUCAUAAAACAACCUUGGAUACAUAUCUCUCAUCUGGUCCUCUGUCUCCCAAGUGGCUUCUUCCACCGAGUGAUUUCUCCAUAAAACCUUCACUAGGCGUACGGUUUUAUUUCUCAGAACCUUAUCUUUCCAAUCCAAAAUAGUCAUUAGCUCCUCAUCAUAACUCAAAUCUGAAUUAAUUUCUAAUGGUUGAGGAGGUAUCACAUGAGAAGGAUUUGAGACAUAAUGACGAAACGUAGAGACAUGAAAAACAUCAUGCACUUUUGAUAACUCUGGAGGCAACUCAAGCCUAUAAGCAACUUCAACGACUCGGUCGAUGAUCAUAUACGGUCCAAUGUACCUAGGACUCGCUUGCCUUUCUUUCCAAACUGCACAACACCUUUCCAUGGUGAUAGCUUCAGAAAUACCCAAUCACCUACAUUAUACAUCCGGUCAGUGGCAUGUUUGUCUGCUAGACUCUUUGUCGAUCCUGGGCCGCUUUCAGGUUAGACUUAAUCACCUGAAUAUUCUGAGUAGUCUCCUCCACUAUCUUAGGACCCACCAAAACAUUUUCACCAACCUCUGACCAACGUAAGGGUGUGCGACAAGAUUUACCAUAAAGAGCCUCGAAAGGUGACAUACCGAUACUAGAAUGAAAGCUAUUGUUGUAGGCAAAUUCCAAUCCAACCGCUUAUGCCAAGCGUCACCAAACUGCAACACUGAAGAUCUUAACAUAUCUUCCAAAGUCUGAAUGGUCCUCUUUGACUGUCCAUCUGUUUGAGGAUGAUAUGUUGUACUAUAAAAUAAUCUCGAACCAAGAGCUUCCUGAAAUGCUAUCCAAAUUUGGAAGUGAAUCUAGGAUCACAAUCCGAGAUAAUACUAACUGGAAUCCCAUGGUACUUCAUGAUUUUCGAUACAAAUAAUUCAGCUAAUCGGCUUAAAGAAUACUUAUCCCUCACAAGAAUAAAUGUGCUGACUUAGUAAACCGAUCAACUAUCACCUAAAUGCCAUCGUAACCAUUCUGUGUACGAGGAAGCUUGUACACAAAAUCCAUAGUAAUAUUUUCCCAUUUCCACUGUGGAACGGGAAAUGGCUGCAUCAGUCCAAAAGGCUUAUUUCUUUCUGCUUUGACUUGCUGACAAAUGACACACCUACUCACAUAUUCAGCAAUUUCUCUUUUCAUACCUGGCCAAUAAUAAAAUGGUCGAAUGGUAUGAUACAUUUUUGUACCUCCAGGAUGCAUUGCAUAAGCUGAAAUAUGUGCUUAAUCAAGAAUUGCUUUCUUUAGUUCCAUAUUAUCCGGCACAUACAUCCUACUCUCCUGCAUAAGCAUGCCAUCAGUUUCUUGAAUUCUGAAGUCUUUCUUCUGCCCCCGAUUCCUUGCUUGAAUUGUUUCCUGGGUCUCUUCAUCAUUCAUCUGGGCUUCAAGUACACGAUCAAUUAAAAUUGGCCUGACUUGGAAAUUUGCAAGUAAAGCUUCAUCUCAAUCUUCCACUCUUAACUCCACUCCAGUGGACCUUAAAUUCACAAGAAGAGGAACGUGACAAUAAUAGAUGGCAUGAAGUCUAACUGGAGUCCUCCUACUAAGUGCAUCUGCCACUACAUUUGCAAGACCGGGUGAUACUUAAUCGUGCAAUCAUAAUCACUAAGCAACUCAAUCCACCUUUGCUGCCGAAGUGUUGGAAAUGUGCCCUAAAACCAAUCAUAUGAUGAUACUUUACGGACAUUUCACAUGUUAAACUAAUCUAGUUUAAUAUCAAGGGCAAAGAUUAUUGUUUUAAGCCAUCUCAUAUAAAUGUUAUAUGCUUAAACGAUAAGUCCAAGGAAUAUGUAAUUAGGAGAAUGUAAUUUGAACAAGUUAGAUUCAUGAGACCAUUCUCUUUCGUAUACAUAUCCUAAACGUUCUUGAUCAUAGGAUUGCCAAUUGGGCAUUGACAGUCCGUUAAGAUCAGUACAUACUGUGUCUUCUCUCAGGGAGAGUGACUGGUCUCGAGUCAUUGGUGUGAUUGACACCAAGACAAGCAUGUAGGUGCUCAAUAGCGAAUGAGUCCACUAAACACGAUCAACGAGGAGUUCUCAUACUCAUGUCACAUGAGAACUCAUGGUUGGGAUAAUGCAAAGUAGUCCUUUAACCUGAGGCAUCAUAGUUGUCUUGUGGUUAGGUCCUUGAUCUUUGACUAUGUCAAAGUCACUCCAUCCGAGAGUGUCCACGACAUAGUUGGGGUUAAGCCACUUAGCCAUGGAGGCAAGUGAAUGCGCAACAAGGGAUCUCUAACCUUCAAACCGUUUGAGGGAGAAUACUCUAUGAUAUGAUUAAGAAUCUCUGGCCAGAGUAUGAAUGAGAUUUAGGAAAUUGUUCUAAAUCACAUUCAAGGUAAUCAUAUAAGUAACAGAAUCACAUUGGAUAGUAGACAUGAAUAAACUAUUAAACCAAACAAUGUGGUCAAGAGUAUUGUAUUAGAGAAAGACCGUAUUGCAUUGUAAUCCUAAACUAAAUAGGUCUCCACCUCUUCUAAUUAGCUAAGGUAACCAUGACAUACUGCUAGGUGUCACUCAUGGUUUGUGGAAGCCCUAAACGUGUAUAAUCACUAAAGGGAGAAUUGAAAGUAAGUUUCAAUUCACAAUCGAUUUGAAAGAGUUCUAAUCACCCACUGCCUCGCUAAAAGGAACCUAAUGGAUCGUACACCGUGUAAGGUAGAGAUUGAAGAAACAACGGAGAUGAGUAAGGAUAAUUAAAUGGUUUAAUUAUUUAUGGCAAGGAUUAAUUAAUAUGUUAAUUAAUCAAACGAAUAAAGUUCGUUAAAGACCUCGGGUUAGUUUUGGGCCUCAAGGCCCAAUGGGCUUCGAACGUCAAGCCCAUUACUUAAGUUGUAUGACAACUUAAUGACUAAAUAUUCACAAAGGCCCAAACAGCCCAAUAACACCCUAUGGCCGGCCAUAUUGAUAAAAGAGUGGGUUUUGGACUUAUUACAAGUUUGCCACUCCAAUGAAGGUAGGUAUAAAUAUGACUUUAUAGCCUUUGCUUCAUUAGGGUUUCUUUUGGAGAAAAUUGGAGAGAAAAUGUCUCUCCCUUUCUCUCUAAGAGGCUGGCCCCCUUGGAGGAGAUUAGCUAGCAAUCUCUCAUCCUCCUAGGUCACUCCUCUCUUAUUCAAGUCUCUCCUUGGUGUGGAAAAAUUAGAGGUUCUUUAUUUUGAGAACUUGGAGAAUCUUUUCUACCAUCCUCCUCCAAGAAAUCGAUGGAUCUAAGAAGCAAGGAAUGAAGGCCCUCUCCUUGGGUGAUUAGCCUUUGCUUAUGCAAAGAGGAAUCAACAAAGGUAUAAUAUUUCUCAACUCACUUUGUUCUUGAGUUGAGUCAUGGUUCACCUAACUACUAGGCUUUGAAUUUCAUGGGUAUUGUUUUGUUUUGAGUGCAUACAAGCAUGAUUCCACCUUUAAUUGUUAAUUUCAUGCUAUAGAUGUUGCUCAAAUGAACAUGUUUUUCACAAAAUUUCCUUCAAGUGGUAUCAGAGCCUAGGUCUAGUAGUUGGUGAAUCCUUUUGGGUUUUGUAGUUCAUAGUCUUUGAUUUGAAUGUUGUAAUUGUUACAAGUUUUAUUCUUGCUUCUUUGAAUGUAAAUUUUGUUAGAAAAUUUGCCAUCUCAAAUGUUGUAGAUGUAGUUCAUAUGAGAAUGAAUUUUGGAGCUAAAAUUUGGUGCCAUGUUUUUGGGGAAAUUCGGCCAAAUCCAAAGGGUGGAUUUUUGGGUUCUUGUUUGUCUUGUUAAAAGUGUUUUAAAGUGACUUUUGGAACCCCUAAGUACCCUAGGAUGUUAACCCAUUUUGAGUAGUGAAAAUUUGAGUUUUAUUGAGUGAAAAUGUUCAUGGAACUCUUAUGGGUUUUCAUGGAUGUUCUUCAUUGUUCUUGAUGUUCUUACCAAGGACAAAAAGUUUGGUGUUUUGAUUCAAAGUUUUUGGUUGAUUUCAUAAAGUCUUUGUUUUGUGUUGGUUUGUGUGAUUUUUUCAAAUUUUGAAAAGUGAUUGAAAUUUGAAAAUUUGAAAUUUGAAAAUGUGUUUGAAUUUUUGUACAUGAUUGGUACUUCUCUUACACACCAACCCAUCACCCACUUGUUCAACUUGCAUGACUUUAUAACUUUGCUUUUCAUCAAAAAUCAACUCACACACCAUCACUCACACUACUCCAAAACCGGUCACCCUACAAGUAUGGUACUUUUGGGGCUUUUAUGCAAUUACAUAAAGUUUUGAUACUUUUGUGUAUUUGUAGUUUGACCCAAAAGUUUACGUUUUUACGUAAAGGCCCAAAAUCACAAAAGGACAAAUUGUUUUGUUCCUUUAAUGAAGUUUUUGAAUUUGUUGAAAUUUUUGGGUUCUAGUUGUAAUUACAUGAAGUAGUGGACUUUUGUGUUUUUACAAAGUGACCUCAAAAGUUUAUGUUUUGCAAUAUAGCCCAAAAAGUUGAGGUUGUUGCUUUUCGGCCCAAAUUAGGUUGAGAACAAAAUGGUUUUGUCACUUUAAAUGAGAAUUGGAUUUUCAUUUCAUUUAGCUCCAUUUAAAUCAAUUCUAUGGAUACAAAAACCAAAUGACAAUGUUGCAUUCAAGUUUAAUUAGUUAAAGCGUUAAUUAAUUAAAUGGUGAUUAUGAACCUAAGCCUACGAUAAUUGAGCUAUGUGAAAGGCCGUCUCAAAUUUGUUUGAACCAUGGGAAUGUGUAGAUUAGAUUUUGGUUGUAAUUUGAUAUGAUCAAAUAUUGUAAAAGAGCAUAAGCUCUUCUUUACUUUAAAGUAAUUUGUUUUGAUCAAAUGUUGUAAAAGAGCAUAAGCUCUUCUUUACUUUGAAGUACUCCUUUUCUUGUUUUAUUUGAUAUGCAUGAAAUUGGAGUAGUUGGGUCCAACGCCCAAUAGGAAAAACACGCCUUAAUAUGAUUAAACGCGUAACUAAAAUCAAUCACCAUCCCUAGACCAAGAUUCAACACUAGGCUCGUGUUGGAUCUAAUCAAAGGUUCAUAGUCAUCCUAAGGCCCUAAGGCAACUAUAUAGUCCAUCAAUGAAUGCAAACCUUAUGUUAGUAGUACCAUAUACUCUUGCUUUAAAAACCGUUUUACAAGCUUAGUGGGAGUACUAUAUACUACUAAAUCAAUCACAUGGACCAAUAGUUGUAAUAGGACCAAAUUGUUUUAAUAAGAUUAAAAUGUAUGUUUAUAUGUGAUGAGACCUAAAACCCUCAACCAAACCAUUAUUAAGUUGAUAAGCGUGAGAGUGCUUUAAAAACUCUUUUCGUGGCCUUCCACCGUGGUAGGCUCCGAUCGUUUGUGACUCGUACACCAACUUAACCCUAUCAUGGGGGAGUACAAAGUGCGUGCUUACACUCAGGAGGAGUUCUAUAUGCAUACAUGAUGUUGUGAAGGUAGGCAACGAGAAUAGCCAACAUCAUAUCAUUGUAAGGUUGUUCUUGAACCCCUACUCGAACUUACAUGGUGGGAAUGACUUAACUAAGUGCAAUGGAGCCAACAUCAUAUCAUUGUGAGGCUUCAUUCUCUAGAGGCCAAAUAAGAUGGGUACUUGCAAGAGAUGCAAAUGAGUAAGCGUACUCUCUCAUUAUUAUUGAUGCUAGCCAACAUCAUAUCAUUGUGAGGUGGGCUUGGUAAUGAUGAGUCUCCCAUACCCUACUAAGAGUUUCCUCCAAAACUCUCGAAUUCCGAUAAGGGAUAUGGAAUUUGCCAAAAUAGUGGGUGGUGCUAUUUGAUUUAAAGACCCGGAUCAAAUGGCUUAAAAUCAAUCAAUUUAUAUUCGUUAUGUAUUUAUUUACCAAUAUAUUUGCAAACGCUAUCCAAAACUUGACAAAGAAAAAGCCGAAAGCUUUAGUUUCCGGACUUGGUACUACAAUCCCAUAGAUUGUCUAUAAUGGCUUGUAUAUGUAUCUAAGUAGUCUCAUCCUCACAAUCUUCCUAUUGAUAAUGUAUCAUUGGAAGAACAUGUUAGAUAAGUCUAUCAUAAAGAGGACAACACUUUUAAUGUUAUAAUUCUUCAAUUACAAAUUGUUGUAUGAAGAAAUAAGAGUUGCUUUGAACAACCCUUAGCUAACGCAAACAUUAGUGCUUGUUUCUUUGUUACAUGAACAAGGAACUUGAGAAGUAAGCACAAAGGCAUGGACACUUUAUGUGCCAUGAUUCUUCACUUACAAAUUGUUGUAUGAAGAAAUGAGAGUUGCCUUGAACAACUCUUGAAAGUUUGUAAUUAUGUUUAGAACAUAAUGGUUGGUUGACAAAAAUAGUCCAUCAACAUGGACUUAUGAUGAUUUUGAAUCAUUGAGUGUUGAAGUGUUAAACCACUUCACGAGACGGAAACUAGGCAAGGACUUCACUUUUGUGUCCCUAUCCAAAUGGUUCACUAAGUUUAUUGUAAACUAUAUAGUAAACAAUAAACACACGUUCUCCAAAUUGUUUGAUGUGUAUAACACAAUUGAAAUGAGUUUCAAGAGAGAUAGUGGGAGUUUAGGGACCAUGACUAUUGUAGUCAAAGGAGAAGUCAAAUGAAGAAGGGGAAAUAACUCCAAGGGAACAAACUUUCUUUAUGAAAGGAUGGACAUUGGAAGGGGUAUUUGCAAGAAAUGUCUUGCAAGUGUCAAGAACACACCUUUCGAAGGUGUUAUAAAUUGUUCUUGAAAAGUUCAAAACAGUUGGUUCUUCUACUUGAAUGCUUGAUUCCGUAUUAGUAACUAUGUUUUACAAUCGUUGUAAAAGUGUGGCUAAUAAGAAGUAGAAGAUUAAUGAGAGAAGAGAAAGAACUUCACAUUCGGAACGUGAAUCAAAUGUAGAUCUCUGCGAAAGCAGAUCGUACUUACUUCCUCAUAUGAACUACCAAAGAAAUUGGAAAAACCAAUGAUUGUCCAUACGUUCCAAUUUUAAGGAACUUAAUUCCGUCACUAUGAGAGAUGGAUGAAUGUUUUGUUUGACAAAACAUUGUUAUUUAUUAAUGAAUGAUUAGAUUAUUGUAAUCUAAUUGAUUAUCUCUAUAGUAGAGAUGAUAUGGUAGUGUUAACUGUUUAGAAUAUAACGAUGCUUAAAACCCAAAAGUUGCAAGGUAGUGACUAAUCCCAACUGAGUUGUGAUACCUCUAAAACAUAAAUUACGAGUUGGUCAUAGAUGGAUGCUUUGGAUCGUUAGAUCCGAAUCCAAUGCCUUCUUUUUAAAAUUGUAUAGAGGCAAAAUGUUUGAAUCUUUAUUCUUUUGGAAAGGAAGAAAGAAUCACAUUGAGGUUAAUUCACUUAGAUGUUAGUGGCACUUGUCCACAACAUAAUACUACUCAUGUUGUAUGACAUUCACCGAAGAUCGCUCUCGGUUGGACUAUCAUUUAUUUUGAAUAAACACAAGUCCGAAUACUUUGCAAAAGGUUUCAAAGAAUUCAAGAAAUGUAAGUUGAUGAGUAAGAUGUCUAAAGUAUUUACCUCCUUAGAUUUGAUCCAAGGAAAGGUAACACUUUAGAACAGUUUCCUUGAAAGAUAUCAAGGAAAGAAGCAUCAUAAGAUAAUGGAUUUCUCCAUUAAGAGAAGAACGAACUCAAAUAAGAUUUAGUUCGUUGGAUGUUAUCAAUUACCCAUAUAUAAGAUAUACACUUCUAAGACAAUAUGAUUGUCAAUUAGAAGAUCUUCCAAAAUUUUCAUGACUCCAUAGGAUGUAGUUGGAAAGAAAGACAAAUCUUAAUCAUGUUAAGAUUUGGGGUUGUGUGCUAAUAAGCAAUAUUUGUUUAAAGAAUUAUCUUGUGGGUAUCCUUAAAUUAACAUUUGGAUAUCACUUCUAUAAACCAACUAACAAAUGUUGUUUGUUGGAUAGUUCAUUGUAAUCCUACACUAGGAUUUGCCUAAGAUAGAGCAAAUGAACGAGGGAUAGAACUCAAAGAAUGGGCUCUUUGAGAGAUAAGAUAGUGAUCAACAAAUAUAACAACCUAGUUCCUAUACCACAAGCUCCAAGGUAGUCGAGAAGGAUUUAUAAACUGUCUCAGUUGAAUGGUUUGAACUUUAUGGUUAUGUCAUAGAGUUACACCUCUUAAUUCGAAAGAAAUAAGAAUGAAAAUCCUUAUGACUACAUUAAGUGUAUAUACGACAUAUACUCAAGGAAAUGGUAAAGUACCAUUUGACCCGAAAUAGUGAAACCUUUAUAGCUAAUUGGUAGCUUAAAGUGACUACAAUCAAAGAGAUUGGUUGACUUUGAAGAAACCAUCUUUAACGUAGUCUUGGUUUCAAUUAAUUCGAAGAUUGCUAGCUACAACUAAAUGGUGAUUCAAUGUUUGGACAUAAUAUGGGUUUCCGAAACCAUUAUUAAGAUAGUCUUGAUAAUAUAUCUAAAACUAUGAAUCACAAGACAUGUAAGUUGUAGAGAUCCAUCCAUCAUGAAUCUUAGCAAGCUAGUGGGAGCUAUAAGCGUCUUAUGAGAGAAAAAAUCACAUUGUUUGAUUUCUCAUAAAGAUGUAAAUGAAUCUUUUGUUUACUAGGUUUACAAAAGAUUAGUGGGAGUUAAUCAUGUUCCUAAAUUUGAAUAUAUAUAUAUAUAUACACAUAUAUGAUAUAUUAAUUUUGGAAAUGAAAAGAAUACUUCUUCGUUAAAGUUAUGACUUUAAACAUUCUAUAAAGAUAGAAUGUAUAUGGGAGACAUAGUCUAUAAACAUGGGAUGGAAAUCUAUAAUGAUAGAUUUCAGAAUAUAAUUGGAUUAUAUCAAGCCCAAAUGAUAGACAAAAGAUGCUAGGAAGUUUCUCAUAUGAUGAUAAACUUCAAUCUGAAGAAUAACUCUAGUGAGACUAGGAGGUAGCUCUUCUCAAAGGGAACGUACCCUUUGACUCCCAAAGAAAUAAUGCGUAAAUAAAAUCCUUUAUGCAUACGCAGAAAGGUGAUUUACGUAUUUCAUAUUGUAUGAAAAACGUUGAUAUGAGUUGUACCAAGAUCGGUACAAGACGAUAUCAAUGCAAGCCCAGGAUCAGAACCAUGGCAACUGUCAAGUGAAUCCUUAAGUAUUUGAGAAAUAAUAAAGGAUGGAUUCCUCAAGAAUGAGGAAGAAUUAGAGUAACGUAAUGGAAGCGUAAAUGUAUUAGAUUAUGAAUCUAAUCCAUCAUUGAAUGUUUCUUCAUUAUGAAUGAAGAGAUAAUUAGAUAUCUCUUUAUUAUGACUAGAGAGAUAUUUGGAUGGAAACAUUAAAAGUAAUGACUUUAGUGUGUUCCAUUAUGAAUGCAAAAUAUAUUGUCAUAUAGAAGCUUACAACAAUGUUGUUUGGAUGAGAAAGUUCAUUCAUGAACUCUCUAUUCGGUUCCAACCAGAAAGUGUCUCUAGUGUACCGACACUACGACACUAAUGGGGCGAUAGCUCAAGCCAGGGAAUCAAGGUCUCAUCAUGAUCUGAACUCAAAUGAGAGACUAAACCACAUGAUUAAGAAUCAUGUAUAAUGGUGACGUCGUUAUUCUCAAGGUUGCUUCUAUGGAUAACAUAUAGAUAUCCAUUGUCUAGGCCUACUACUCAGCCAUUUUUGAAAUGACUACAGAAGAGGUAUCAUCAUUGAUGACCAAACUGAUUGGCUCUAGUGCAAGUGGGAGAUUGUUGGAAAUGUGCCCUAAAACCAAUCAUAUGAUGAUACUUUACAGACAUUUCACAUGUUAAACUAAUCUAGUUUAAUAUCAAGGGCAAAAAUUAUUGUUUUAAGCCGCCUCAUAUAAAUAUUAUAUGCUUAAACAAUAAGUCCAAGGAAUAUGUAAUUAGGAGAAUGUAAUUUAAACAAGUUAGAUUCAUGAGACCAUUCUCUUUCGUAUACAUAUCCUAAACAUUCCUGAUCAUAGGAUUGCCAAUUGGGCAUUGACAGUCCGUUAAGAUUAGUACACACUGCGUUCUCUCAGGGAGAGUGACUGGUCUUGAGUCAUUGGUGUGAUUGACACCAAGACAAGCAUGUAGGUGCUCAAUAGCGAAUGAGUCCACUAAACACGAUCAACGAGGAGUUCUCAUCCUCAUGUCACAUGAGAACUCAUGGUUGGGAUAAUGCAAAGUAGUCAUUUGCCCUGAGGCAUCAUAGUUGUCUUGUGGUUAGGUCCUUGAUCUUUGACUAUGUCAAAGUCACUCUCCAUCCAAGAAUGUCCACGACAUAGUUGGGGUUAAGCCACUUAGCCAUGGAGGCAAGUGAAUGCGCAACAAGGGAUCUCUAACCUUCAAACCGUUUGAGGGAGAAUACUCUAUGAUAUCAUUAAGAAUCUCUAGCCAGAGUAUGAAUGAGAUUUAGGAAAUCGUUCCAAAUCACAUUCAAGGUAAUCAUAUAAGUAAGAGAAUCACAUUGGAUAGUAGACAUGAAUAAACUAUCAAACCAAACAAUGUGGUCAAGAGUAUUGUAUUAGAGAAAGACCGUAUUGCAUUGUAAUCCUAAACUGAAUAAGUUCUCCACCUCUUCUGAUUAGCUUGGGUAACCAUGACAUACUACUAGGUGUCACUCAUGGUUUGUGGAAGCCCUAAACAUGUAUAAUCACUAAAGGGAGAAUUGAAAGUAAGUUUCAAUUCACAAUCGAUUUGAAAGAGUUCUAAUCACCCACUGCCUUGCUAAAAGGAACCUAAUGGAUCGUACACCGUGUAAGGUAGAGAUUGAAGAAACAACGGAGAUGAUGGAAGUAAAUGGUUUAAUUAUUUAUUAAUGAUUAAUUAAUAUGUUAAUUAAUCAAACAAAUAAAGUUCGUUAAAGACCUCGGGUUAGUUUUGGGCCUCAAGGCCCAAUGGGCUUCGAACGUCAAGCCCAUUGACUUAAGUUGUAUGACAACUUAAUGACUAAAUAUUCACAAUGGCCCAAACAGCCCAAUAACACCCUAUGGCCGGCCAUAUUGAUAAAGGAGUGGGUUUUGGACUUAUUACAAGUUUGCCACUCCAAUGAAGGUAAGUAUAAAUAUGACUUUAUAGCCUUUGCUUCAUUAGGGUUUCUUUUGGAGAAAAUUGGCGAGAAAAUGUCUCUCCCUUUCUCUCUAAGAGGCCGGCCCCCUUGGAGGAGAUUAGCUAGCAAUCUCUCAUCCACCAAGGUCACUCCUCUCUUAUUCAAGUCUCUCCUUGGUGUGGAAAAAUUAGAGGUUCUCUAUUUUGAGAACUUGGAGAAUCUUUUCUACCAUCCUCCUCCAAGAAAUCGAUGGAUCUAAGAAGCAUGGAAUGAAGGCCCUCUCCUUUGGUGAUUAGCCUUUGCUUAUGCAAAGAGGAAUCAACAAAGGUAUAAUAUUUCUCAACUCACUUUGUUCUUGAGUUGAGUCAUGGUUCACCUAACUACUAGGCUUUGAAUUUCGUGGGUAUUGUUUUGUUUUGAGUGCAUACAAGCCUGAUUCUGCCUUUAAUUGUUAAUUGCAUGCUAUAGAUGUUGCUCAAAUGAACAUGUUUUUCACAAAAUUUCCUUCACGAAGAUUAAGAUCUCUUUGAGUAAAAAGAUACUGAAGACUCUUAUGAUCUGUGAAGAUCUUACAUUUCUCACCAUAAAGAUAAUGUCUCCAAAUCUUCAAAGAAAAUAUGAUAGCUGCUAACUCCAGAUUAUGAUUAGGGUAAUUCUUCUCAUGAGGCUUUAAUUGCCAUGAAGCAUAAGCAAUCACCCUACCACAUUGUAUCAACACGUAACCCAAACCAUUCAAAGAAGCAUCACUGUGAACCUCAAAAUUUCCACUAUCAUCUGGAAGUGCCAAAACAGGUGCAUGAGUGGGAUGAUACUUCAACCGCUGAAAACUUUGCUCACAAUUAUCAUCCCACUCAAACUUAACUUCUUUUCUAUUGAACCUCGUUAAUGGCAAAGCAAUGACUGAAAAAUCCUUAACAAACUGUCUAUAAUAGCCUGCUAGACCAAGAAAACUUCGUACCUCAGUGACGGUUCGAGGUUGCUCCCAAUUCUCCACAGCUGCCACUUUGUGAGAAUCCACUUGAAUACCUUGAGCAGAAAUGACAUGUCCCAAAAAUGCUACUUGAUCCAGCCAAAAUUGAUAUUUGCUAAACUUAGCAUACAACUGAUGUUCCCUUAAUUUCUUCAAAACCAAAGUAAGAUGUCGAACAUGCUCUGCUUUAGACUUAGAGUAUACCAAAAUGUCAUCAAUAAAAACAAUGACAAACAUGUCUAUAAAUGGCUGGAAUACUUGAUUCAUCAAAUCCAUGAAAGCUGCUGGUGCAUUCGUUAAUCCAAAUGGCAUCACAAGAAACUCAUAAUGACCAUAACGAGUCCUGAAAGCAGUCUUAGGGACAUCCUCACUGCGGAUCUUCAAUUGAUAAUAACUAGACCUCAAAUCAAUCUUAGAAAACACACAGGCACCUCGAAGCCGAUCAAACAAAUCGUCUAUACGCGGCAACGGAUAACAGUUUUUAAUCGUUACCUGAUUUAAUUGCCUAUAAUCAAUACAUAGCCUCAAAGUCUCGUCUUUCUUCCUUACAAACAAAACUGGAGCUCCCCAGGGUGAAGUACUAAGUUGAAUAAAACCUUUACCGACUAAUUCCUGCAAUUGGACUUUCAAUUCCCUCAAUUCAGCAGGAGCCAUUCUAUAUGGAGUCAAAGAUAUAGGAUCCGUACCUAGAAGCAAAUCAAUGGUGAACUCCACAUCUCGGUCUGGAGGCAAUCCAAGUAAAUCAUCAGGGAAUAUAUCAGGAAAAUGUCUAACUACUCGAACAUCCUCCACACUACUAGAAGCAACAUCAUUCAGCAUUACAUGAGCUAAAUAUCCCUAGCAACCUUUCGAUAACAACCUAUUUGCCCUUACAACAGAAAUAACACCAUGCCUCACCCCACUACGUUUACCCACGAAAGUAACUUCAGGUAAUCCAGGACGAUGGAAAGUAACUGUUUUCCCGUAGCAAUCUAUAUUGGCACGAUUGUAAUGCAACCAAUAUGUGCCUAAAAUCACAUCAAAAUCAACAAUAUCCAACGGGGUAAGAUUAGCUGGCAUAACUACCUCCUCCACCAUCACUGGACACCAUGGAUAUACACAAUCAACAUAACAUCUCUCCCCUCUAGGCAUAGCAAACUCUAAAUCGUACCCUAGAGGCGUAGGAUGAGGUUGCGUCACUUGAGCAAAUGUAUGAGAAAUGACAGAGUGUGUAGCACCAUAAUCAAUUAAAACUCUAGCAAAGUGACCAAAAAUGUUUAACGUACCUAUGAUCAAGUUCGGAUGAUUCUGAGCAUCUUGCAGAGAUAUAUUGUUAAUAUGUCCCUAGGCUUGUUGUCGUCCUCCACGACCUUUACUAGCUUGAUUACCUCGCCCCUGCACACCUCGCCCUUGACUUGGCUGACCAGAUUGCCUUGAAGAUCCUACACUAUUAGAAGCAAUCUCUACCUGCUGGGGCUAUCAUCCCUAGUACCACUGAGAUCCACCAGCUGGAACGGAAGGAUACGGUGUAUACCCUUUAGAAUACUGAGAAUACCCACUUUAGUAAUAGGGGUCAUGCGAAUACUGAUACUGCCUUGAAGCAUAAAGCAUCGUCCUGAUAAUGGUAAGCACCACAUCGACCCAUCUGACCAUAACUAGCAGACCUUGGAACUUGCUGGAUCAGCGCUGGAGGUGGCAUAGAAGGCUGAUAGGACCUCUGCUGACUCUGGGGGCAAUUUAUAACUCUAUGUCCCUUCUGCCCACAUGUAAAACAUCCACUGCUACCUCUCCUACACUCCCCAAAAUGCCUAUUAUUACAUUUGCGGCACAAAGGAGCACUUCCUCUUCCAGCAUCUCUCUGCCUCUGAAAUUUAUGACCUUUAGAAAAUCUAACACCUCUCCUUUGACCAGUGGCAUUAAAACCUCCGCUAGAAGGACUAGAACUAGUUCCACUCCUCUUAAAGCUCGGAGUCUUACGAGGUCCUUGAGAAAACUGACCUUUACCUUUAUCAUCUCGCCUUUGAUUCCCAUUCUUUUCUUCUUCAUCUUCACUCUCACUGGGCAUAUUUUCUGAGUCCUCAAUCCUCAACAAAAUCUCAUAAAACUCCUGGUAAGUGGCACAAGGAGUCGAGGUCGCUAUAGAACGCCAUUUCUUCUUAGUACCUAACCUGAAACGACGGAGCAUCCCAACCUGAUUAGCAGCAACCUCUGGAUGAUAACGAGACAAAUCAGUGAAUCUCCUAUAAUACUCAUUUGCCGUCAUCUUCCCCUAAUUUAAUUGAGUAAACUCUUGUUUUUUGCAAUCAAUAUACUCAAGAGAAUAAACCUUUUCUGAAACAACUGUUUAAAUACUUCCCAAUCCGCAAUUUCCUCUGGGGUCAACUGAUAAGACUCCUGUUUCCACCAGGAUGCAGGUUCCGGACCCAAAAACCAGGUAGUCGUCUCGACCCACCUACCAGGAGGAAGAUUCCCCUGACUCUGCAUUACACAGAAAGUAUUUUCAAUAUGAUUGAUCCAUUUCUCAGCUCCUUUAUGUCCUUCAUUCCCCAUAAAAUGAUUCAGCUUCAGAUUAUACACAGUCUUAAGAGGUGUCAUUUAGGGAGGACGGAGCGAAAACUAAAUAUCAUUAGCUAUAGCUUCCCUUAACUAAGCUAUAUCGGGGAAACUAGGCUCAACAGAACAACGUGGAUCUCUACAAGGUGGCCUAGUUCUGACAAAAGACAUCAAAAUAAUUAGAAAUUCUUAAGAUAUGUAGGACUGCAAACCUAAUGCUCUGAUACCAAACUGACACACGCCGACCUAGAUCGAGGCAUGCUGGCCGUCACAUGAGAGUGACUUAACCAUGUGCACAAUGCGGAAGCAAUAAAGAUAAAAGGAAUUACGAAUAAACAAAAACCAAAUCAACUAGAGUACUAGCUAAGAUAGAGUGCUGAUAGGAGUCUGAGAUGAAGAACUAGAGAAGCUGCCACAUCUGCUUGGAGAACAAAUAAGGAAUUGCAACAUCACCAAAGAGCAAAGCUUCGCCGUACAAUUCCAAUCCAGUUCAAGAUCAAAGCUGUGGAAAGUCAACAAGAUCAACUAUCUCCAAAACCAGAUUUGCGUUCUUAAACUCUACUCUGUCUGGUUUUUACUUUGCCAUAUUUGUCAUGUUUAUUUGUCGUUUGUUAUUUGCUUGUUUUUGGUGUGAGUAUAUGCUUGAAACAUUGAGGACAAUGUUUGAUUUAAGUGUGGGGGGUAACCAUUGUUUUGCAUGAAAUUCGUAGAAAUUUAUCACCCAUUACUUCUAGUGUCGUUCCUUGUUGUUUUAAGUAUUUUUAAGCUGUUUUGGAGUGUUUCAGUGUGUUUUGACAUAAAAAUCAGAAAAUUCAUAAAAAUUUGAAAAAUUGUUUUUGAAAAUCCAAAAAAGAGUUGUUUUUGUGCGCUUAUUUGUGUCUUAGGGUACCUUCCAACACAAUGAUGAGGAUUCGGUUUGUAAUUGCAUGACUGUUAAAGAGAGUUAUAAACAUGGAUGAAAGUUUGAUUUACUCUUUAUUUAUGCGUGGUUGUGGUUAUAACUUAUGAAAUCACAUGUAAUCAUAAAAGAAAAAAUUAGUUUUUGUAACAUGCUUAAAGGAAAGAACUCAAACUAACGCUACAACCUUGUGAGACUUGAGCUUAAACGUUUAUUUGGAGAGUUAAAAUCUGUGCAUUCUUGUUUUCUAAAGUCGUUGCAUGAUCUCAUUAUUCUUUGCUUGGUUAUUACUUAGAAGGCGUUUCAUCAUUUAGUUCCAAAUGCUAGAACUCAUGCCUAUUUCAUUCAAAGCAUGCUAUUGAUUUGCAUAAAACAUAUUCAAGAUGAAGUUGUGUAGUUACCACCACCAAAGCCAAACUGCCAUGUAUCCCAUAUCGUUAUAUGUUUAAGUUAACCCCAUUGAGCCUUGAUAGCCUACAUUCUUUGUUAAACCACAUUAUCCUUACCUAGCCUAGUUUAGGACCAUCCAUACCCUUAUUCUUGAAGCAUAGUAAAGCAUUAUUCAAAUUGAAUUUCUUUUGAUUAAUGUAUGGCAGAAAACAAGUGUGGGGGAAGUGUGAGUUAUUAUGCUUGUUGAAAAGAAAAGAAGAGUUGAGAAAAAAAAAAAAAAAAAAAAAAAAAAAGAGUUGAAAAAUAUGCGAAAAAGAGUUUUAAAGUGCUGCUUGUUGAAGAAAGGGUCCAAAACAUAGAAUUCGGCCCUAAAUAUUGCUUGAAUUUUCCCUUCGUGUCUAAAAGCUGAUUUCUGCAAUCUAAGUGAAUUCUAAGUUUCAAUUUUAUUACUUUACUUGCUAUUGCUUUAAGAACGAUUGUUAUCCUUAUCCUUCAUUUGUUAGCCAUCACCCCAAGCCCCGUUACAACCCUUAACUUCAUCUUGAGUGUCAUGCGUUUCAAUAUGUAGAGUUUGAAAUUGAUAUGAGCAUAUGGUGUCACUGGUUCUCGCAUCUAAGUAGUAGCAUUCCAUUCAUGAGAUCAUAUCUAAACAUGCUUAUUAACUCCAGAAAUUGCUUUCUUUGUGAUACAUAUAUGUGAGCGUUCGUUUUCAUAUCUACAUCAAUCUUCUCACAUAUAACUAGUAUAGGGUGUGUAGUUAGAAAAUCUGAGUGAAAAUUGAGUGCAUAUCUUGUAAGGAAUUGAGUGAUUUCUCUAAGGCAUGUUACUACAUCAAAAACAUUAUUUUAAUCGAUUAAUUGUGAACAAGUAAGUGGUGAUUAUGAUUAAGUACGUGCUUAAGUGUGAAGAUGACUCAAAUCUGUGGGGAUAAUAAUUUUUAACAUGUCAUGUGCAUUGGAAAUCCCUGAGGCAAAUGUUGGAAGGUUAAGGUUGUGUUUUUUUUUUACUUUGUUUCGUUUUAUCUCUUUGUUUUGCUCGAGGACUAGCAAAAGCUAAGUGUGGGGGAAUUUGAUAGGAGCAUAUUUAUGCGACUUAGUUGGCUUGUUCUUGUGCAUUUAUGUCGUGUUUCCUUAGUUAUUUUAAUGUUUAAAGUCAUUUUCGUGUGUUUUCAGAUUUUAUGGACAAAGUAGGCAAGAAGAUGCAUUUUGGAGCAUUUUGGAGCAAAAUGGAGCUUGGAAUGCAUGUCACAUAUUUGGGCCAAAGUGGAUGGACGAAUUUGAGAACUAAAAGAGGCCAAGAAUGUGAAGAAUUAUGGUCCAAAAGAUGAAGAACUCAGCCCAAAAAUUUGUCACCCCAACUUGCCUUCAUUGCCAUGCAAAACAACAUAGAAUUCCCUUUGGAUUCCCAUGCCAUGCUUGAUCACUCUUGUCCCCUACAUAAUUUCUGAUUUCAUGCUUCAAUUCAUUUAAUUAUUACACUUAAUUGCUUGAUACCUCUUGUUCCCUUCACCCACAAAAUUUUAUACAACUUUCACAACCAUAACAUGCACCAAUUAAUGCUCCAUCAUUCACAUUUGGAAUCCCAUGCCUUGUGUACCACAUGUUGCUGCACCUUUGACCCAUUUAUUGACACAUUUUCACCUCCCUUUCCAUCUCUAUGCAAUGUACACACAAUCAUUCAUGCCCCCUAGCUACAAGACCACUCCAUUUUACCCUUCACACUUUGCAUCAUCAUCACUUCAUUUUCACCCUUGGACCAUUGCACACCACAUACACUCUUUGCCGUGCAUUCUCCCUAGCCUAACCUGAUUCUCUCUAAGGUUUUUGGGGCCUAUAUAUACAUGUUUACACCCCUUGGCAAAGGGUACACACUCUCAUAUUCACCAUUCAUCACAGAAAUUUCGUCCAUACUCACCCUAGGUAGCAAAACACCCCAAAAACACCAUUCUAGUGCCUAGAAAACAUAACAGCCACUCCACCUUCUUCCACCCUCUUUGCCUAGUUCUCCACCACCCUCCAACCCUCAAACACUCCUCCACACUUACCCUAAACCUUUCUAUACCAUUCCCCAUCCAUUCUACAUCAUAAAACUACCCAAAAAUCCGUCCACAAAGCAAUCUGCCGCAAGCAAGCAAAGGAGAAUUCUUGGAUGCACUUGCUACCCAAGUUGGAGCAUUUUAGGUGUUUUCUUUCCUUUGAUUUUAAUGUCUAAUUUUAUGUAUCUUUGCUUUGUGAGUAUGAGGAACUAAACCCCUCUUAGUUAGGGGGUGAUUCGAAACCAUGUUCAUACUUGCAAUAUGAUUUGAUUACAUCCAGUUGUGAUUCAUAAGUUGUGAAUUCUAUUUACUUAUCCGAUCGUAUAAAAAAUGAUUUGUGUAUGUUGGUUGAGAGUGCACGCUUAAUUUUCAUGCAUGAAUUUAACGCUAGAAUAUAAGGGAGUUUCACCUAAUCGUUAUGAACUUAUAUUCACAAGUAGUGAAGGUUGCUAGUCACAAUCACGUUAAGUAAAUUCUUGGCAUAAGUUUCAUGCAAAUCAUAGUAACGAGUGCCUCGUCAAUGCUUAUGUUUUUCAUAGAACUUAAUGAUUCUUGCUUGUAUCUCUAUUAUGCAAUUCAUGUAGGGAACUUGUAGGGAAUGUUUUGGGUUGUCGUAUGCAAUCAUCCAAUCCAAUAACUUGUGGAAAAACUGAGGGUUAAUUAGUGCAAUUCACGGUUAAUUUGGGGCGUUGAGUAUUCAUAGCUUAUCGAAAAGCAACUGGAAAUCGUUUUGUAUGAAAGUGUGACAUGUGUGGAGAAGAACCUCCUAGCUAGCCUUCCAUCCAUAAGUUUCAUUCAAAUUCAUUUUUACAAUCUGUUUUGAUUCACUUAAAUUUGUCUAAGAAUUUGUUUACUUUGUUCUUGUCUUAAUUUAAUUAUUUUCGUCCAAAAUCAACCCCAUCUUAUUUCUUUGAGUCAUAUUAAUUAGAACUUGUCUUAGAUUAUGUUUUUAAGUGUUUUAGUUCAUUAGAAAACCAAAAUUCGUCCAAGUUUGUGUUAGAGUCCCAAAACUGCCCAGAUUGUGUGUUUAAGGUAGUUUUGAGUGUUUAGGGGCUGUUUUGAGUCUUUUGGUUUGUUUUAGUGUUUUAAAGUAUAGUUUUGCAUUCUUUGAGUCUAGUUAGUGUUUUAAACUUUGUUUUUACGUUUUCAAGUCAGUUUCCAAGUGAUUUAGCAAUCCCUCCUAAUCCCCGGCCUAGAACGAUCCCUACUUACAUACUUUACUAUAAUUGAUAAAAAGAGGGUUUAAUUUGUGUGCUUAUAUAUUUCGCAUCAAGUGCUAGUGCGAGAUUAAGUGUGAAAUACACAACCAGAGCAUAAAUAUCCUAAGUGCAGUCAAGCAGGACAAGUACUAAUUAUACAACACCUAAAGGUGAUCCUACAUUAAUGAUGUUCUGUCAGAACCCCGGUCGAAAUCCUAGUGAUCCACCAAGCACUUCUACCUAAAACCUGGAGGGGUGCAAAACAGAAAGUGUGAGUGGGCAAAAAUAAAGCUUUUCAAAAUCAUUUCAUUUCUCAAAAGUUCUAACCCCUCGCCGUAAAACCUGUAUAAUUUCCCAGAAAAUAAUAGUAAUAAUAAGCUGUAUCAGAAAUCAUACUCAAGAUGAAAAUCCAUAGAAGUAUACCUUGCCAAAGUAUCUCAAUGCAAUGCUAUAAGUAAUCUAGGCAAAAUAUAUCAAUGUCAAAUAUCGCAUCAGCUAAAUCCCUCUAACUCAAUAUGCACGGCUGAGUAUAUAGCUCAUAACCAAUCUCAAUCAUAUCAAAUCAAAUCCUGCACAUGAGUCGGAACCACCUAAAGUGGUCUGUAUGACAAGACUAGGUGUAAAGUAAAUAUGCUCUAGUGCUACGAUCACGUGAAGGCUGUGCGAAUGAUCGCAGGUCACCUACGAGCCUGAACCACCUAAAGUGGUAUGUACGACAAGCUUCUGCACCUAACUUGGAUCCAAGGUGAGUAUAUGGUGCAAGAGGUGAACAUCACGUGAAGGACUGUGCCCUAACUCUAGGUGGGAGCACUAACACCGGAGUACCGGUUUAUGAGCUCUCAAAACAUCAUAUUAUAUCUCACAUAACUGAAGUAACCUCAAAUCAUUAAUUUAUAAACUUACUUGGUACUUACUUGUGCGGCUGCAGCACCAAUCAUAAUUAUAUGCAACUACUAAUGCAUAAAUAAAAUAGGCGGAUACUUUGCAUGGCAUUUCAAAACGUAUAAUCAUUCAAAUUCAUUUUCUGGGAAAAAUCUCAUGUAUAUAAGUAUAUACAGAAAACCAAAAGCCCACUCACUGAUAUGUCGAAGGGUCGUAGCCCCCGGGCCUCGAUUAAUGGUGCUCGUCCUCAGGAUAGGUCUCACCUAUACACGAAAUAACUGAAUAAACGUUAUUUAAAGCACAUACACAAAAUUAGGAAAUAACUUCUCAUACAUUGCUCAAAUGGGGUAUUUGAAUAUACCACCAUGAUCUACUCAUCCUCAGGAACAUCCCCAUAUUUUUAGAAAAAAAUUUCAACCUCCCACGCGCCGGCCAAGGCACGGCCAUUCGCGCCCCCAUGCGCGUCUAAACCAAACCCUAACUGAAACUUAACUGCCGUUAGGAAUAUUUUGUUAAAUCUUAAAAUAAGUUAACGGCGUUACCUGAAGCCAUUAGAAUAUUUCGUCAGACUUGACGGAAUAUUCUCAUUCGUCUUCCUUGGUUCGCCGGCCCCGCUGCGAUCAUCGGAAACUGGAAAAUAUAGAAACCUUCAUAUCUUCUUCAUUUUUACACACAAAUCCAUAAAAUUUGUACCAAAAUGAAUCUUAGGACUAGAAGAACAAAACCUUACCCAUUUAAAGCCCUAAAAUCCAUGAGAUUUGGCCGGAGGAACCUCGAUAUUCUGGCCAAACUUGAAACUUGCCAAACUCAACUUCCCGACGUCCAAAACACUUCAUUUUUCUUCUCCGAGCUUCGCGAAGACAUCCUAAGGCUCACUAGCAGCUUAAAAUCUCCUAAAAACUUCAUAUUCACGAUCACAUGAAUAGUGCACAAAAAUCGAGGUUCUUGGGUUCUCGGGUUUUCGAGGGUUUCACGUCCAACCAAAGGUGCAGAUGGGUUCCUGGACUUACAAGGAACACAAAGAUAGCUUCCAAAACCUCGAUCCAUGACUGGAAGUGAAGGUUUGAAGGUUGUUUGUACGGUUGUACGGAAAUGGAAGGAAAUCCGAGAAAGGGAGGAGAGAUAAGGUCAACGGGAGUUUGGAUGUGUGAGUGUGAGUGUGUGGUCCAAUUUUGGGUCACUAAUCACAACCCAAAACCAUCAACUUUAAGUUCCAAAAACUUAGAAACUAAUUAAAUUAGUUUAAAACCCAAACUCAAGCCACAACGCCACAUAACGCUCAAGGGUAAAAUGGUCAAUUCAAACCAUCGAUAAAAUAUUUCGGGACUGGUUGUGACAGCGUGGUCAAGGCCCAAAGUGGACAAUAUCGUGCUACGGCGGAGUCGAGCUUAGGAUGUGGUGGGCGCCCGGGUCGGGAUGUGACAAUUUGGUAUCAGAGCCAAUCCCUGGCCGGAAGUGUGCCGACGAGGACGUCGGGCCCCUAAGGGGGUUGGAUUGUAAAAUCCCACAUCGCCCAGGAGUGAGGAUCCUGUAAGCCUUAUUUGUAUAUUCCCAUCUCUACCUAGCACAAGGCUUUUUUGGAGCUCACUGACUUCAGGUUCCAUUGAAACUCCGAAAUUAAGCGAGUUCGCGCGAGAGCAAUCCCAUGAUGGGUGAACCACUGGGAAGUUCUCGUGUGAGUUCCCAAAAACAAACCGUGAGGGCAUGGUCGGGGCCCAAAGCGGACAAUAUCGUGCUACGACAGAGUUGAGCCCGGGAUGUGGUGGGGGUCCGGGUCGAGAUGUGACAAAUAGUCCAAUUUAUUAAAAUAAGUCCAAUUCCGUAAAUUUAAUUAUUUUAUUAUCAAUAAUUAUCUAUUCAAUGACAAGAUUUAUUAUAAAAAUCAAAUUUCUUCCUAAUUAUCUCUUUGAUUAUUUCUUUUUAUUUUUAAUUUUUGUUAUUUUUUGUUCUUGCUCCUGCUUUAAACCCCAUUUAUAGAUUUUAUUUUUAAUUUUUAUAAUCAACCUAUCUCACAUGUUAAUUAUUUUUAUGUAUAUAUAUGACAGAUUCUUUUUUAUAAUCAACGUGUCACAAAUUAAUGUCUUGCUUGUAGGUAUAUUAUGUUUUUUCCUACCUUUUAGUUAGGUUUCAUAUCUCACUUAUAGGUAUAAUAUAUAUUCAUAUAUUUGUUACUUGAGUUAAGGGAGAAUGUUUUGUAGAUAAUUUAUGUUAGUAUAUUAGUUUUUGUUGUUGUAAGAUAUUAAUUAGAUUUUUUGGAGUUGAAAAAUGCAUAAUAUUAGAAGAUUUUAAUUGAUUUUUAAUAUUUUUUUUAAAUAUAAAAUGAGUAUAAAAGAAAUAAAAACAUGUAAUUAGAUAACUGGAUUCACUCCUAAAAAUCAUCUAUGUUUUUGGACCUAGAUCUAAAAGCCCCUUAAUUCAUUUCUUUUCUUUUAAAUAAUUUUUUUUAAAUAUGUAAAUUAAUUAUUUAAAUAAAAAAUAUAAAAAGGCCAUUUGUCACACGCGUAUGCGUGUGGCAAGAGUCUAGUAUAUAUAUAAAAUGAGAAAAAUAAAAAAGUGAAACAUUCAAAAUACCCUCAUUUAAAAUAAAAAGCAAAACACAAAAUCUAUAGGGCUAUCCUAAUAUAAUACGGUUAAAUGGUAAUACACAAAUAUAUAGGGUUAAAAUUGUCAUACAAAAAAUAAAACAUUGAGAGAUGUUUAGAUGCGGACAAUAUAUCUGCACAUAUCAUAAAUGAGAAUUUACAACCAUCAAACACAAGGCACCAACACUUUGAAAUUAAUUGAGACCCUUGGAUUAUCCAUCACAUAAAUAAUGAACUACAUCCUUUCUUUCUACCAAAGCGCCUUUCUCCAUUGGAAUUUCAAAAGGAAACGAAGGACAUAAUCUCCUCCACGUUUUCAGCAUUAACUGCACAUUCUCUGCAGUUACAUGGAGAAGCAAUAACACUCAGUUUUAAACUGCUAUUUUCGAUUUCCAAUCUCCCACAUAUUCACAUGAAACUCAUUCCAAUCAGUAUCAGAGUUUCAGUUUCAGUUUCAGUUUCAGUAUCAAAGUUUCACAUGAAACUCACGUUUUCAGAAAUAACACUCAGUUUUAAACCGCUAUCUGUUACUACUUGCUGGGGUUGUGGCUCAAGAUUGAGAGGCCUAAUUAUGUUAUUUUAUAAUUAUCUUAUUGUUAUGUGCUUCAGCCUGCAUGCCAUUGUGUUUGUGAUUGUGCCCCCACUCACAGUGAAAGCCAGGCGGGAUAAUAUGGCCGGAUGAUCGGCAUGAAAUCGACUCUCACCCUUAAAGCAUCUACUCAGAUGCUUAUGCAGGUCUAGGAGUUUCGAUUGGCUUUAAACUUUCGAGAGCUGAAAUUCUUCUAUCCAAUGAAUCAUGGAAGCAUUUUGGUCAAUUUUCUACAUAAAUUCCACCUUUUAAAACCGGUUUCAUUGUUUUGUGAUUAUACAGAAGUAAAAAAUAAAAUAUAUAUUUGCACCUAAGAUGUGAAAAGUAUGGGGUUUAUGUAGAAAAGUGUGGGGUGUAUGUAGAAAAUGUAGGGUGUAUAUAGAAAUGUAGGAUGUAUGUAAAAAAUGUGGUGUGUAUUAAGUAUGUUGGGUGUUAAUAAAACAAGCCAAUUUUUAUUCUUUGUUCUUAAAUUUAAUUUGAUGGCAAUUUAAAGCGUUGUUUUGUUUGCUAUCAUUUAGACAUAAAGUUAUACUUUUUAGUGGCCUUUGAUAUGUAAGAGAUUGAUCAAGAACAUCAUGUUUAGCUUCACUUUGUUUAUGCACUUUUCUCUUUUCAAGUUUUGAGUCUUAAAACAUCUCAGUUCAAAGACAAGUUAUUUUGAGUUCUCCAUCCCAUGAAAAUACAAAUUUGGAAGGAUCAAGAAAAGGUUAAAUUUUAUUUGCAUAUAAAAUAAAAAGAGUGCAUGCAUUCAGCAUCCACGUUGGGAGCCAAGAAGGGGAUUGAGUUCAUAUGGGGAUUGAGUUCAAAUGAUUAACAAACACGAUUAUCCAUAGCAUAGAUUAUUGACCCCUUGAACUGUACUUUUUGGUGGUUUGGCAUACAAAUUUGGGAGGACCAAGAAAAGAAUAGAGACUGGAUAGUAGGUCAUUUCAUCUUAUUUAUUUGUUAAUUUUAUACUCAAAACAACAUAUGAACAAGUCUAAGUCUUUUCCAUGAUCAUGGUGGAAUUGUGUACGUCCUAAUAAUAAUAGUUUAUCGUACUGGAAUUUGGCUGUUUAGCUUGGUAGCUAAUUGUGAUCUCCAUGCUAAUUGUUUGUGGGUUGUUAGAAAACACUAAAGAGAGUGAGACAAUUUUAUUUGAUAUUGGAUUGGUUAAAAGAAGAAGACAACGUGUUUUUUCUCAAUAAAAAUGCAAGUUUCAUUAAACGUGGAGCGACCAACCAAGUUUAGUGAGUUUAUAUGUAACCUAAAACUAUAGUGUCACUAUUAAUGUCUAUACCAAAUGGAUAACAAUGGUAAAUAACUAACGCAACACAUCUUUAGAGACGCGUAGCGCCCGUGAUUGAAAAAAGGCCUCUCACAUGUGCAUGAGUGCAUUGCAUUCAACCCCAUUCUUACCUUCCUUCCAGAAUUCUCCUUUACCAAGUCUGGAUGAUAGAAACACUAUACAAUUCAUUCAAUAGAUAAUUGUCUUAGUGAUAUCAUAGGUGACAUAGAUAAUCGUUAUGUAGUCAAACAUUAUACGAUUCAUUCGAUAGAUAAUUGUCUUAGUGAUAUCACAGGUGCAACAGAUGAUCGUCAUGUAUUCAAACACUAUAUGAUUCAUUCAGUAGAUAAUUGUCACCAAUUAUAAGGUGUUAUUUCAACCUCAAAGUCAUAAUUACACCUGAUUUUUUUUCAGAGAAAAAUCAUCGAUUUAAAUAUUCCACCACAUUGGGGAAAUACAGAAACGAACACUUUGAGUGCCCCUCCGAAAUGAGAACUGAAGGACAUGAGAAAGAAUAGAGAAAAUGAACAUCAUGAGGGUACAAGAGUCAUGCACAUGUUUAGAAACUGGUAUAUAGAUUGAGUAGGAGAAGGAAUACGCCGCAUAAAGGCGAUCUUUGGCGACAUCAAAAUAGAAAUUUGGCAGGUCAACAACAACAAACCGCUGUAUUACCCGAGAAUAAGAAGAAAGCUAAUUAGAUACUUGCAUGAAGAAGUUCUCCAGCAAAUAAAAUCGACAGAAACAUAACUAACUAAAUAAAAUCGACAGGCUUAAGAAAAUGUUCACCUGAAAUAUCUUAAAGAACUGAUAGUUUUCAUAGCACUCUUUACUGUUCUUCACAAAGUUUUCAAGCUGAAGCAGUGCGUACUGAUCAAUCAUGGGAAGAUUGUGGUAUGAUAUAGCAUUAUCCGCUUGCCAACAAGAUGUAGAUAGAAAGUGAAAACAACAGACCAAGAGAUAAAACUGCCUGAAACAGCAUUGUCACUUGCAGCAUAAACUUACAAAAAGAAGCAUUAAACAGGUUUUAUUUAAUUAUGACUUGUGUGCAUGUGCGCCAAUCUGUGUAUGCGGGAAUAAAAAGAAGUAUUUAUCCAGCGAGAUGUAGUAAAGAUGGGAGUCUUAAGAUAACUAAACACGUAGAAUUUUUUUAUUGCGUGAGACAUCUGAAUUCAUAAGCACUGAUUGUGAAUGCUGAACAUACAUUCCAAUCAUGAAGAUUUCCCAGAAGGUAUCUCAAUGUUCCUCACAUUUUCCUAUAGAUAUCUGACAUUUGAUGGAGAAAUUGAGGGCCGAUUGUUACAUCGCCUGUAUAAUCUACACUAGAAACCAAGAGACGCAGGACAUCAGGUCCAUAGCCAUCCUGCCAGCAGAAAAAAAAAAAAAAAAAAAAAAAAAACAAGACUUAAGCAUCCAGAUACUGUUGAAGAUUGAUUCAGGUGAUAAUUCAGUACGUUUAAAUUUACUUUACAUCCAUGGAUCUACUACGUUACCAAAAGAUUUGCUCAUUUUCAAACCUUUCUCAUCCAAUACAAAUCCAUGUGUCAUGACACUGGAAUAUGGAGCCUUUCCCGUACCAAAGAAAAGUAACAGUUUCAUGUCGUGUCACUCUUUCAAACAAAUACUUCUCUGUAAAAUGAAAUCAGCCUCCGUGGCUUAAAUCCAUGCAGAAGAAUGAACAUCUGGACAUAAACAAGUAUAUACUGGCAUUGCUGAAACUAUUUAAAUUACAUACCCUUGCACUUUUGAGUAUUGCUUCCUAGCUGACUAAAAGUAGUACAGUGAGAAUGCAAACCAGACUUAGAUUGGUUGCUAUCUUCUUGUUAUUAGCAAGUAAAUAGAUAAUAUUCUUGUAUAGCAGCACAAGGUAGAGCUGAAAAGGUUAAACAAUAACUGUAUGAAUACCUGAAUCAAACCACACAUCCACUGUAUCAGUCUCCUUUUCAUAUUCAGAUGCUUUAUCAUGAUAUUUAUCAGGGAGACGAUCCUUCACCUUCAUGUACCACCACGCGUCACUAACCUUUUCGGAUAUUAUCGCUGCAAAAAUAGAUGACUGAAGGAAUCAAAUUUUAAUCUAUUAAAUACACCAUUCAUCUUUAAAAUAAUUAAAAUUGGGCUAGUCAGUAGAGCAGUCUUUGUAUAAAUGGAUAUUGAUUGAUUGAACUAUCUAGCUAUCUUCAUAUAUGUACUAAAAGCACACAAAUACACACCUGUGUUUGCAGACAUGCAAUUGCAAAAGUGAAAAUAUCCCCAACUGAUGCUCAAAAUUAAAGCAAAUAUCAACUUCUAUAAGAUCUUAAUUACACACUAAUAUUUGGAAAUACGUAGACAGAAAGAGGAAGUGUGUAUCUAACUGGCUCUUACACUUGAUAUGCUCAAUAGUCUCUUCAUUCAUCAAGAGCUUCCUUUGACUCCACAGGAUAAAAGACUGGAAUUAGAACACUCCACGUUCCCUGCCGUGAUAUACACCAAUCAGAGCGGCUAGAAGUCAAUGCACAUGUUCUGUUUUCCGCCUGAACAAAAUGUAAAUCCAGACCUAUUGCAUGGCCAAUUGCAUGACCAAUUGCAUCCAUAACAGCCCCGCGAAACCCUUCUACUGAAUCAAACCAUUGCUCAGUUGCCCUAAAUAUUGUGGGCUUUUUUGGUCUCCAAUCAUAUGGAUACUUCUGUUCUGCAUAACAGCGGGAAGAGCUUGUCUCUGACUCAGCUUGCUAAAACCCGAAUGAAAAAAAUAUAAAAAAGUUCCCUUAGUAUCCGCUGAAGGGAAAGAAAGAAACUUACGGUAGCAUUCUUCCAUGAUAAUUGAUAAAUGUUCAUCCAAGUAUUUCACAACAGCAAUAUUACCAUCCGCAAGUACAUCAAGCCCACAAAACUUUCCAGCUUCUUCAGUGAACUUUCCAUCAUCAUUUACUGGAGAAAGCAUGGGUAGUCGGUACUUCUGGCUGGUGACAUAAUCCUCCAGACCAUGUCCAGGAGCUGUAUGGACCAGUCCCGUUCCUGAUUCCUUUGUAAUAUGAUCUCCUCCAAUGACAACUGGGCAUCCCUUAUUCAAAACUGGAUGAACAUAUCUGUAAUGAAAAAGUAGAAAUCACACCUCAGUCAAUAGUUUUCAGUUUCAUCUGGGAUUGAAAAAGGGAGGUAAUUAUGUUAAAUAAGUACAUCUUCUCAAUAGAUAUCUUUUUAAAUCCGUAACCUGCAGUUCUCAAGAUCUGACCCGACACCCUUUUCUUAACAACAAGCGCUUCACACCCAUUUUACUUCUAACACUGGCACAAGAUCUGAAGCAACAAAAAGGCUAGGCUUAUAUUUCUUCCUUCAAAAAAUUUCCAGGCCUUCCCUUUUGAUUUCCAUCAGAUAAAGAAUCUUCUGAGAGUGACUGUACUUCAACGAUGGCAUAUAAAGUUAUAUUACAAGUGAGAUGAAGCGAAGAUUUUAACGGUACAUUCUCUUCAAAGUUAAUUCAUCAAAUUUUCCAACUCAAGCUAAUGUUUAAUUACAAACAGUUGAUACCGUUCCCAAACACAAGGCAUAAAACAGAUUAAGAACAGAGAUGACUGACUAAAUACCAACUUAAGAUCAAGAAGUUUCUUCUACAAAUCUAGGGCACAGAAAAUUUUAGCAAAAAUAACUACAGGCAGCUUCAGUAAACAGCUUAUUAGUAAAUAAUGGAGAUGAAUAUAAGCGUAAAGCUUUUCUUUUUGUGGUACUUUCCUGAUGAGUUUAGACAAAUCUUGGAAAUAUUCAUUUAAUAAGCGACCUGAAGUUGGAGAGGCACUCACCAAUUUGAAAAUGGUGUAUACACUUCUCGAAACAUGCCCCUCAGGAUACUGCAUAUAAAAGUUUCUGUCAAGUUAACAGGAACUAUACGGAUACAAUGUAAGAAAGCAAAAUGAGAUAAUACAUGAAAAUUGACAUUGUUUUACAAAGGCAUCACAAUAAAAGUGACAUCAUUUUUCUUGAAAUGAUUGAAAUGAUGCCCAAGUUCACUCAGGAAAAUAAACCUAAUGUAUUCAAAACUGGAUUUCUACUUGGCGAUAACAAAUUUUGUCAAAAGAAGUUGAGCAGAAGAAAUGAAACAGAACAAUUCAGAACUGUGGAAGGGAAUCUAAAUUUAUUUGUUAAUAGUAAGUUGCAACUUGUUCACAGUUGGUUAUUACCAUCAUUGUGCUUCGGUUUUGGUUAUCGAAUUUUGAUUACAAGUUAAGAGCAUUUAUAGAGUUGUCUUUGCACAAUGUAAAAUAGAAAGAAAAAAUAUGCCAGUUUCCAGAUCUUGAAAAAUCAGUUCUGUCAGCUCUCACUUUGAAUUUCACUUGCAAUAAACAAGAGAGACUGCAUACAUUUCGUAAUUUUUAUUUGUUCUAUCUGAAUCCUGUACCGAAUUAAAGAAAAAAGACACUCAAAACUCCGACCAUAGAGAAUGCCGUCGUAAGUCUCUGUGUCACUGACUUUAAUACUCAUCACAAAUUUGAAAAGGAGCCCAUUCCAACAACUGAAAACUGGGUUCCCUUUCCCAGAAACCAUGGGAGAACUGUAGGAAGAAGACGAAGCUUGAAAUCUCAAACAGAAAGCAGAAAAACUUCCAAGUGUUUCUAGUCUUUCAAAACAUUUUCUCGGGAACCAAACAGAAAGUGAACACUCCACUGUGAGCUCAAAAUAAGUGCUGGUGACUGCGUGUAUAUCCAAUACAGAUAUAUUCCGCGAGUGUGUGUGCGUAUACCCGGGCGCGGGGAGGGAGACGGACAUCAUUUACGAGUGUCAUGUUGUUGGAGUGGAAAAAUUCAGAUCCUUUAAAUCCUCCAACUAGUAAAUCUUGUAAUCACAUCGAGAAGCGGGGGGACCUGUAAGGAAACACUCUGAUGAUGCUCAAGUCAGUCUUUGUUCAAAAUACUUGUACAAUAUAGAAUGAUCUCAUACAUCUCUCUCUUUCUCUCCAUGCUGAUGGGAUUAUUGCCCUUUUAUAGGCAUUCAAGUCUUGGGCUUCAAGUUCCACUCUCCUUCUAUGUCUUCAUGUUCCAUGGAGUGGGUAUUAUGUUGCUUGAUUGUAGCUCCACUCCUCAUGUUUGGUGUUCUAGUGGCUUAUUUAGUGGAGGAGUCAUUUUUGGCUCGCACAUUGCCCCCUUUUUUCUCUGCAAACACAUCGUUGAGGAAUUGUAGAGGAAAAAUGUUUCUUUGCAAAAAUUCAUUCGACUUGAGAUUUCAUCAUUAGUUUGGCCUUCGGCUACGAUCAUAUGGUCUUCGACCAUGAGUUUGGCCUUCGGCCACGAUCAUGUUGGUCUUCGACCAUGAAUUUUGGGUCUUCGACCUUCGGUCUUGAGCCUUCGGCUCUUAUUCGGUCUAGGUCUUCAACCCACGGUCUCAUGAUCUUCGAUCACCAAUUUAUAUAGUAAUAGUAUGCCCUCAGAGUGAUUAAAAUUCGAACAACAUCAAUAGUACUAAUGAGCAUGUGUAAGAUAGAAACUCUUAUCUGUUGGGCAACUUCAUGGUUGUCAAAUUAAAUGGAUUUCCUUUGCUUACAACCCUUGAGUGCUUGCCGAAUAAGUGCCUUUUCAAUAUGCAACCAAAUGAUGUGCAAUAUAAGCAUUUCCACUUCCCUUCCAUAUUCUCACAAAUUGGAACAAUUCACUACCAAAACAACUCCAACAAUCCUAAUUAGCCUUGUCAAUAUGAGGCCACGACAUUAAUAGUGAAAUACUCAUAUUAUUCAUUGCCAUAACUGAUAAAGUAAAUGAUAAAUAAAUUGAGAUUCAGUUAGUGAUUCAAUGUUCUCGGCUUCCUUUGCCAAAGAAAAACCAUGAAUUGCACGAAUACGAAACUAAUUAAUAAUGCAAUAGUUCUUAUCUAUCGAAGCAAAUUUAGUGCAUUUAUUCUUCUUUCAAGCUUUGAGUGCUUGCCGAAUAGGUGACUUUUCAUUUUUCUUCGUAGCUUCUGACUCUAUCAUCCUUGUGCAUUAUUUGCAAUAUUACGCCAUGUUUGAUUAGCUUGGACUUCCUUCAAGACUUGCAAUUUAGAUCCCAUCACAAUCUCAUUUCAAACUCACUCCCAUCAUGCUAGACAGGUUCGAUCGCACCUACCAUUUGUAGUAUCACAUAAAUUAUCGCAAUGAAAAAGCAUAAAAAUACCGUACUUUCAUGUAAUUUCUAAAAUUGUAAAAGAGAUGGUCUAAGAAUUCUUAUCGAUUUGGAGGGUUUAACUUUGCCCCAAUUUUGGUUUGACCAGGGCAACUAAAGUGAGUGGCUCAGCAUUGACACAUUUUGGAGUUUCUCUGAUCCAAAUGGUCUCAUCUAUCGGUGCAGUUUGUUGAAGUUUUAGGGUUACCUAGCCGUUAGGGUUGGGUUUCCUGGUUUGUAGGUUUAUUUCAAGUAGUGGAUAAUAAUCCCUAACUUUGAGGGAUAUGCUUGUUUAGUUUGUUUCCAUCACCAGUCAUGUACCACGUAAUUAGGGUUAUGUAAACGUGGGUUGUUAUGAUUUCCUUUCCAGUUUGUUUGGCAUGGCUAUUUAAUGCCAUUGUAUGCUCUUGAAUUCAAUAAGAAAUAUUCUCCCAGUUCUUGUGUGCUUGAUCAAAUAUACAUUUCUGUCAAACGUUCAUUCUUGAUUUUAACAUCUGGUAUCAAAGCCCCAUCAUGGGGCCUGAUCAAAGCUUGAAAAGAUCGGAGCUAGAACAACGACAUGGCAGCAGAGAGUAGUUUCGUUCAACUUGCGAUACCAAAGUUUGAUGGGCAUUAUGAUCACUGAAGUAUGCUCAUGGAAAAUUUCUUACGUUCCAAGGAGUAUUGGAGCUUCGUGGAGACCAGGAUCCCUACAGCAGCAGAAGAAGUUGAUCCCAUUGAUUCACAAAAGAAGACGAUUGAAGAUAAAAAGUUGAAGGAUUUGAAGGCAAACAACUACAUGUUUCAGGCUAUUAACCGCUCUAUCCUAGAUACAAUUUUGAAGAAAGAAACAGCGAAGGACAUUUUGGAUUCAUUGAAGCAGAAGUACUAGGGAACUGCGCAAGUCAAGCGUGCACAGUUGCAAGCUCUUCGCAAAGAGUUUGAGGUGCUUCAUAUGAAGGUAGGCGAAUUUGUGAAUGAUUAUUUUGCAAAGACCCUCACCAUAGCCAACAAGAUGAGGGUUCAUGGAGAGAAAAUGGGGGAUAUGGUGGUUAUUGAGAAAAUUCUGAGAUCCAAAAUAUGACUAUGUUGUAUGUUCUAUUGAGGAGUUUAACGAUCUGGAUGCCCUAUCCAUUGAUGAGAUGCAAAGUAGCUUGUUGGUUCAUAAACAACGGAUGAGUAGGCACACCGUGGAUGAGCAAGCACUGAAGGCUACCUAUGACCCUUAAUCAGGGGGUAGAGGAGGCGGACGUGGUGCAUUUCGAGGAAAAGGUCGAGUAAGGGGUAGGUGUGGCCUUGAUAGGUUACCAUUGAAUGCUACAAGUGUCACGAACUUGGUCAUUUUCACUGGGAGUGCACCAAGAAAGACAAAGAUGGAAAAGUCAAUUACGUAGAAACCAGUGAAGAGAUGUUGCUGAUGGCAUAUGUGGAUGUCCAGGAAACUGGCAGAUAAGAACUUUGGUUUCUCAACUCAAGUUGCAGCAACCAUAUGAGUGGGAAAAAAGAGUUGUUCUCAGAGUUAGAUGAAAGCUUUAGAGAACACGUGAAUAUGGGAAACAACUCAAGCCUUGCUGUGUUGGGGAAAGGGAACAUUCGAAUGGAAGUGAAUGAUCUCAUGCAAGUGAUUACUAGAGUAUUCUAUGUGCCGAAAUUGAAGAACAACUUACUGAGCAUUGGUCAGCUACAAGAGAAGGGCCUUGCCAUCCUCAUGCAACAUGGAAAAUGCUCAAUUUAUCAUUCUGGGAGGGGUUUGGUCAUGGAAACAGAAAUGUCUUCCAACAGAAUGUUUAUCAUUCUUGCUCGCUCACUGUUAAAAGAACAACAUUGCUUCAACUCGACUAUUGAAGAUCAAUCUCAACUUUGGCACCGUAGGUAUGGUCACUUAAGUUGGAAUGGUCUCAAGGUACUUCAACAGAAAAAGAUUGUGCAAGGAUUACCACAGUUCAAGGCCCCUGCAAAGGUGUGUGAGAGCUGUUGGUCGGAAAACAACAAAGAGAUCCAUUUCCAAAAGCAAGCACAUAAAGAGCUUCUCAGAUUCUUCAACUGGUACAUGUUGAUAUAUGUGGCCCAAUUAACCCUACUUCAAACAGCAAGAAAAGGUAUAUGAUUACCUUUAUUGAUGAUUUUAGUUGAAAGACAUGGGUGUAUUUUUGGUUGAAAAAUCAGAAGCUUUUGAUACUUUCAAAAGCUAUAAGGCUAAAAUUGAAAAAGAAACUUGAGCAUGCAUAAGGAGGCUUAGUACGGAUCAAGGGGGCGAAUUUACAUCACGUGAGUUCACAAACUUUUGCAAUGAAAAUGGGAUACAAAGGCAAUUAACCGUUGCAUACACUCCCCAACAAAAUGGGGUCGCAGAGAGGAAGAACCGAACCAUCAUGAAUAUGGUUCGAAGCAUGCUUUCAGAGAAGAAGGUUCCAAAGACAUUAUGGCCAGAAGCAGUGAACUGGACGAUUCAUGUUUUAAACAAGAGCCCAACACUUGCAAUGAAGAAUAUGACUCCAAAAGAAGCUUGGAGUGGCUAUAAAUCAUCAGUGAACCAUUUCAGGGUUUUUGGGUGCAUCUCUCAUGUUCAUGUUCCUAAUAACAAUAGAGUUAAGCUUGAUGACAAAAGCUCAAAGUGCAUCUUGCUUGGAGUAAGUGAGGAAUUGAUAGGAGCAUAUUUAUGCGACUUAGUAUGUUUGUUUUCGUGCAUUUAUGUUCUUAGUUCUUAGUUAUGUUAGUAGUUUAAGCCAUUUUUGUGUGUUUGUAGGUUCUUUGGGCCAAGGAUGCAAGAAUAUGCAUUUUGGAGCACUUUGGAGCAUUUUUGGGCCAAGAUUGGAUGGUGCAAACAUGGAGACAUGAGGAUGGACGAAUUUGAUGAUUCAAAGGGCUAGAAAUCUGCAUGUGUGUGUGCAAAGUGUUGGCCUACAACUUCAAACAUCAUAGCUGCCAUGUGAUGGCAGAAAAUGUGUUUAUUGCUAGCUAAAUGGAUGAAGAACAUGCAUGUGCAAGUAUAAACACCACAUGGGCAGCAAGAAGGAAAGAAAACAGCAAAACACACACCACAUGGGCAGCAAGGAAUCAGAAAUUAAAGAAUGGAAGAGUGGGAAGUGAUGAGGACAACACACACACACACACACGGCAAUGGAAUGGAGUUGGCAGAUUUCUACAACAUUGGUAGUGAAUGGACAGCAAGGAAUGGCAGAAAUUGGACCACUAUGAGGUGGAUUUCUGGUUGGUCUUCCACUUAUAACUUUGGGUGGCUUUGGAAUGAUUGUUUCUAGGUGGAAAGAGCACAAAAACAGCACACACACAUGCAAAAUGGAGCUGGCAGCUUCACAUCCUUCCAUUGCCGUGGUUGUCAUGUCCAUUGCCUUGCAAUUCUUUUCAUUUCCAACCUCUAUAUAAGCACCAUUCAGCCUUCAAGGAAAAGCACAGCCAUUCAUACACAUUUCCAUUAGUUCCAAGGCUUGCAAAGAAGGAGGAGUGCUUGGAGUUGUGCUAGCCAUUCCAUUGGAGUUGUUGGAGCAUUCUAGGUGUCUUCUACUUUGUUUCUCUAUGUUUAAUAUCAAUUGUUUUUGUUUAAUUGCAAGUAUGAGGAACUAAACCCUUACUUAGCUAGGGUGAAGUUCGAAGCCAUGAACAUGUUUGAGAUAUGAAUUGAUUUCUUCCAAUUGUGAUUUAAUAAGUUGUGAAUGCAAUUCAAUUAACUACUUUCUUCAAAACUAAUUCUUGUAUGUUGAUUAAGGAUGCAUACUUAGUUUUCAUGCAUGAAUUUGAUGCUAGGAUAUAAAUGAGUUUCACCUAAUCGUUACAAGUUUAUAUUCAUUGGUAGUGAAGGUUGCUAGUCACAAUCGCGUUAAUUGAAUUCUUGGCAAACGUAUCAUGCAUUCAUAGUUACGAAUGCCUCGUUAACACUUAUGAUUUUCAUAGAACGUAAUGAUCUUUGAUUGUAUCUCUAUUAUGCAUUCAUGUAGACGACUUUUGGAGAAUAAUUUGGAUUGUCGUAUGCAUUCAUCCAAUUCAAUAGAGAAUAAUUUGGAUUGUCGUAUGCAUUCAUCCAAUUCAAUAAAUCAAGGAAAAUCUGAGGAUUAAUUCGUGCAUCACGGUUAAUCUGGGGUGUUGAGUUUCAUAAUCUAUUGAAAAGCAAUUGGAAAUCAAUUCAUGUACAAGUGUGUCAUGUGUGAAGAAUGGAUCUCUAGCUAAUCCAUAAACCAUCUAUUUAGUUUUACUUUUUGUUGUUAUCUCAAUCUCAUCCAAACCAAUACCUCCCAUUUACUUUCUUGUAUCGAAGUGUGUUUAAGUUUGUUUAGUUUGUGCCUUAAAGUAUUUUGAACUCUUUGAGUCUAGUUUAGUGUUUUAAAGCCUACUUUUGUGUUUUUAAGUUUCUUCUUAUGUCCUUGAGUCUUGUUUAAUAUUUUUAAAUUAAUUUAGAAUAGAUUAGCAAUCCCUCCUAAUCCCCGGCCUAGAACGAUACCCUACUUACAUCUAUACUACAAUUGUCAAAAAGAGGGUUUAAUUUGUGUGUCAAGUAAUUCUCGCAUCAUGAAUCAAAGGCAUAUCGACUAUUUGAUCCAGUUUCUCAGAAAGUAAUCGUGAGUCGAGAUGUGAUUUUCGAAGAAGACAAAGGCUAGGAAUGGGACAACAAUCAUCAUAAGGCAGCUAUGGAAUAUCUUGAAUGGAGAGGAAAUAUAUGAGAGAUGGAGAUUCUGACCAAAUUGAUAGCUUAGAUAACUCAUCUAAUGAGUUAACAAAUAAAGACUCUAGCACCGCCAGUGAAGGACAAAUCAAAAGAUAACCCAUAUGGAUGAAGGAUUAUGAGAGCGGGCAAGGACUUUCUGAGGAAGAAGACAUGGCCUACCUAGCCAUGUUUGUUAAUAGUGAUCCAAUUUUGUAUGAAGAAGCCGAAAAGCAUGCAAAAUGGAGAAAAGCAAUGAACUCAGAAAUUGAAGCCAUAGAGAAAAAUGACACAUAGGUGUUAAUUGACUUGCCACGAUGGGGGAAAAUGAUUGGUAAAAUGGAUCUAUAAAACGAAGAUCAACGAGAAGGGUGAAGUGGAUAAAUACAAAGCUCGCUUGGUUGCAAAAAGGUACAGCCAAACCCAUAGAGUUGAUUAUGCUGAGGUGUUUGCUCCAGUUGCUCGCAUGGACACCAUUCGACUUAUGAUCUCACUUGCAGCACAAGAAAACUGGUCCAUUUACCAGUUAGAUGUCAAAUCAACCUUCUUACAUGGAGAACUUAGUGAAGAAGUCUUCGUUGCACAAACUCCUGCAUAUGUACAAAAGGGUCACGAACAAAAGGUAUACAAGUUCAAAAAGGCUCUAUAUGUCCUUAAACAAGCUCCCCAAGCUUGGUAUAGUCGUAUAGAGUCCUACUUUCUCAAGGAAGGAUUUACAAAGUGUCCCUAUGAACACACUUUGUUCAUCAAAGCAACAGAUGGAGGUAAAAUGUUGAUUGUUUAUCUCUAUGUAGAUGAUCUUAUAUUUACUGGAAAUGAUGAGUUAAUGUUCAAAGAGUUUAAGCAUUCUAUGAUGGCUGAGUUUGAUAUGACUGGUCUUGGGAGGAUGAGUUAUUUCAUCGGUAUUGAAGUACUGUAGAGGCCGGAUAGUAUAUUUAUUGGUCAAUGAAAAUAUGCUCAGAAGGUAUUAGAGAGGUUCAACAUGGAUUAGUGAAACCCAGUCCAUAAUCCUAUUGUUUCUGGUUUCAAGCUUGUCAAAGAUGAAGAUGGGGUACGGGUUGAUAGCACUCUCUAUAAACAAAUUGUGGGCAGUCUAAUGUACUUGACUGGCACAUGUCCUGACAUGAUGUUUAUAGUGAGUUUGAUUAGUAGAUACAUGGAGCGUCCAAUUGAAAUUCAUCUACGAGCAGCUAAAAGGGCGUUGAGAUACUUGAAGGGCAUAAUCAAUCUUAGGAUGUUUUACAGAAAGGGAGGAAAUAAGAAGCUUAGUGGGUUUACAGAUAGUGACUAUGCUGGUGAUCAGGAUGUUAGGAAGAGUACUUCAAAGUAGGUUUUGAUGUUAAGCUCAGGGGCAAUGUCAUGGUCUUCGAAGAAACAACCAAUGGUUACUUUGUCUACUACCGAAGCUGAAUUUAUUGCUGCAGCAUCGAGUGCGUGUCAAGCAGUGUGGUUAAGGAGAAUCCUGCAGCAACUUGGUCAUGUUCAAUGUAAGGUUACCACAGUAUACUGUGAUAAUAGCUUAGCAAUUAAGUUUUCAAGGAAUCCUAUGAUGCACGGCCGUAACAAACACAUAGAUAUGAGUUUUCACUUUCUUCGUCAGCUCACCAAAGAUGAAGUUGUGCAGUUGGUUCAGUGCAAUACUCAAAAGCAAGUUACAGAUAUAAUGACUAAACCUCUGAAGCUACGUGACUUAUUGGGUAUUUGUUUAUAUCCAAGUAUAAACUGAUUGCUAAUAAUAGGAAUCAGUUUAAGGAAGGAUGUUAAAGUUUUAGGGUUACCUAGCUGUUAUGGUUGGGUUUCCUGGUUUGUAGGUUUGGUUCAAGUAGUGGAUAAUAAUCCCUAACUUUGAGGGAUACACUUAUUUAGUUUGUUUCCAUCACUAGUCAUGUACCACAUAAUUAGGGUUGUGUAAACAUGGGUUGUUAUGAUUUCCUUUCCAGUUUGUUUGGCAUGGCUAUUUAAUGUCAUUAUAUGCUCUUGAAUUCAAUAAGAAAUAUUCUCCCAGUUCUUGUGUGAUUGAUCAAAUAUACAUUUAUGUCAAACGUUCAUUCUUGGUUUUAACACAGUCGUGGUUGUCAACAGCGGUGCAAAUGCUUGUGGCCGGUAUUAUCUUUGCAGUCAAGUAGUGUGCAUUAUAAUCAUCAUGCAUGAUUCUUUUUUCCCUUCUCCUGUCACCAUUGUAGUUGGUAGAAACCAUUCCAGUGACAAACAUAUUCCCCAAAUACACACGUUUUGUGUUGAUCAUGUCCAGUCGCUUCAUCCUAAGAAAAGUGUGUAAAGCUGGUUGGUGCAACAUUGAACUCUAAAUCAUUGCCUUAUGCUAGGACUUUUUUGUUCAUGUGAUACACGAUGUGCCCAAAUUCUCGGCUAGUCUUAUGUCCAGCAGCCAUCAUGCAUUACUGAUCUUUCCUUCUUCCCACAUUGUUGAAGGUCCUUGCCCUCAUAAUCCUUGCCACUUUUAUUAUCAAUUUGAGAAAUCAUAAAGGAGGGCAGCAAGUCUUUAUUUUUUGGGAUUUUAAUCCAUGCCCCCAUUGUAGCUUAGACUGGUUUUUUGUACGUUUUCCACAGACAGCGCCAACUGUUGGAGCGGAAAAAUUCAGAUCCUUUAAAUCCUCCAACUAGUAAAUCUUGUAAUCACAUCGAGAAGCCAAACAUCAUCUUCGGUUGCCAUCAAUGAGAGUGAGGGGACCUACAAGGAAACACUCCAACGCUCAAGUCAGUCUUUGUUUAAGAUGCUUGUACAAUAUAGAAUGAUCUCGUACAUCUCUCUCUCUUUCUCUCCAUGCUGAUGGGAUUAUUACCCUUUUAUAGGCAUUCAAGUCUUGGGCUCCAAGUUCCACUCUCCUUUUAUGUCUCCAUGUUCCAUGGAGUGGGUAUUAUGUUGCUUGAUUGUAGCUCCACUCCUCAUGUUUCUUGUACGAGUGGCUUAUUUAGUGGAGGAGUUUGGCUCCCACACAUGCUUGCACCAUUUUAAAACUACCAAACUCGCAUAUUGCAAGAUUUCAAAACUCCAGACAACUCAUUAAGUUUUUAUUAUUACCCACACAACUAAGAGAAAACAACAAAACAGAAAACAAUACUCAAUUUACUUAGCAAGAUCCUUCUAUUGAUGGCUGGUAUUAACUUUAUAGAAAUACUGGAAGCUACAGGAUCUGAAAAUCAAUGUUGUGGAGCCAAAACCAAAAAUAUACAAGGCGACACAUGGACUUUUUUUUCUUCAAGAAAGACAAGAAUGAAAUCAUUAAAUGAGAAUGGCACACAAAUAUUCCCACGUCCAUCUUAGCAUCCCUAGAAGUGCAAGUAGCUGACUAGACUGAUUAAAGCUCCCAUGCUUGUGGCAUGAAAAAGACAAAGGCAUCAAAGAUAGGAUUAAUUAUUAAAUCAUACCUUUAAUACAUUCCCAAUUGAAGGUCAUCUCCAUCAAGUAAGGAAACCUUAUAACAAUCAAUCAGGGGUAUUCCCAUCAUCAUCCCAAGAUACUAUUGUCUAAUAAAUAUAUUGGGAAUAUUAUUUCCUGGUGCAUCCUAUGGAUGGCAAACCUUCGCCAAUAGGAUGCCGUCAUGUGUAGGGCACAAUCCUAACCCCAUGGCCGCCACCUCUUUCUAUAAAUACAUCCAUCUCUUCAAAAUUUCGGUAAGCUUUUUACUACUCAUAAAAACCCUAAACACUCACUCUUUUCAAAGUCACUGACUUAGACAUUGGAGAUCUAUUGCCCAAUCCCCCACCUCGUGGGCACGUAAGGCUUGGUUCUUUGCUCAAAGGUGUUUAUUGUUUUGUAGGUAUUAUUUCAUCAAAAUUGAAGACGGCAGAAAUUUGCUACGACAAAUGUCGUUAUACUAUCUAUCACAAUAUAAUGUAAAGAUAUGAGUCAAAUGGUGAAAACAAUGGAGGUGGAUUGUCUGCCCUCCCAUUUCCAUACUUUUCCCAUCCCCUCCUGUUUUGUGUGGUCAUGGUUAAGCCACGUCAACAUUUUAUAUUCCUAUUACUUUUUGUUUUAUUAUUUUUGUAAAAAAAAUCAAUAUAAAAUGUUGAUGUGGCUUAACCGUGACCACAUAAACAAUAGGGGAUGAGAAGAGUAUGGAAAUGGGAGGGCAGACAAUCCACCUCCAAAAACAAUUUUUCACGAUUGGAAUUGAAAUGACUCUGACAAAAAGGCUUGGGGAAUAUAUAUAUAGAUGUAAACAACCUUCCUAGAACCUUUAUGUUAUAUUCAAUUUGUCAUGUCCUAAAAGAAUUAAUUAAUUAUAUUAUUUCUUUAUUUUUUUUUCUUUUUAAACGGGGGACAACUACAGGUGAACCACGGUUAUCCACCACUUGCGGGCUCGGAAUAAGCUAGUUGGGAAUUGCACCUUAUCCAUGCCACUCCCAACCCUGAUAUUCUAUGACGACCCAUCCCGAAUUUAUAUUUAUUUAUCCUCGAUAACGUGGGAAUGACUAUUUUGCCCUUGAUCGUUGGGUUGUGAUAGUAUUAAUGGAUUAAGAAAAUGGGAAAAAGGGCUAAAAGAAUGGACCAAUUAUCUAAUUUCCUAAGUUUUGGGAUCCAAUUGAAAUUGUAGGGUUGUUAGGACGAAGUUUGAAUAGCCCAAUUAGAACUUAUGGAUAUUAGGUGGGUGCCCAAUCCAGAUCAACACAUACACACACUCACACGUGCAACCUUUCUUGUACUCUCUCUCUUGUUCUCGAACCCUCUCCCUUUCGAUACGCCGGAAACCAGCCCAAAUCCCUUCAAACCAUUGCAGAUCGAGCUAGUGGUAGUUACCUUCGAGUUUCUUGCAAGCUCAUAAGUCUAACUAUACCAUUAGUUUGACGUGAGGACUUCGAGAACCUGAGAACCUAUGAACUCCAACAAGGUGCCCUGUUGCUCGAGCUUGAUCGUGAGUGUUUCAUAGGGUUCCAAGGUAUGAGAGAGUCUUAAAACGACUUUACGAAGUUGUUAGAGGAAUUUUGGAAGGUUUUGGACGUCGGGACAAUCGAGUUCAUCGAGUUGCAGACUUUGCCGGUUUCCACGAAAUUAUUUCGGCUAAAUUCUGUUGGUUUUAGGACUCCAAAGUGGUAAGAUCAUGUUCUCCUAGUUGAGAACUUCAUUUUGGUACAAAUUUCAUGAAUUUUGGUGUUGAAAUGGAAGAGAUAUUGAAGUUUUUCAGUUUUCAAGUUUCCAGUGAGUGCAGCAGUGACCGGCGCAGGACUCCGGCGAACCAAGGAAAAAGAAGGGGAAUAUUUUGUCAACUUUGAAGGAAUAUGCUAACGGAGUUAGGUAAAUUAAACGGUAUAUUCCAUUAUUUAACGGAAUAUUCCCUAACGGCGUUAGGGAAUCCAGGCACAAGCACGUGUCUGCGCGUGGGAACUUAGAAAUUUUUUCUAAAAAUAUGGGGAUGUUCGUGGUGUUGAGUAGGCCAUGAUGGUAUAUUCAAACACCUUAAUUGAGUAACGUAUGAGAAGUUAUUUCCUAGUUUUGAUUAUGUGCUUAAAAUAACGUUAAAAUAGUUGUUUCACAUAUAGGUGAGACGUUUCAUGAGGAAGAGCACAGUCAGGCGAGGCUCGGGGGUUAUGACCCUUCCAGUAUAUAUAUAUAUGCUUGGUAUUUUUCCCAUAAAACUUAUUUAAAAGGUUUGAUGCUUUGAAAUGCCAUGUCAAAUGUUUAUUAUUUAGAAUAUGCAUUUAGUAGUUGCAUAUGUUAUUGUUGACACUGCGGACACUCAGGUAAGUUCCAGGUGAGUUUAUAGAUUGUGAAUGUGAAUUGCAUGGUUAUAAUUACAUUUGAUUCAUUUAGAGCUCAUAAACCUGCACCUCGGUGUUAGUGCUCCCGCCCAUGGCCAGGGCACAGUCCUUCACAUGAUGUUCACCUCCCGCACCAUACACUCACCUUGGAUCCAAGUUAGGUGCACAGUUUUGUUGUACAGACCACUCUAAGGGGUGGUUUGGGAAUGAGGUGCUUAAAAAAAAAGUACCCAUGAAAAAAAGCUGUGAGGGUUUUAGGUGUUUGGUAAACUAAAAAAAGGCUUAUUUUGGAAGCUGCUGUGAGAAUAAGCUGAAAUCAAAGGAAAAAGCGGAAGUUGCUAUUUGCAGCUUUGGAAAACUAGCUUUUUUCAAAGCACACGAAGCUACAGUGCUCCUUUAAUGAAAAGACCCAUUAUCAGAUUGCUUUUUUUUCCAAAAGCACUUUUACAAAAAAGUUUACCAAACACUUUACUGAUUUAUUUCAUAGCCGCUUAUUCUCACAGCACAGCCGCUUAUUCUCACAGCAGCUUUUUUUCAAAGCACAGCAAUACCAAACCAGCCCUAAGUGGUUCCGACUCGUAGAUGACCCACGAUUAUUCGCACAGUCUUCAUGUGAUUGUAGCACUUGAGCGUAUUUAUUUACACACAGUCCUGUCAUACAAACCACUGUAGGUGGUUCUGACUCGUGUGCAGGCAUACUUGAUGAGCUAUAGGUUCAGCCGUACAGGCCACAAUAGGUGGAUCUGGCUGACAUGUUUCUUUCAUUGAUUUAUUUCACCUGGUUUACUUAUUUCAUUAUGCUGAGACAUUUGACAUGGUAUAUAUAUGUGGAUUUUGGUAUUUUGAGUAUGGUUUUGUUAUAUGUAUGUAUUCUAUUUUUUGGGAAAUUAUACCGGUUUUACGGCGAGGGGUAACUACCUUUGAUGAUUGAAAUGGUUUUGAAAAGCUUUGUUUUUACUCACUCACACUUUCUGUUUUGUGCCCUUCCAGGUUUUAGGUAGGAGUGCUUAUUGGUGGCUUAUGAGGAAUUGAUGGCGGUUCUAACAAAUUAUCACUAAUGUAAGACCAUCUCUGGUAUUGUAUAGUUAGUACUUGUCCUGCUGGACUGCCCUUAGGCUAUCUACGCUCUGAUUAUGUGUAAUCACACCUAAAUUUUGUUAUUUGCACUUAUAUUUGUGUAGUGUAAACUAGUCAGCUUGGAUUUUAUUUACUCACAUUUUUAUAUCCUUAUCACUUCCGUAUUGUGCACAUGGUUACGUCACCCUCAUGUGAUGGUCAACACGCCUUGAUUUGUUGGAAAUGUGCCCUAAAACCAAUCAUAUGAUGAUACUUUAUGGACAUUUCACAUGUUAAACUAAUCUAGUUUAAUAUCAAGGGCAAAGAUUAUUGUUUUAAGCCGUCUCAUAUAAAUGUUAUAUGCUUAAACGAUAAGUCCAAGGAAUAUGUAAUUAGGAGAAUGCAAUUUAAAGAAGUUAGAUUCAUAAGACCAAUCUCUUUCGUAUAAAUAUCCUAAACGUUCCUGAUCAUAGGAUUGUCAAUUGGGCAUUGACAGUUCGUUAAGAUCAGUAUGUGUUAUGUCUUCUCUUAGUGAGAGUGACUGGUCUCGAGUCAUUGGUGUGACUGACACCAAGACAAGUACGUAGGUGCUCAAUAAGAAAUGAGUUCACUGAACACGAUCAACGAAGAGUUCUCAUACUCAUGUCACAUGAGAACUCAUGGUUGGGAUAAUGUAAAGUAGUCAUUUGACCUGAGGCAUCAUAGUUGUCUUGUGGUUAAGUCCUUGAUCUUUGAUUAUGUCAAAGUCACUCCAUUCGAGGGUGUCCACGGCAUCGUUGGGGUUAAGCCACUUAGCCAUGGAGGCAAGUGAAUGCGCAACAAGGGAUCUCUAACCUUCAAAUCGUUUGAGGGAGAAUACUCUAUGAUAUGAUUAAGAAUCUUUGGCCAAAGUAUGAAUGAGAUUUAGGAAGUCGUUCCAAAUCACAUUCAAGGUAAUCAUAUAAGUACAUGAAUCACAUUGGAUAGUAGACAUGAAUAAACUAUCAAACCAAACAAUGUGGUCAAGAGUAUUGUAUUAGAGAAAGACCGUAUUGCAUUGUAAUCCUAAACUGAAUAGGUUCUCCACCUCUUCUGAUUAGCUUGGGUAACCAUGAUAUGCUGCUAGGUGUCACUCUUGGUUUGUGGAAGCCCUAAACGUGUAUAAACACUAAAGGGAGAAUUGAAAGUAAGUUUCAAUUCACAAUCGAUUUGAAAGAGUUUUAAUCGCUCACUGCCUCGGUAAAAGGAACCUAAUGGAUCGUACACCGUGUAAGGUAGAGAUUGAAGAAACAACGGAGAUGAGUAAGAAUAAUUAAAUGGUUUAAUUAUUUAUGGCAAGGAUUAAUUAAUAUGUUAAUUAAUCAAACGAAUAAGUUCGUUAAAGACCUCGGGAUAGUUUUGGACCUUAAGGCCCAAUGGGCUUCGAAUGUCAAGUCCAUUGACUUAAGUUGUAUGACAACUUAAUGAAUAAUGAUUCACAAAGGCUCAAAUAGUCCAAUGAAUCCCUAUGGCCGGCCAAUUAGAGAUGGAGUGGGUUUUGGACUUAUUUACAAGUUUGCCACUCCAAUGAAUUAAGGUAUAAAUAUGACUUUAUAGCCAAAAUUCAUUUAGGGUUUCUUUUUGGGAAAGGAUGAGAACACAAAGCUCUCAUUUUCUUUCUAAAGAGGCCGGCCACCCUAGAGGAGAUUAGCUAGCAAUCCAACUUCCUCUAGGUCACUCAUUUCUACUUAAAUCUAACCUUGGUGUGGAGACUUAGAGGUUCUCUAUUUUGAGAACUUGGAGAAACAUAUUCUUCCAUCCAAAUCCAUAGAUCUAAGAAGCAAGGAAUGAAGGCCCUCUCUUUGGGUGAUUAGCCUUUGCUUAUGCAAAGAGGAAUCUACAAAGGUAUAAAUCUCAACUCACUUUGUUUUGAGUUGAGUCUUGGUUCACCAAUCUACUAGGCUUUGAAUUUCAUGGUUAAUGUUUUGUUUUAAGUGCAUACAAGCAUGAUUCCGCCUUUUAAUUGUUAAUUGCAUGCUAUAGAUGUUGCUUAAAUGAACAUGUUUUCACAAAAUUAUCCUUCACGAUUUAGAUCGGGGUGUGUCAUAUUCUCCUAACACCAGGGUAGGCUUGUGCUGGCCGACACCCGAAUGUGACGAAGCCAUACUAAUAUGCAUGAGAACGAAUGAAUAUAAAUAAGACUUAUAAAUUCAAAUAUAAUUAAUAUUCAAAUGAGGAACAUGUUCAGAGCAUACACUAAUCUAGAACACUAAAAAGAAAUAAUAUAAAAUUGAAUGAACAAAGGAAUGGGUCCUACACCGAGAGGACUCGAAGAUGCCGAUGCGGAGUGCCUUGUUGUCGGGAUUGUACUCCUCGAUUCUAAGUCCUGAGGGGGCUCAAAACAAAACAUGAGUAGACCAAGUUGAUCUAUAAGUAGUACUAACAUAGUUAUUCAACAACGUACUAACCCCCAAAGUUUAUGAAAACUCAUAUAGCAUAAUAAGUAAUAGGUUUUCCGAAAACCCUAGCAUGCCAUAAAACUUCAUAAAACAUAUAUCAUAUAUAGUGUGCUUAGUAGUGGUAUCAUCUCCCGCCCGAAGGCAUAUAGAACUCUUCUGAUCGAAGCCAUAUAAAUAUCUUCCGCCCGUAGGCACUACAACCCACGGUCAAAGCCAAUAUAAUUAUCUUCGCUAGUAGGCACUACAACCCCCCCCCCCCGACCGAAGCUAAUAUAAGUAUCAUCGCCCGUAGGCAGAACAGUGACCAUUAGAUAAGCACAAAACCAUUGAACAUAAUAUUUUUGAACAUAAGUACAUACAUCUCAACGGAGCUCAAUAGCUCAAACAUCAUAUCUUAGAACAUCUUCAUAGUAUAUAGUCAUCAAUAUAUACUACAAAGAACGUAAAAAUCGAUAAAGUAUGAUAUUCCAAAAUAUUCUCAGUAAAGCAUGAUAUCCCAUAAACGUUUCAUAAAAUAUAACUAUUAAAUCAUGCUUUCAUGUAUGCAUUUAUAAUAGUAAAAUAUGCAUUUUAGCAUGGGUCCACUCACAGAUAAUUCACUGUCGAAGAGCCAUGCAAACUAGCGAAGACGGAAACGCCAUAAUAAAUGUACCUAAGCACUUAAAAGGUCCAAUUAAUAAAACUCUAUUCAAAUGAUUGAAUUUCGGCAAACGAACAUCAUAAAAAAAUUCAGGACGUCAAGAAAACAUAAGAGGGGACCUUGGGUGCCCCCACAUGCCGCCACACGCCAUUUUGGGUCACUGGAAAAGUUGUCGGCGUUGCCGUGGACGGUGGAGGCAUGUGUGCUCCACGCGCUAGCCAAGACAUGCCCUCAGGCGCUCCCACAUGCAAGCCCACACAUCGACCCACGGUGGCCAAUGACCUAAUCCUACUGGGUUAGGCUAGAUCCAGGUUGGAUCUUAUUCUAGUUUAUGGGUUGGUUCCACAUGGGUUGGGCUAAGGGUUUUAGGCCAAGGGUUCCAUGGGUCUGGGCUACAAGGUUGAGCCUAGGCCUGGGUUCAGUGGGUCACCCAAAUGGGUUUGGGUCGAGGGGUUUUUUUUUUUUUUGUCAAAGGGUUGAGGGUUCAAUGGGCCAAAGGCCUGGGUUAUAUUGGGUUUGAGCUUAACAACUGGGAUAGGUUCAUUUGGGUUAGGCCAAGCAAUAACUAGGUUUCCGGGUGUGGGUCAGUUUGACCUGGUUUUGACGAGGGAGAAGGCCGGAGCCUCCCGAGCUCUGAUCGAUUCCGAUUCCGAUUCUCAACCAUACUUGGCGACUAAACCAAGGAAAUGAAGCUACGAGUGAGGAGAAGUGAAACAUACCAUUUUGAGGCCUAACCGUGGCCGGGAAGUGGUCAGGAAAUCCAAGUGGAGCCGCAGUCCAUCACCGGAAGAAAUCAUUAGGUUCUCUAUGCUUCACAGAGGAGAGGGAGAAAUAGAGAGGUAUGCGAUAGGGAGAGAGAUCCGAGAGAGUGAGGGAGCUCGGGGAGAAGGAAAGAAAAGGGAGAGAUGAAGUGGGGGUACCACGUGGCAGGCAAAGAAAAAGGGAGGGUCGGGGACCAAAAAGAAAGGUAGGCCUGCCCAGCUAACCAUUUAAGGCCCUAAAGUAACAGCCCAAAAUAUCUUUCACCCGUGAAAUUUCCAAAAUGCCCUCGUUCCAAAAUUCAUAAAUAAAAAUCAAGUUAGGUUGUUACAAUCCAUGGUCACAAUCAAGAAGAUUCACAGUUUACAAAGUAUCGAAUGCAAAAUCUUCUGUUUUUUCUUUAAGGAGCUGUUAUUCGCACUUUUCCAUUGGGCCACUUGUCAUAGUUAUUAUAUUACUUCUUUAUUAGUUAAUUAACUUAUUUCAUUACAAUUAUUGUGUAAAUGACAUUGUUCUAAAAAUCGUCGCGUAGCGCCACCUAGGUCAUGCCUAAGUGCUAGGCAGCUGACCACCAUCCCGAUUAAUCCCUAGCCGAGGGUGCCUAGACUUCUUUAGAAGGACACCUAGCCUGCCUAGGCAACCGACUUGCCCGCCUAAACUCGCCUAGGCACCCGCCUAAGUUGUGAAUGUCACUCAUUUAAUGUCAUUUUAUUUUGUACUUUAUGUGUCCUUAUACAAUUAUGUACUUUUUUAAGUAUAUAUAGACACUUAUUUAUAUGAUAUAAAUAGAUUUAUUUAAAUUCACCUAGUCCAUCUAGGCCCCCACCUAGCUGUCUAGGCGCUAGGCCCCAGCUCACCGCCCAACUAACGCCUAAUGUCUUUUAGAACCUUGGUAAAUUGGUACAUCAAUGUUAUGGCCACAACUCACACGUAAUUAAACUUUUUUUUUUUUUUGGAGAACCUCAGCAGUACGAGAGAAUUCUAUUAAUAUGGAAAAACAAGUUGCACGUAGUUAUGGGACACAUGAACCUUACCUCUCAUAAAGCAAGAAAACAAAAAUACACAAAAAGAUGGGGAUAUAAACCUUAUUCUUGUUGAAAAAGAAAAUACAAGAAAAAAAAAGGGGGACACCUUCUUGAAAAGAGAAAAUUUAAGAAAAACAUAGGGACAUAAACCUACCCAUCUAGAAAAGGAAAGUACAAGUAAGAGGGAGACCAUGGACCAAUCCCUUCUAAAAUAAAGCCUAAAACGUUAACUACAAAAUAAGCUUUUUUUUUUUUUUUUUUUUUUAAUGAACAAAGACUAAUAUUAAAAUGAGAAACCACGGGUACAACCAGCACCAGCCAAAUCAAAUUUUAUGGCUAGGCCUACAAAAUAAGCUACGAAAUAAAAAAGAAAACCCAAAGGAUUAGAUAAUAAAGAAAAUCACACGUCAAGAAGGGGAGAUAGACCUGUAAGCUGGCAUUCCCAAGAAAUCUGAAUGUAGAAAAGGUAAUCUCUAUAAGAUGAGUUACACGUAAAAUAAGAGAAGACAAGAAAAACCCUAAAUUGGCUUGACACGCCUCAAUUCCAAUGUCGAGAGCAGGAUGGCCAUGUGCUGGCUGACACCCGAGGGUGAUGCAAACCAUUUAAUGAAUGCAUAUGCCAAGAACAUGUGAAACAUGGAUAUAAAUUUCGCGCAAACUACAUAAUGUAAUAUUCAAAUACAAACCUUACCAAAAUAAUAUAAUAAUAUUCAGUUGUUAAUAAAAUGAUAGUGAUAAUGCAUGACAUGUUACAAGCGGAAGGUGUGAUAGAAAGUGCUAUUACAAGUGAUGUCGAAAGCAGAGAGGAUGACAUGAUAUCAUUGGUAGGGGAAUGCCUCGUAACUCAGAUCAUAUGCCUCGUUCCUAUGUCCUGAGGGGGCGCAAAACAAACAUGAGUGGACCAAGUUGGUAUAUACAUAGUACUAACAUAAUUAUUCAACAACGUACUAACCCCCAAAGUUUAUGAAAACUCAUAUAGCAAAAUAAAUAGUAGGUUUUCCGAAAACCCUAGCAUGCCAAACCUUUAUAAAACAUAUAUCGUAUAUAGUGUGCUAAAUAGUGGUAUCUGUAUCGCCCAAAAAUAUAUAGAACUCUUCAUUCGCCCGAAAGCAUAUAGAACACUUCAUUCGCCCGUAGGCUCUUACAGCACCCACCCGAAGGCAUAUAAUGACCACUAGAUAAGCACAAAAAUCAUUGAAUAUAAUCUUUCCAAAAUACAUAUGCAUAUAUAUCAUCGGAGCUCAAUAGCUUAAACAUCAUAUCAUAAAACAUAUUCGUAGUAUAUAGACAUCAAUCAUAUAUACUACGAAGAACGUAAAGUCGAUAAAACAUGAAUAUCAUAAAGCGUAAAUCCUAUUUACUCAUAAACGUUUUUUUUAUGCACAAAAUCAGUGAGGACCUUGGUACAACAAAAAGUGUUAAGUUUGUGACCUUCGCUAGAUUGCUCCGGUCAUUAGUGUGGAUAAGUAUGUAAAUGAAUAGAGAUAGGGAAGCAAGCACAAGAUGUACGUGGUUCACCCAUAUUGGCUACGUCCACGGAGUAGAGGAGUUCUCAUUAAUUGUGAAGGGUUUACACAAGUACAUAGGUUCAAGCUCUCCUUUAGUGAGUACUAGUGAAUGAUUUAGUACAAAUGACAUUAGAAAAUAUUGUGAGAGAAUGAUCUCUAUUUAUAGAAGAGAGUUUCUAGUUUCAUUCUGACAUUGACACGUGUCGUGUUAUGAUUAGCUUCUAAUGUUAACACGUGUCGCGCUAUGAUUGGCUUCUGGUGUCGUGUUGUGAUUGGCCUGUUGGUUGGAAGGAAACUCUUUUAGGUCCUUGAUGGUAUAACGUUGACCGGUGCUCAGUAGUUUCGGGAUUGGUCAAGAAUUUGAGGGUCAAAACAAGUCCAUCAAAUCUAGAAUACGUUCGACCCUGAUGAUAUGGAUACUUUUGUUGUUGACAAAGUAGUGGAUGUAUCGGCACGUGGUCUGUUACACUUGUCUCCACAUGCUUCCUUGUAUCCUUCUCACUUACCUUAUCUGUUCCUCAGGUCGAUGUGGUAUCUUCUUUGGAAGCAUAAGAUGUUGAAGAUGAGUACUUGAGAGCAAUGCCAGGUAAGUAAUCAGGCAAGGGGUUCUAGACAGUCAGUUCCUGACUAGAAGCUUGAUUCCAAGUGUUGACUGAUUGUUCUCUUUCUCCUUGUCUUACAGGUAAGAACAAGGGCAAAGGAAAAGACAGGGGAAAAGCAUGAUAUGGGAUACUCUUGCUUUUGACCCUGAUGAUAUGAGAUACUUUUGCUCUGGUGUGGCUGGUUUGCAUAGGUAUUAUUGUGGGGGAAAAGAUGAGUAUUUCGAGAGGCUUCGUUGGGAGUGCCCUCUCAGAUAUGAGGAAGGGUUGAGCAUUUUUGCAGGUCUGCCUGUCCGUGGAGGAUGGAGGUCGACAUAUAUAGGAGUCUCCCUAACAACAAGUAGUAAUGCUAUUCCUUUACCCUUCUUAGUCAUAGCAAUGUAGUGGGACCUGCAAGCUUCACGUGUUUUAACUUUGUCAGAGAACUUUGAAAAAGUGGUCUUUGGUAUCUGGAGAGCUUAUGUUGCGUGUGAAGAUUGCAGACAAGCUUUAUCCAAGGAAAUCUGGCUCUUGAAGUUCUGAGAGCGGUGCCUCUUCGGUUUUCAAACAAGUAAUCCUAUCAGGGAUCUGGCUCUCGAGAUUCGGAGAACAUUACCUCUUCUAUUUUUGAGAAAGCAAUCCUGUUGAGAGUUUGGCUCAUGAGAUUCGGAGAGCGAUGUCUCUUCGAUUUUUGAGAAAGUAAUCCUGUUGGGAGUCUGGCUCUCGAGAUUCAGAAGGCGGUGCCUCUUUGAUUUUUAAGCAAGUAAUCAUGUUGGGAGUUUGGCUGUCGAGAAUCGGAGAGCAGUGCCUUUUCGAUUUUUGAGCAAGCAAUCUUGUUGGGAGUGUUUUCUCGAAUGUGAGUAAAGGUUGGGCAUUUUUGCCAUUCUGCCUCACCACGGAGCACGGAGGUUGACGCACAUAGGGACUUUCCAAUUAUUAAGCAAUGGUGUUGUUCCUUUACCCUUAUGGGUAAUAAUAGUAGGGUAGCUGGACCUUCAAAAUUUAUGUGUCUAAACUUUGUCAAAGAUCUUUGGCAAAGUUAUAUGUGGUACUCGAGGAGCUAAUGUUGCGUGUGGAAAGUGGUGCCUCUUCGAAAUUCGGAGAGUGAUGCCUCUUCGAUUUUUGAACCAACGGCCAUGUUGCCCUUUCUUUUAUAAGGGCACCAAUUGUGUGUAAGAAGUACAUUCAGAGAGUUAUUGCUUGUAGGAAUUUUCCCCUUAUUUUUGUACUUCAGAGAUUUAUUGGACCUCAUUUUUGAAAAUGUUUGGCCCAUUCGACCGUCAUUUUGACUUGAACUUUGGUGAAGAGGCAACUAUGUCUCCUCAAGACAACAUAUGGCGUCCAUCCUUGUAUCCCCUACUGGUCCUCUUACCGUUAGAGACUCUGUGAUGAAGAAUGAUAUGACCGCUGUGGUGGUGGCUAGGAACCUUCUCACUCCCAAAGAUAACAGACUACUUUCCAAACGGUUUAAUGAGUUGGCUGUUAAGCAUUCCCUGGCUUUCAGUGUUCAGUGUGCAGGUUCUGUGUCUAAUAUGGCUCAACGCCUAUUUGUUCGAACUUGCCAAGUUGAAUUAUUAGCGGCUGAAGUGAUAAGUCUCAAAUAGGAGAUUAGAAGGCUCAAGCAUGAGAAUAAACUAUGCUAGAAACAUGAAGAGGAAGCUUAACCAGAUGCAGGAAUCUGAUGGUCAAAUUUUACCUGAUCAUAAGAGGUUUGUGGGUUUGUUCCAAAGGCAUUUAUUACCCUCGUCUUCUAAGGCUGUACUGUGUAAUGAAGCUCCAAAUGAUCAACCUCCAAUGCCUCCUCCUUCUGGGGUUCUGUCCAGUAUUGAGGCUCCGAAUGAUCACCCUCCGGUACCUUCUCUUUCUGGGGCUCUACCGACUGCUGAGACUUUUCCUAAGCAACCUUUGUGAAGGCUCCCUCUUGUUUGUUUAUUUCAACGUAUUGUGUUAAAUACACCAAAGCCUUCUUCACUAAGUUCUUUGAAUUUUUUCUUUUGUUAAAGCUUGUAUGUUAAAGCUUUGUGAGUGAAGCAUGUAGGUUGAGGUAGUGUUCCCUUAAUUUCCUGAGUGAGGAAAACUUCUCAGUUAGAGACUUGAAAAAUCCAAGUCACUGAAUGGUCGUGAGACUUUUGAGUAUCAAGGUGCAGUAGCAUAUGGUAGGAGUCCCCCAAGUCUCUGGUCGAGGGAGUUCACGAAGGAGGUGUCUUGCUAGUAGCCAAGCUUCUAAAGUAACAAAACUUCACCAUUUUCCUUUCUAAGUGGUAGCUCAAAACUCCUCCUUCAUAUAUAUUUGUUAUGAAAGUUGUUAGGCCCAAAAAAGAGGAGGCCUAGGCAAAUAUUUGUUUUUUUCCGAUUUUUUUUUUCUUUUCGAAUUUUUGAAUUUUUGAAUUUUUGAAUUUUCGAAUAUCUGAAUUUCCAAAUAUAUAUAUAUAUAUAUAUUAAGCUUUGUAGGUGAAGCUUUGAGGUUGAAGCUUUGUUAGGUACUAUGAAUUGAUUUUGCUUCACACUAUCUUGAUCAAGAGUGUGUGAAGCUUUUGUGUUGAAGCUUUGUAGGUGAAGCUUUUGUGGGUGUUAAAGCUUUGUAGGUGAAGCUUUUGUGGGUGAAGCUUUUGUAGGUGAAGCUUUUGUGGGUGAAGCUUUUGUAGGUGAAGCCUUUGUGGGUCAAGCUUUUGUGGGUCAAGCUUUUGUGGGUGAAGAUUUUGUAGGUGAAGCUUUUGAAGGAUUAUUUUGUGAAAACAUUUUCAUUUAAGCAACAUCAAUAAGCAUGCAAAUAACAAUUAAAGGCGGAAUCAUGCUUGCAUGCACUUAAAAACAAAACAUUAACCAUGAAAUUCAAAGCCUAGUAGAUUGGUGAACCAAGACUCAACUCAAAUCAAAGUGAGUUGAGAAAUAUACCUUUGUAGAUUCCUCUUUGCAUAAGCAAAGGCUAAUCACCCAAAGAGAGGGCCUUCAUUCCUUGCAUAUUAAAUCUAUGGAUUUGGAUGGAAGAAUAGGAUUCUCCAAGUUCCCAAAAUAGAGAACCUCUAAGUAUCUUCACCAAGGUUAGAUUGAAGAAGAAAUGAGUGACCUUGGAGUAGUGGGAUUGCAAGAUGCACCCCCCAAGGUGGCCGGCCUCUUUAGAGAGAAAUGGAGAGACAAGUUCUCACCAAUUUUCUCCAAAACAAAACCUUAAUGAAUUUUGGCUAUAAAGUCAUAUUUAUACCUUUAUUCAUUUGAGUGGCAAACUUGUAAAUAAGUCCAAGUUCACUACCCUAAACAAUAUGGCCGGCCAUUAGGAUAUUUUGGACUAAUUGGGCCUUUGUGAAUCAUUAUUCAUUAAGUUGUCAUACAACUUAAGUUAAUGGGCUUGACGUUCGAAGCCCAUUGGGCCUUAAGGUCCAAAACUAUCCCGAGGUCUUUAACGAACUUAUUUGUUUGAUUAAUUAACAUAUUAAUUAAUCCUUGCCAUAAAUAAAUGAUUAAACCAUUUAAUCAUUCUUACUCAUCUCCAUUGUUUCUUCAAUCUCCACCUUACACGGUGUGCGAUCCAUUAGGUUCCUUUUAGCGAGGCAGUGGGCGAUUAAAACCAUUUUACAUCGAUUGUGAAUUGAAACUUACUUUCAAUUCUCCCUUUAGUGAUUACACACAUUUAGGGCUUCCACAAACCAUGAGUGACACCUUGCAGCAUAUCAUGGUUACCCAAGCUAAUCAGAAAGAGUAGAGAAAAACCUAUUCAGUUUGGGAUUACAAAUGCAAUACGGUCUUUCUCUAAUCUAAUACUCCUGACCACAUUGUUUGGUUUGAUAGUUUAUUUAUUCAUGUCUACUAUCCAAUAUGAUUCGUGUGCUUAUAUGAUUUCCUUGAAUGUGAUUCGGAACGCAUUCCCAAAUCUCAUUCAUACUCUAGCCAGAGAUUCUAAAUCAUAUCAUAGAGUAUUCUCCCUCAAACAGUUUGAAGGUUAGAGAUCCCUUGUUGCGCAUUCACUUGCCUCCAUGGCUAAGUGGCUUAACCCCAACGAUGCCGUGGACACUCCAAUGGAAUGACGUUUGACAUAAUCAAAGAUCAAGGACUUAACCACAAGACAACUAUGAUGCCUUAGGUCAAAGGACUACUUUGCAUUAUCCCAACCAUGAGUUCUCAUGUGACAUGAAUAUGAGAACUCUUCGUUGAUCGCGUUCAGUGAACUCAUUCUCUAUUGAGCACCUACGUACUUGUCUUGAUGUCACACACACCAAUGACUCGAGACUAGUCACUCUCCCUGAGAGAAAACACAGUACGUACCGAUCUUAACGGACUGUCAAUGCCCAAUUGACAAUCCUAUGAUCAGGAACAUUUAGGAUGUGUCUACGAAAGAAUGGUCUCAUGAAUCUAACUUCAUUAGAUUGCAUUCUCUCAAUCACAUAUUCCUUGGACUUUAUCGUUUAAGCAUAUAACAUUUAUAUGAGACGGCUCAAACAAUAAUCUUUGCCCUUUAUAUUAAACUAGAUUAGUUUAACAUGUGAAAUGUCCGUAAAGUAUCAUCAUAUGAUUGGCUUUAGGGCACAUUUCCAACAGCUUUUGUGGGUCAAUCUUUUGUGGGUUAAGCUUUUGUAGGUCAAGCUUUUGUGGGUCAAGCUUUUGUGGGUGAAGUUUUUAUGGGUGAAGCUUUUGUAGGUGAAGAUUUUGUAGGUGAAGCUUUUAUGGGUCAAGCUUUUGUAGGUGAAGCUUUUGUGGAUGAAGCUUUUGUGGGUUAAGCUUUUGUGUUGAAGUUUUUGUAGCUGAAGCUUUGGAGUUGAAGCUUUGUAGGUGAAGCUUUGGAGUUGAAGCUUUUGUUGGGUACCAUGAAUUGAUUUUGCUUCACACUAUCUUGAUCAAGAUAGUGUGUAGCUUUUGAGAAUUUGUAGUUGUCCUCCAUUGAUGAAGCUUUUGUUGGUGAAGCUUUUGUGUUGAAGCUUUGUAGGUGAAGCUUUGGAGUUGAAGCUUUGUAGGUGAAGCUUUGAAGUUGAAGCUUUGUACGUGAAGCUUUGGAGUUGAAGCUUUUGUUGGGUACCAUGAAUUGAUUUUGCUUCACACUAUCAUGAUCAAGAUAGUGUGAAGCUUUUGAGAAUUUGUAGUUGUCCUCCAUUGAUGAAGCUCUUGUUGGUGAAUCUUUUGUGGUGAAGUUUUGUUGGGUACCAUGAAUUAGCUUUGCUUCACACUAUCUUGAUCAAGAUAGUAUGAAGCUUUUGAGAAUUUGUAGUUAUCCUCCAUUGAUGAAGUUUUGUUGAAUUUCCCAAUUUCCUUUUCUUUUUUUCUUUUUUUUGGGAAAAUUAGAAAAUUAGAACAUAUACAAAUUUUGCUUCCACACUGUUAAGCAAGAGAUUGUGAUGCAAGCCACACCUUGUAGUAGUCAAAGGUUUGGAUGAACCAUAUAAAUUGAAUUUGCUUCGAACAGUCUUGAUCAAGAGUGUGUGAAGCUUUCUACGAGUUGUAGUUGCCCUUCAUUGAUGAAGCUUUUGUUGGCACCAUAAAUUGGUUUUGCUUCACACAGUCUUGAUCAAGAGUGUGUGAAGCUUUCUAUGAGUUGUAGUGUUUGAAUUGUUACAAGGGAAAAAUGUCUGAAACAAAUGCAAGAGAGCUAAAUAGCUUGAUUUUCGUAUGUCAUGCACUAAAGUUGUUGUUGGCUUGCAAUAAGACUUUGUUGGUGACUAUAACUCUUGUUGGGCAUAAGUGUUCCCCUAGUGGAGUUGUAAAACUUGAGGGUUUUUUAUUAUUUGUGAGUGCUAGGAGUUCACAUGUACAAGUUGUACCACUCGUUUUCUAGUUGGUGGAAUGAAUGGUGAGUUGCUUUCAUCACUUGGCUGGUAAUACGAAUGUGAGUUCCUACAUCACCUUUCAUCACAUUUGAUCACCUAGUUGGUGGCACGAAGAUGAGUUCCUUCUUCACCUGGUUGGUGGCAUGAGUGGCACGUUGCCAAAUGAUAUUAGAGUACGAGUUCACCUGGUUUGUGGCAUGAAGUAGAGUACGGGUUGUACAUUUCAUCACCUGGUUUGUGACAUGAAGAUGAGUUCCUUCUUCACCUGGUUGGUGGCGUGAAUGGCAAGUUGCCAAAUGAUAUUAGAGUAUGGGUUGUAAAUUUCAUCACCUAGUUGGUGGCAUGAAGGAUAGUAUGGGUUGUACAUUUCAUCACCUGGUUGGUGGCAUGAAGAUGAGUUCCUUCUUCACCUGGUUGGUGGCAUGAGUGGCAAGUUGCCGAAUGAUAUUAGAGUACAGGUUGUACAUUUCAUCACCUGGUUGGUGGCAUGAAGGAGAGUACGGGCUGUACAUUUCAUCACCUGGUUGGUGGCAUAAAGAUGAGUUCCUUCUUCACCUGGUUGGUGGCAUGAGUGGCAAGUUGCCAAAUGAUAUUAGAGUAUGGGUUGUACAUUUCAUCACCUGGUUGGUGGCAUGAAUGGCAAGUUGCCAAAUGAUAUUAGAGUAUGGGUUGUACAUUUUAUCACCUGGUUGGUGGCAUGAAGAAGAGUACGGGUUGUACAUUUCAUCACCUGGUUUAUGGCAUGAAGAUGAGUUCUUUCUUCACAUUUCAUCAUCUGGUUGGUGAAAAUAAGGGCAAGGUGUCGAGGCACAUUGUAGCAAGUGUCGUAGACACAAAGUAUGUUGAACCCUUUCGAAGCAUAGUUGACUUAUGUAUGGAUGUGUUAGAAUGUAUGAUGUUUAUGUAUGAAUGUGUUGGAAUGUAUGAUGUUUAUGUAUGAAUGUAUUGGAAUGUAUGAUGUUUAUGUUGAUUGAUAUGAGUGAUGCUUAUGAAUGUUUUGCUAUGCAUGAAAGGAUCCAUGCUUUUGAUAUGUGAACCAUGUUGGUUGUAACACUUAGUAUCACAUACUUUGUGUCAAAGUACGCAUGUUGAAGCUCUGAGUUUGAGUAUAAGGGUAGGUCAGUGUAGACCAAGUGUUCCAGUGCUAGGAACGUAAAAAACUUAAAAGAAGUUGUCUGAAUUCCUUCUUCUUUAAAUAUUUGCUGAAUGGCUUGUGUAACAAAAGAUCUCAAGCGGUUGAGAGUCAAAACAUUUGUAAUGUGUAUGCCUUCUUAUAAUAGCAUUUCCUUCAGUACCUAGUCCUCCACUUUGAAAGAGUGAGGCUUGGCCCCAUAGUCAUAAUAGUCGACGGUACGUUCACCCCUGGUUGUCUUGAUACGAACUUUUAUCCCUCUUGUUGUAAUGGACUUGCUAAGAGUAAAAAUCCUUCCUUUUACCAAGAGACAGAUAUGUUUGGUGACUUAGCGAGUAGCUAAAUAAGGCAGGAGAUGAUGCAAUGGGUGUCUGAAUGGCCAAUAUCUCCUCACUUGGUAGAACUUGACUUCCACUUCCCACUUGUUGAUUAGGGUUAACCAUAUGGGGGUUCCCUUGGUAUGUCCUUGCUUCGGCGGAGGCGUGGUUGUAAGCAUGUGCCAUCACCUCAGAGUAAGUCUUCCAAGUGUUGGCAUUGAUCAUGUACUUGAAGAAACAAUCAUGUAGGCCUGCAGUGAAGGCCUUGAGGGCGGUCUUGUCAUCUGCCUCAGCGUAGCAAGAAUACUCAUGGCUAAAGCGAUCGGCAUACUCUCAUAGUGACUCGUCCAGCUCUGGCGAAUAGUGUACAAGUCAUCUGUAGAAUGCAAGCGAUUGGUCUGGAAGAUGUGUUGAGAGACAAACAGUUUCCUCAGUUCCUUAAAUGAGUCUACUGUCUCAGGUGGAAGACGGCAAUACCAGUUUAGAGCUCCGCCAGAGAAGGUGGAGGGGAAGAAAAGACAUCGCUCUUCGUCGGUGUGCAUUCGAUAUGCCAUGGUGGACUCAAAGAGGUUAAGGUGUUCAAUUAGGUCCUCCCUUCCAGUAUAGAGUUGUAAACCAAGCUUUUGUUUUGUCUUCACUUGAAGGGGGUGUCGAGGAUCCUUCUUGUGAAAGAGCCAGGCCUAGGUUGCUUCCAGUCAGGGAUCUCGGCUUGACGUUUGGCCUUCAACUUGUUUACUUCCUCAAAGAGUUGUAGGACAAGAGGGUCCUAAGUGGAGUCAUGUACCACUGGAAUUUUCUUUCGUAAGUCUCCAUCGCCUUUUGGAAGUAGGAAAGUUUGAGCAAGGGCGUGUGGUUUUUUCUUGGACUCGCUGUACUGACUUCUAGGGCAAGUAUGUCGCAAUACCUCAGAGUCUCGUGUACCUUUAUGUUCCUUUGGGACCUGUCGUUCCUUCCCUAGAUUCGCAGUUAGCCUAGGUCGUGGGAGGGGACCGAGUCUUUCAGAAACCCUUGGGUCAUUGAUCUUCGAGCAUAUGUGGAGGGGAUUCUCUUGACGUUGCUUUAGGAAGUCUCGACAGUCAUAAUAAACAGCUUUUAAUUUUUCCAACCCUUCUACAUGGAGGUGUCUUCCUCCACUUCUUCUGCUUCAGGUCGAAGCAUCUGGGUUGAGAGAAGUCUCAUGUUGAUCAAUGUUUUGAUGAUUAGGUCGCUCCUCAUCAGGGAUACCCAUGUCGAAGGGAAAUGACCUUCCGAGUUGGGGGGCACCCAGAUGAUGGUUGAUGUCGAGCUCGCAUGUUUGAGUACGCCUAGUUUCAUGGAGCGUCUCAAAGAGCUUCUCAUACUGCUCCUGGAGGACCUCAUUCUUCAUUGCUAUCUUGUUGUUCUGAGCUUCUAGCUCAUCGACUUUAGCUUGAAGAGCAAUCCUCUUUCCUGUCUUCUUUCGUUGCUUCGUACUAGGUGCAAGAAGGGUUUCAUUCUGUGUGUUGUGGCUUCCUUCGCUUCCCAUGUUGGAGAGGGAUGCCUGGUCAGAAGAGAGUGUACGAAUGGUGGAAACCAGGUUGGUAAAGCUGAAGAGAGUGGGAAUAAGUGUCGUUCCCACAGACAACGCCAAAUGUUGAUGCACAAAAUUAGUAAGGACUUUGGUACAACAGAAAGUGUUAAGUUUGUGACCUUCGCUAGAUUGCUCCGUUCAUUAGUGUGGAUAAGUAUGUAAAUGAAUAGAGAUAGGGAAGCAAACACAAGAUGUACAUGGUUCACCCAGAUUGGCUACGUCUAUGGAGUAGAGGAGUUCUCAUUAAUUGUGAAGGGUUUACAAAAGUACAUAGGUUCAAGCUUUCCUUUAGUGAGUACUAGUGAAUGAUAUACUACAAAUGACAUUAGGAAAUAUUGUGAGAGAAUGAUCUCUAUUUAUAGAAGAGAGUUUCUAGUUUCAUUCUGACAUUGACACAUGUCGUGUUGUGAUUGGCUUCUGAUGUUGACACAUGUCACGUUAUGAUUGGCUUCUGAUGCUGACACGUGUUGCGUUGUGACUGGCCUCCUGGUGGAGGGAAACUCUUCUGGGUCCUUGACGGUAUAACAUUUCUUAAAACGUAACCAUUAAAUCAUGCUUUUCAUGUAUGCAUUCCUAACAGUAAAAUAUGCAUUUUAGAAAUGGUCCACUCACAUAUACUCCGUCAUCAAAGAGCCGUGCAAAAUAGGAGGGACGUAAACAUCACUAGUAAUUGUAACUAAGGACAUAAAUGGUCCAAUUAAUAAAACUCUACCAUAAUGAUUGAAUUUCGGAAAAUGGACGUCAUAAACAGAUUCAGGACGUCGAAAAACAUAAAUGGGCAUCUCGGGUACCCCCACGCGCCCUCACGCAUCACCACGGGGUGGUGGCCCGAAAUGCCACGCAUCGAUUUGGGUCGCCCGAAAAGUCGCCAGCACCGCUGUGGACUACAGCGGAGCACAGUGCCUCUGGUGGAGGCGCGCUUCAUGUGCCGGCCAAGACAGGCGCCCAUGCACCGAUUGGGAUCUGGGCUCCAACUGGGUCUGGGCCUAUUCUUCGAGGCUGGGGCCUGAGCUUUGGGGAUUUGGGCUGGGCUGGACAAUUGGCUCGGGUAAUAACUUAGGCUUGGAUCAGGCUUUAGGGUUAUUAGGUCGGGUUUAACCCAUUUUUUUGCCAAGGUUUGGUCAGUUUCUGGGCACAACUUCAAACGCGUAUAACUUCCCCGAUAUUCAACCAAAUCAAGUGAUUCAAAAAUCAAAUUGUAGUACUCAAUGAGAUGAAGAGAAUGGUACCUUGUAUAAUGGUUAACUCGCCAUGGUUUGGCCGAAAAGUACCUCGAAAGUGGCGGUGCUCGUUGAAAAAUUAGGAAAAGCUACUCCGAGCUAUUUUAUGCAUUUAACACGUAUGUACAACUUCAAACAAGCUUCGAUCUACUCUAAAACACAUAAAGUGUUUCUACAAGCCUAACAAUGUUGGAAAAUCAUGAAACACAUUGGGGAAGACAAUAAAUAAUGACAACGUUGCUAGAAGGUUCCUCCACUUGGCACUGGGUUUUCGAAGCUUCUCUGUCCACGUGGUGGUGGUUUCUAAAGAGUCAAGUAAAGUUAGUUAGAUGUUUGUUAUAAUGUUUGUUAUAAUUCUUAUGUAAAUUGAUAUAGUAGUCAAGGGUAUAAAUGUAAUUGGCGCAUUGCCUACAUAUACUGCAACACCAGUGUAAUCUUAUGAUCAUUUCAAUAGAAUUAAAGCAUAUUCAGAAAUUGUGUGUACUUAGAUUUCUACAUGGUACCAUUGCCAACCACCUCAUGGCCUCUCCGAUCCUGCUGUAUUCUUCAUCUCCGAUCUUCCGCUCUUUUCUGAUCUUUUUCUUUGGUGUGUUGAUUGAGCAAUUGUGUUCUCAGAUUUGGAUUUUCGACUUGUUAAUCUUGAAUUUUGAUGGCGUCUUCAUCCGAUUCUUCUUCUCUAAUUGAGUCGGUGCCUCCUCCAAACCAGAAUAUCAGCAGUAUGGUUCCGAUCAAACUUCGGCGGUCCAAUUACUUGCCAUGGCGAGCGUUAUUUGCAUCGAUUCUUCGUUGUUACAAGCUUCUUGGUAUUAUUGAUGGCAUUGAGCCAUGCCCAUCACCCUUUCUUCCUGAUAGCUUGCUAAAUCCAACCUUCAAGCACUAGUAUGAUAAGGAUCAAAAUCUGCUCAUCUGGUUCAACUCAACUCUCUCUGAGGAAGUUAUUCCAUUCACUAUUGGUGUCUCAUCUGCUUGUGUUCUCUGGCUUAAACUUGAGCAGCGAUUUGGUGGUGUCUCGGAUGCUUAUAUUCAUCAAUUGCGGUCCCGGCUUCAAAACAUUCAUAAAGGUUCUCAGUCAAUGUCUGAUUAUCUUCAGCAAAUCAAGGAGAUCUUUGAUUCCCUUACUGCUGCUAGAGCCUCUAUCAUUGAUCGCGAUCUCAUUGCAGUAACUCUUGUUGGUCUUCUUAAUGAAUUUGAAUCAUUCACUGAUUCCAUACUACUUCGCCUUUCGUCUACUUCCUUGGAUGAAUUACAUGGCUUAUUGCUUACUAAAGAACUAUUCAUGUCACGUCGCAAGAAGACUUCCUCAUCUUAGCCUUUUCAGGCGUUCUCUGUACAAGACCAACUGCCACUCCUUCUCACACUACCAUAAGCUCUUGCUACUCAGAAUCAUGGAACUCAACCACUUCAGAAUUCUUUCUGGUAUAAUUCUAACCGAGGAAAACAUAAUCGUGGUUUUCGGGGUUCAAAUCAUGGCAAUCAUAACUCUGGUUACAAUCGUGGCACUCAUUAUUCUGGAUUCAAUCGUACUGCAUCCUCUUCUGGUUACAAAUCUCCAUGUCAAAUUUGUGGAUCUUACAGUCAUGAAGCUAUUGACUGUUUCGAUCGAAUGAAUCUAGAGAUCUCAGGCAAGGUUCAUCCAGCUAAACUUGCUGCCAUGUGUGCUCAUUACACUACUAAGCCUUCCCAUUCUUGGCUCAUUAACUCGGGUGCUACCUCUCACAUCACCAAUGAUAUCUCCAAUAUCCAAUCUCCUACUCCCUACAAUGGUGAAGACAAGGUAUACAUUGGAGAUGGUAAAGGUCUGUUUAUAGAUGAUGUUGGCACAUCUGUUUGCAUACUCCCGCUCAAUCUUUUAAAAUGCAAAAUGUUCUUCAUGUGCCUCAAAUGCAGCAUAGUCUACUUUCUGCCUAUCAAUUUAUCAAAGAUAAUGAUUGUUCAUUAACUCUUGAUAUUCAUGGAUCCUCUAUCAAGGAUCGUUUUACAAGGAGGACGCUUUUGCGGGGACAAGUUAAAGAUGGUUUCUUUCCUCUUCACAGUUCACCUACUCCCUACAAAGCUACUCCUUCCACACAUGUUGCACUUGUAAGUACUUAUGCCAAUGUCAAAAUCUCGCACAGGCAGCUUGGUCAUCCAUCUUCAAUUAUAUUUCGUAAAGUUUUGUCAACACAUAAAGUUGUUGUACAAGGCAAAUCGCCUCUGGACUUCUUCUACAAUGAUUGUGCUCUAGCAAAGAAUCACAAGCUUCCAUUUGGUGUUCCUAGAUCUAUGUCUACUAAAUUGUUGCAUUGUGAUGUUUGGGGACCAUCUCAUGUUGUUUCAGUGAGUGGUUAUAGGUAUUAUUUGCUUAUUGUUGAUGAUUACAGCAAGUAUAGCUGGUAUUUUCCCUUAAAGUCUCAAUCUUAUGUAUUUUUAACAUUUGUGGAGUACAAGUCCUAUGUAGAAAAUACUCUUGGUAAUAAAAUCAAGGUUGUUCGAUCUGAUUCAGGAGGUGAGUUUACUAGUCAUCAAUUUUAGAAUUUUCUUAAACUUCAUGGUAUUUUCCAACAAUUUAGCUACCCUCACACUCCGGAGCAAAAUGGAUGUGUUGAAAGGAAGCAUCGUCACUUGGUUGAAACUGCACAAACACUAUUGGUUGCAUCUAAAGUUCCUUAUGUUUUUUGGGUUGAAGCAUUUUCCAUUGCAGUUUAUUUGAUUAAUCGGCUUCCUCUUGGUGGCGUACUGCAAUCCCCUUGGGAACUUCUUUUUGGUACCCCUCCAUAUUAUUCUCAACUUAAAAAUUUUGGUUGUGGAUGCUUUCCUUAGCUCAAGCCAUACACUUCAUCCAAGUUGGACAGCAAAAGUAAACAGUGUGUCUUUUUAGUCUUCAACACAAUGGGUAUCGUUGUCUUCAUCCAGUUACCCAAAAACCAUACAUAUCAAGGCAUUUGCUAUUUGAUGAAACCAAUUUUCCAUUCAUUCUAUAUCAACUGUUACACCAAGUUCUACUAAUGGUUCUUCAACAGUGAAUCCUAAUGUCAAUUUACACUUUACUAUACCCAUUUCUGCUCAAGCACCUAUUGCUCAUCCUACCACUAGCAAUGUACCUGCUACACAACAUCUUUUUCCUACAUCGUCAGGUUCACAAUCUGUCACUCCAAGGCUGAAAUCUUUAAACCAAAAGCCUACUCAUCUACCAAGCAUCAUUUACCUACAUCUGUUGAUUUUAUCCCUAAUAAUUAUCUUCAGGCUGCCAAACAUGCUCAUUGGAGAUCUGCUAUGAAGGAUGAGUACAAUGCCCUACAGUUAAUAGGUACUUGGUCUUUAGUCCCUUUUAGACCUCAUCAAAAUAUAGUUGGAUGUAAAUGGGUUUUUCGAGUUAAGAAGAAUCUAGAUGGGACUAUUGAUAGAUAUAAAGCCCAGCUUAUGCCCAAAGGCUUUCAUCAGCAAGCUAGUUUGGAUUACAAAGAAAAGUUUAGUCUUGUAGCAAAGCCAGUAACAAUUCGAAUUCUUUUUUCUUUAGCAGUUCAGUACGAUUGGUUUCUCAACCAAUUGGACAUCAGUAAUGCAUUUCUGCAUGGAGAUCUUCAGGAAGAUGUCUAUAUGCACCAACCACCUAGUUUCAAUGAUCCUAACUACCCCAAUCAUGUCUGCAAACUUUGAAAAUCCUUGUAUGGCUUGAAACAAGCCCCUUGGGCUUGGUUUGAUAAAUUAUUUGCAGUUCUUAAGUCUAUGGGAUUUCAUCAAGUACAAUCUAAUGCUUCUCUAUUUGUAAUCAAAGCACCUGUUCUUGUUAUUGUCUUGGUGUAUGUCAAUGACAUACUUGUCACAGGCCCUAAUUCUACAGCUUGUCAACAAUUUAUUCCGAAAUUGGGUCUAUCUUUCCUGUGAAGGAUUCGGGACCCUUGCAUUAUUUCUUGGGUCUUGAGGUUCAAAGAUCUUCUACAGGUCUCUUCUUACAUCAAAGCUACCUUCUAAACUUGCUUCAAAAGACACAUAUGGAAGGUGCUAAACCAUGUCUCACUCCUAUUGGCUCUCUCAAACUUGAUCACAUAGGCCCUUUGUUACAUGAUCCCAAAAAGUAGAGGUAUAUUGUUGGUGCACUACAAUACUUGACUUGGACAGGACCUGAUUUAUCUUUUGUUGUAAAUCAAGUCUGUCAAUUUAUGCAUGCUCCAUGAGAACCACAUUUCCAAGCAGCCAAAAAAAUUCUCUGGUUUCUCAAAGGCACAGUGAGUCAUGGUUUGUGGUUCAAGAAAGGUGUUGUCCAUCUCAGUGCUUACUCUGAUGCUGAUUGGGCUUGAUGUAUAUUUAAUAGAAGAUCUACUAGUGGGUAUUGCAUAUUUCUGGGGUCAAAUCUCAUUAGCUAGAGUGCUAAGAAGCAACCAACGGUUGCUCGGUCCUCCACUGAAGCAGAAUACAGAUCCUUAGCUCACACAACAGUUGAAUUAAGUGUUCAAGGAUAUUGGUCUCCAUCUUCCUCAUAUUCCUCAUCUCUGGUGUGACAAUAUUUCAGCAAUUUCACUUGCUUCUAAUCCAAUUUUUCAUGCUUAAACCAAGCAUGUUGAACUUGAUUACCAGUAUAUCCGAGAGUUGGUGUUAGAUAAUCUUUUCAAGGUCCAAUAUGUGUGCACUCAGGACCAAUUAGCUGAUAUUCAUACUAAAUCUUUGUCUAAAUCCAGGUUAUUAUACUUGCAAUCCAAGCUUUCUCUUGGCAUUAUGGAUGCAUCCAAGUUCAGCUUAAGGGGGUGUAAAGAGUCAAGUAAAGUUAGUUAGAUGUUUGUUAUAAUUCUUGUGUAAAUUGAUAGAGUAGUCAAGGGUAUAAAUGUAGUUGGCGCAUUGCCUAUAUAUAUUGCAACACCAGUGUAAUCUUAUGAUGAUUUCAAUACAAUUGAAGCAUAUUCAGAAACUUGUGUACUUAGAAUUCUACAGUUUGGGGUUGCUUUAUGUGUGUGUGUGUUUCUGAUAGGAGAGAGAGAGGUCGGGGAGUGAAAGGGUUCGGGGGUGAGGGUUAAAGAGAAAAAGAAAAGAGAAGAGAGAGAGAGAGAGAGAGAGAGAGAGAGAGAGAGGAAGUUAUAAUAAUAAAAAGAUAUGAAAAUAUCCCAAAAGGGAAAGGGGGAAUCCGGGUAGGGUGAGGGGAUAAGGGGCCAAAAUUUCAAUAUGGGUCCCCUUUGGUUCAUAGAUUAAGAACGUGAAAGACGCAAAAAAUCUGAAAACAUUCGACGUUCAGACGUAGAAUCUUCAUUAUAAAUCUAAUUUCUAAUCUGUUCAAGCCUACGCGCUCGUGGCGAUAAGUACGUUAAGAAUAAAUUAGUAACAUUAAAACUACAUGUUUCGACGAGGCAGUCAAACAAAGUCAACUCAAGGGUAAAAAGGUAAUUUCAUAAUUCUGGCAAUAUGAAAAUACACUAAAUUUGGGACGGGGUUUCACAUGGCUAAUAUGUCAGCAAUGACAUUCCUUUCUCGAAAUAUAUGAGAGCAAUGAGAAACCAUUUAUUGCAACUAGACGCAAAGUAAGAUAUCACACUAGAACAGUCACUUUCAAGUCAUAAAUUUUGUUAACCCCACACAAGAGCCAACUCCACAUCAAGGGUGACAGCAUGAAGCUUCGCAUAGAAAGAACUAUGAUGCCCCAAACUCAGGGAGAAAGCACCAAGAAAAUAACUCGCAGGAUCUCAAAAAGCCCCACCACUAGCCGCAAGAUAUGGUUACCUUUAGCAAGGCCAUUUGUAUUCAUUUUGGCUCAAGAAAAUAAAGAAAGAUGCCCAAAAAUAAGAACCCUAAAAAAAGCUUUACAAUACUCACCUAAGAUUCCAAAAGGUUAUCACCAUUCUACUCUUCACCAAUAAAAGUAGAGAGACGCUUUACAACUUUUAGUGUACCAAAAAUCACACACUUUUUAAUCAUACUUUGUGAUUAGAUUAACAUCAUCAGCGCCAAAACAGAAUCCCGGUCCAAUAAAUUUCAUUACAAUAAAAUUAGUUGAUGAUAUUUUCGAGACUUAUUCUAAAGCCGUGCGCAUGCCACCUAUUUGCAUUGGUUGACGCAUUUGUCUUCCAUGAACAAAAAGUUGAACUCUACAACAAAUAACAUGGGUGUUUUGUAUUGUAUUGUAUCGAACCCCCAACAUGGUAGCGAUCCAACUAAAGUAUAACUUACAUGUCAUAGUUACAUCUUCAUGCUGUGGUGAAGCUAUAAAGGAUCAAGAGGGGCGACGGCCCUCUCGCCAGAAAUUUAACCCAUAAGUGACUGUCAUCCCCUCGUAUGUUGUCAAAAAAACUGCAACUUGGUGAAGGCAUGCCUGCUAUUGUGUAGCCGCAUGUAGUGUAUUCUUCUAAGAAACCCAAGACCAAAACUUAAUGAACAUUGUCGUUUUGCCUUUGUGGUUUUGGAGAAUAAAAAAUAAUAACAAAAGAACGACCACUUGUCCGAGUGAGUUUUCAGUGUAACAGAUACAUGGAGUGAUAUAUCACGUGUCACUAUAUAAAUGGUGGGAUACGUAUGCUAAAAAGUUAAUAACUUAAAAAAUAAAAUUUCUCAUCACUUACAUAAAAACAAGUAGUGUAUCAUCCGUCUUUUAAUUACAAUAAAAAAUUUCUCCACUCGCCGCCCAUUAACUCUCACGCAUUUGAUACUGUAUCCAAUCCCCACUCCAGUGCCCUAUCUUCUGCUUUCUUUCUGUCCUAUUCUCUCAUUGAUUGAAGUGCAACAACUCUCAGCAUCCAUUUUCCUUUUUUGUCGCCAUUGCCAACCCCCUCAAAUGUAAACCUAAUUUUUUGAAAUUAAAUUAUUAGUUCCAAGAAUUUAAUAUAAAAUUUUGCUCAAUUAAAAUAGAAUUAUAGCGUAAUAUGAAUAUUAAUUAUUGAUAUGAACCAUGUGAUUAUUGUAGUAUCCCACAUCGACGACGUGAGGGCUGUCCUUGGGCCUUAUAUGUAUUCGCUCGCAGGUACUCUUCAGAGACGCGUUUUGGAGCUGCGGCUUGCAAAAACAAAUCCGUGAGUGGGGUCGGACCGGUGCGCCGGGUUCCACCACAAAGCGGACAAUAUCUCUGCGGAGGAAGGCGUGGUCUACUGUUUUUGGUAUCAGAGCCAGACUCACGGCCGUUCGGUGUGCCGACGAGGACGUCGGUCUCCCUAAGGGGGGUGGAUUGUAGUAUCCCACAUCGACGACGUGAGGGCUGUCCUUGGGCCUUAUAUGUAUUCGCUCGCAGGUACUCUUCAGAGACGCGUUUUGGAGCUGCGGCUUGCAAAAAACAAAUCCGUGAGUGGGGUCGGACCGGUGCGCCGGGUUCCACCACAAAGCGGACAAUAUCUCUGCGGAGGAAGGCGUGGUCUACUGUUUGGUAUCAGAGCCAGACUCACGGCCGUUCGGUGUGCCGACGAGGACGUCGGUCUCCCUAAGGGGGGUGGAUUGUAGUAUCCCACAUCGACGACGUGAGGGCUGUCCUUGGGCCUUAUAUGUAUUCGCUCGCAGGUACUCUUCAGAGACGCGUUUUGGAGCUGCGGCUUGCAAAAACAAAUCCGUGAGUGGGGUCGGACCGGUGCGCCGGGUUCCACCACAAAGCGGACAAUAUCUCUGCGGAGGAAGGCGUGGUCUACUGUUUGGUAUCAGAGCCAGACUCACGGCCGUUCGGUGUGUGUGCCGACGAGGACGUCGGUCUCCCUAAGGGGGGUGGAUUGUAGUAUCCCACAUCGACGACGUGAGGGCUGUCCUUGGGCCUUAUAUGUAUUCGCUCGCAGGUACUCUUCAGAGACGCGUUUUGGAGCUGCGGCUUGCAAAAACAAAUCCGUGAGUGGGGUCGGACCGGUGCGCCGGGUUCCACCACAAAGCGGACAAUAUCUCUGCGGAGGAAGGCGUGGUCUACUGUUUUGGUAUCAGAGCCAGACUCACGGCCGUUCGGUGUGCCGACGAGGACGUCGGUCUCCCUAAGGGGGGUGGAUUGUAGUAUCCCACAUCGACGACGUGAGGGCUGUCCUUGGGCCUUAUAUGUAUUCGCUCGCAGGUACUCUGUCAGAGACGCGUUUUGGAGCUGCGGCUUGCAAAAACAAAUCCGUGAGUGGGGUCGGACCGGUGCGCCGGGUUCCACCACAAAGCGGACAAUAUCUCUGCGGAGGAAGGCGUGGUCUACUGUUGAUUGUAGUAUCCCACAUCGACGACGUGAGGGCUGUCCUUGGGCCUUCCUCCGCAGAGAUAUUGUCCGCUUUGUGGUGGAACCCGGCGCACCGGUCCGACCCCACUCACGGAUUUGUUUUUGCAAGCCGCAGCUCCAAAACGCGUCUCUGAAGAGUACCUGCGAGCGAAUACAUAUAAGGCCCAAGGACAGCCCUCACGUCGUCGAUGUGGGAUACUACAAUCCACCCCCCUUAGGGAGACCGACGUCCUCGUCGGCACACCGAACGGCCGUGAGUCUGGCUCUGAUACCAAACAGUAGACCACGCCUUCCUCCGCAGAGAUAUUGUCCGCUUUGUGGUGGAACCCGGCGCACCGGUCCGACCCCACUCACGGAUUUGUUUUUGCAAGCCGCAGCUCCAAAACGCGUCUCUGAAGAGUACCUGCGAGCGAAUACAUAUAAGGCCCAAGGACAGCCCUCACGUCGUCGAUGUGGGAUACUUUUUUCCGGCGCACCGGUCCGACCCCACUCACGGAUUUGUUUUUGCAAGCCGCAGCUCCAAAACGCGUCUCUGAAGAGUACCUGCGAGCGAAUACAUAUAAGGCCCAAGGACAGCCCUCACGUCGUCGAUGUGGGAUACUACAAUCCACCCCCCUUAGGGAGACCGACGUCCUCGUCGGCACACCGAACGGCCGUGAGUCUGGCUCUGAUACCAAACAGUAGACCACGCCUUCCUCCGCAGAGAUAUUGUCCGCUUUGUGGUGGAACCCGGCGCACCGGUCCGACCCCACUCACGGAUUUGUUUUUUGCAAGCCGCAGCUCCAAAACGCGUCUCUGAAGAGUACCUGCGAGCGAAUACAUAUAAGGCCCAAGGACAGCCCUCACGUCGUCGAUGUGGGAUACUACAAUCCACCCCCUUAGGGAGACCGACGUCCUCGUCGGCACACCGAACGGCCGUGAGUCUGGCUCUGAUACCAAACAGUAGACCACGCCUUCCUCCGCAGAGAUAUUGUCCGCUUUGUGGUGGAACCCGGCGCACCGGUCCGACCCCACUCACGGAUUUGUUUUUGCAAGCCGCAGCUCCAAAACGCGUCUCUGAAGAGUACCUGCGAGCGAAUACAUAUAAGGCCCAAGGACAGCCCUCACGUCGUCGUCGAUGUGGGAUACUACAAUCCACCCCCCUUAGGGAGACCGACGUCCUCGUCGGCACACCGAACGGCCGUGAGUCUGGCUCUGAUACCAAACAGUAGACCACGCCUUCCUCCGCAGAGAUAUUGUCCGCUUUGUGGUGGAACCCGGCGCACCGGUCCGACCCCACUCACGGAUUUGUUUUUGCAAGCCGCAGCUCCAAAACGCGUCUCUGAAGAGUACCUGCGAGCGAAUACAUAUAAGGCCCAAGGACAGCCCUCACGUCGUCGAUGUGGGAUACUACAAUCCACCCCCCUUAGGGAGACCGACGUCCUCGUCGGCACACCGAACGGCCGUGAGUCUGGCUCUGAUACCAAACAGUAGACCACGCCUUCCUCCGCAGAGAUAUUGUCCGCUUUGUGGUGGAACCCGGCGCACCGGUCCGACCCCACUCACGGAUUUGAACAGUAGACCACGCCUUCCUCCGCAGAGAUAUUGUCCGCUUUGUGGUGGAACCCGGCGCACCGGUCCGACCCCACUCACGGAUUUGUUUUUGCAAGCCGCAGCUCCAAAACGCGUCUCUGAAGAGUACCUGCGAGCGAAUACAUAUAAGGCCCAAGGACAGCCCUCACGUCGUCGAUGUGGGAUACUACAAUCCACCCCCUUAGGGAGACCGACGUCCUCGUCGGCACACCGAACGGCCGUGAGUCUGGCUCUGAUACCAAACAGUAGACCACGCCUUCCUCCGCAGAGAUAUUGUCCGCUUUGUGGUGGAACCCGGCGCACCGGUCCGACCCCACUCACGGAUUUGUUUUUGCAAGCCGCAGCUCCAAAACGCGUCUCUACAGAGUACCUGCGAGCGAAUACAUAUAAGGCCCAAGGACAGCCCUCACGUCGUCGAUGUGGGAUACUACAAUCCACCCCCCUUAGGGAGACCGACGUCCUCGUCGGCACACCGAACGGCCGUGAGUCUGGCUCUGAUACCAAACAGUAGACCACGCCUUCCUCCGCAGAGAUAUUGUCCGCUUUGUGGUGGUGGAACCCGGCGCACCGGUCCGACCCCACUCACGGAUUUGUUUUUGCAAGCCGCAGCUCCAAAACGCGUCUCUACAGAGUACCUGCGAGCGAAUAUACAUAUAAGGCCCAAGGACAGCCCUCACGUCGUCGAUGUGGGAUACUACAAUCCACCCCCCUUAGGGAGACCGACGUCCUCGUCGGCACACCGAACGGCCGUGAGUCUGGCUCUGAUACCAAACAGUAGACCACGCCUUCCUCCGCAGAGAUAUUGUCCGCUUUGUGGUGGAACCCGGCGCACCGGUCCGACCCCACUCACGGAUUUGUUUUUGCAAGCCGCAGCUCCAAAACGCGUCUCUGAAGAGUACCUGCGAGCGAAUACAUAUAAGGCCCAAGGACAGCCCUCACGUCGUCGAUGUGGGAUACUACAAUCCACCCCCCUUAGGGAGACCGACGUCCUCGUCGGCACACCGAACGGCCGUGAGUCUGGCUCUGAUACCAAACAGUAGACCACGCCUUCCUCCGCAGAGAUAUUGUCCGCUUUGUGGUGGAAACCCGGCGCACCGGUCCGACCCCACCCCACUCACGGAUUUGUUUUUGCAAGCCGCAGCUCCAAAACGCGUCUCUGAAGAGUACCUGCGAGCGAAUACAUAUAAGGCCCAAGGACAGCCCUCACGUCGUCGAUGUGGGAUACUACAAUCCACCCCCCUUAGGGAGACCGACGUCCUCGUCGGCACACCGAACGAACGGCCGUGAGUCUGGCUCUGAUACCAAACAGUAGACCACGCCUUCCUCCGCAGAGAUAUUGUCCGCUUUGUGGUGGAACCCGGCGCACCGGUCCGACCCCACUCACGGAUUUGUUUUUGCAAGCCGCAGCUCCAAAACGCGUCUCUGAAGAGUACCUGCGAGCGAAUACAUAUAAGGCCCAAGGACAGCCCUCACGUCGUCGAUGUGGGAUACUACAAUCCACCCCCCUUAGGGAGACCGACGUCCUCGUCGGCACACCGAACGGCCGUGAGUCUGGCUCUGAUACCAAACAGUAGACCACGCCUUCCUCCGCAGAGAUAUUGUCCGCUUUGUGGUGGAACCCGGCGCACCGGUCCGACCCCACUCACGGAUUUGUUUUUGCAAGCCGCAGCUCCAAAACGCGUCUCUGAAGAGUACCUGCGAGCGAAUACAUAUAAGGCCCAAGGACAGCCCUCACGUCGUCGAUGUGGGAUACUACAAUCCACCCCCCUUAGGGAGACCGACGUCCUCGUCGGCACACCGAACGGCCGUGAGUCUGGCUCUGAUACCAAACAGUAGACCACGCCUUCCUCCGCAGAGAUAUUGUGUCCGCUUUGUGGUGGAACCCCGGCGCACCGGUCCGACCCCACUCACGGAUUUGUUUUUGCAAGCCGCAGCUCCAAAACGCGUCUCUGAAGAGUACCUGCGAGCGAAUACAUAUAAGGCCCAAGGACAGCCCUCACGUCGUCGAUGUGGGAUACUACAAUUAUUGAUGAGUAGAAUUUUUUAUUACUGAAAAAUUGAAUUCUUGAUUAUUGAUUAAUUAAAUUAUUGAUUAUUGAAUAAUCUAUACCUAUAUAAUUAUUGAUCCUGGUCAAUUGAAUUGAAAUUUGGUUUAUUGAAUAAUUUAUAUAGUUAUUGGUACUGAUUAAUUGAGUUGUUAGUUUAAUUAGUUAUUAGUCAUAUAGUAUACUCUCUCUAGGAUUAAGAGUCUAAGACUUAAUGGAAUGAUACUAUAAAAACCAUUGCUUAAAUCUCCCUUCAAAUAUUAUGGGUAGUCUACCUUCGAAUAUUCUAGGUAGUCCUUCAAGUAUUGAUACAUUACAGACAUUCCUAAUAUUGUCUAAUAUCUAUACAAAUUUGGUUGUCUACAUUUUUUUUAACCUUGCACUCUUUUAAAUUCGUCCGUCCCUCAAACAAUUCCUAACUUCGAUACUGUCGUCAUGUAAUACUUUUUGCUAAUGAAACAAAGGUAAUGAAAAGCUUAAAAAAUGAAGCCCAUUUCUUUGAAAUCCCACUAUAGUAAUGCCAAUAAAAAUAGAAAAUGGGAGAUAGAAAGUAAUAAGAAAAUGACUUGUAAAUGUAAAGCUAUAAGGUAUCAUACCCUGGAGAUUAUGAAAUAGCAAAAAAGUAAAAGUGACCGACAUACGAGGGAAAAACUUUUGUUUAACAUUUCCGGAAGGAUCACCUAUAAAUUUUUGAAUGAAAGUCAAGGUAGAGUCUUGUUCAGCUCUAUCCAUGCCACUGUUGGCUUCAAUGGUUUCUCAACUUCUCGAUAAUUAAGUGGAGGUUCAAAACUCAUACCCACAUACAAGUAGUUUCGGCAAUCCACUAAAAGGAGGGAACGAGUCGUGGUUGAUGAUACGAGAACUUAAAACCUCCAUAAGUAUCAAGGUUAGAACAUUCAAGUUCUAAGACAUAGUUUGGUUUAACAAAUUAAUUAUGGAGAACUUCAGGGUUCAACAUGAGUGGCGCGGUUUUAGGAAACACAAAAGGUUUCUAUGGCAAGACUCAAAAUUUCGGUUCGAAGUUUAGUAUGAACUUCAGGUUCAUUGUACAUGUAUUCUCAUAACAAUACAGUAGCACAAACAUACACAAGCAAUUCAAUUGAUAAACAUGUACAAUAAAAUUUCCAGAUAUAAUCCCCAUUUAAAGUCAUUAGUUUAAUUUAGUAUAUAACUUUGGAGCCUAUGUAUGGGGGGGUCUACCGGACUCGUCAUCGGGUAUUUCAAGCUUCAAGCCUAAUAGGUUGGGCUGCUGGCCUAUAAAAGACACAUCCGAUCAAUAGCAACAUGGCCAAGAUGAUGAGAUUUUGACACAUCCGAUCAAUCGUAUACACCGACAUACUAAAGAGCUCCACUGAUGUUAAUAUCAUCAUGCUAGCAAAGCAGGUCACCUUCAUAGAAACAAACUACAUCAUAUACCAUAGUGAAGGUACCCGGCCGAUCGGUUGUUGAUCGAGAAGUGCUUAUGGACCUGUUGGAUCUCAGGAGAAAGAAGCUCCUGCAGAGCACCUUACAUCUAAUUAAUCUACACCACUGCAUUCUUGGUUCAACAAUUUGCUCUUCCCAGAGAAGAGAAAAAUUGAAGCUACUCCUGCAUAACUAAAAUUUGAUUAAAUACCUAAACUUAUGCUUUUAAUUCUCUUACUUUAGAUCCAACUGCAGGAGAAGUAAAACUAACAGGGAUCAAAAGAAUCAAAGCAACUACAGGAGAAGUAUAACUUUUUACCCGACUUCAACUUGCCGCUACAUGUAGCCCUGAAAUUCUACAAGUACAAAAGCGAAUUAUCACACUGAAUUACCAGUAGUCAUGGAUCUUGGGUUCAUAAAAUACAUUUGCAAUCGAUUUAGAUACUACAGAGAAUGACCUUUAAAGACUACGGGAGACGACACUGAGUGCAGACUGCACUGUUAGUUAUGAUUGGCAGAAACCAAAUGGCUAAUCCAUCGUAUGCUUAGCAGACUAUUUCAGCAAAUAGGACGAUUGAGAAGAAUUCUGAUAAAUUGUAGCCUGAUUAGCCCUCAUCUAACUUCUAAUUCACAUGUUGGAAAACAAAAGAUUGCUUGCUUACAUUUUUCUGAAAAGUAGCACUUUCCAGCUAGAGCUACAUGGUAAAAAUACAAUGAUACAAACUCACUCCGAAUUUUGGAUGCCCAAACAUCGAAAACUUCAACAUGUAUUUGAAUCAACAUUUAAACAAAACAACAUAACCAAAUGUUCAGUGUGAUAAAUAAAACUUGGUAAAUUUCAUUGAUGACCCCUAAGAGUUGGUUUCCAUUUUGAUCCCUAAUCUUUAAUGUGCCAUUUUCCACCCUUCUACACAAUCUGCAGUUACCACAUAAAUGUAUGUGUCCUCUAUAAAUAAAAAAGAAAAAGGCUGGGCCUCGACUCUAGGGUUUCGGUAAGGUUCGAAUAGGUGAUAAACUAAAACUGUUAGCGGUAACAAACAGAUAAAAGUCAUAUAAAGGAAGCUACUUCGGCUCUGUACAAAAGAAUGAUAAAACAUCGGAUAGAAAUAUGAAUAACACAAAAAUUUGAAACCUGUAUCAUGAGAAUGAAUGUGAUAGGCAAAUGUAAAAGAGGUCUUUAAACUCAAAAGGAACCAAUAGUGGAAGUCCAAUGUUUUGAACAAGUUCACACUCUAUGUCAUUUUACCAUAUUAUUUCUUACAUCUUUUUAUUCCUGAUCACAAAAGAAAUUAUUAAACCAAUAGGCAAAGAUGUAAGAACACAAUACACAAAAUGCAUAAAAGCCACCCGUAUUUUCAACUUCGGAAGCUCAGAUUAUCAUUGAACUAUUCAAGGAGUAACUGCCUAAAUCAGUUGGACAUGGGAAGAGGUAUAUAUGAUUUUGUCACUAUGUUCGCAGAUUCACACAAAUUGCAAUACAAGAGGAAUCAAAUUGUUUCAUGAAAGCCUCGGGCAUUGGUGUCUUGCCAAAAAGAAGAAACAAAUAAAAACCAUUACAAAGUUUCAAGUUGAAAAGGCCAUGUAAAACAAAGUGAGACAGAACUUUAGAUGGUUCAAAACUUAUUAACCAUCUACAGUACCGACUUUUGUGAACAUUGCUGGUAAUGUCUUAAUUUCAAUAGAUUGAGUCCUAAUGCUCCCUUAGUCAGAAUAUCUCAGUUACAAUAUAAGAUUCAUUACAAUGUUUUAUUUCUGUUUAACAGAGUUUGUUUUAUUACCAAUGAUCCCUUAGUCAGAAAGUCUCGAUUAGAGCAUAAGGUUCACUAUAUUGUGUUCUGUAUUAUUAUACAAGUUUGUUUUAUUAUUGAAUUACAAAACCUACACGUUCAUGUGAUAGUAAAAUUAAUAAACCAGGAGAUGGAAGAUAGCAUGUAAAGAGAAACUUGUAUAUCCAUUCACACAAUACACAAAGACAUAAAGCUUUCAAAUGACCGAUAAACUAAGCUACAAGCUCAUUAUCAAAGAAUGCUACAACAAGAUACAAUCAACAGAAACCUCUCAAAAUAAACAACAUAAAAGGAGACACAACCCUCUACUCUACAAUACAACAGUGACUUCAUCAUGGGUCUAUUAAUUGCACAUAUAUAACCCAUUCUCAUACCUGUGAUUAACCUCAUAAAAGUCUGUAUUACCCUUGGAAGCUGGCCGCAAACAAACUCCAGACAAUGAUUUAGUUCCUUGCCAAGAAAACUUCACAUAAGCAACAACUUCAAUCUCCUCACUGCCAUCUCCUUCAUUAGAAUCCACAGGCAUCCUUGCCCUCAACCGACCAGGAGAUCCAUUCAACGGAAUCUCGGGGAUAUGCCAUUUCAGUUCUUUAUCAGACCUACUUAAUAUAGCUUUUGGUGAUACCUUCAACAAUGUAGGAUCAAGUGGGAGUUUUAAAACAAAUGUCACAUCAGUCAAAGGCGCUGGCAACUCAGGGUUUGACACAUACUGUAUCAUCACAGAAAGUAAGCUUCCUGUAUGGCGUUGCACAAGACGAACCCUCAAGGGCAAUGGUGUCAACCUGGGCAGCAGACUAUACUUCAAAAUGGGUAAAGGCUCAUCGGAGGCUGCGGUCCUCACAUGAAACAAUCCGUUCCCCAGACUACUAACGCGAGAAUUCUGCAUAAUAAACCUCUUAACCGGGCUGGUUCCCUCAACCCGGAAAGAAAAUUCGGUCUCUUUAUCACCACUAGUUUUGGUAGGCAAAGUUCUCAAAUAAACAACACCCAUUAAUCCCACUCUAGCAAGCAAUGACUCUCUAAACUCAGCACUGAUCUCUUCCACAACGUGCAUCUCAGGACCCUUCAUUUCACUUUUUACAAGGGUAUCAAGGGGAGUACCUGCUGCUGCACCACCGGCAGUGGCAUCAGCAGUUUUUGGAGCAUCAGGCCCGGUCUGCAACAAUUCAAGCCCGCCCAGCCCUUCUUUCUUCGCAACCUUCUUCGAUCCAACAAACUCAGAAGCAUCCAACCCACCUCCCCAAGCAUCACUAAACCCUUCAAAAGUCUCACCCAAAGAAGCUUGGUCAUUCCCAAACUCAAUCCCACCAUACUCCCCUUCAAACCCUUCCACCGCAAUAUGGGUACUCUGGGUCGCCUCUGCCGGAGGCAAUGUAGUCACUUCAAGUGUCGCCAGCGCUGUUGUUAGGUCCGUGGCGGAAGGAUCCUUGUUCUUCUUGAACCCACUCACCAGCUCUUCAGGCUGAUUAAUCUUCUCGCUUGCCGCAAAUGGGUCCUUCUCAGCUUGGCUCUCGUCCUCAUUCUCUAAAUUCUGAUCCUUCUCCUCACUCUGCACCACCGGCGCCAAGCUAGCCGCCACCUCAUCUCCAGCAGCGAUCGUCUCCGGCGGCAAUUCAAACCCUAAAUUGUUGAACGCCACAAUGCCCGCCUCGUGUUCGACGGAAAGCGCCUCAACGGCUCUCCAAUUCUCCGCCCCACGGAUCUUGUUCUCAGUGUCCAACGCCGAGUGCACCAUCUUGGCAAUGCCGUCGCCGUGCAUCGACGAAAGCAUCGCCGCUAAUCGAAUAUUGCUGACACCUCUCAGAACAAUGUCGAGAGCCAUGUAGAUCUCGGCGGCGUACUUCCGACUCAGCUUCUCCGGAGUAACAUCGACGCCGCGGCAAGCGGUGACUAUGACGCUGACGGCCUGGUUGACGAUGUGGAUGCACUCGAAGACGUUGAUCGAGUUGUCGUGAUCGGCGGUGGUGACGCCGAGGACGUAGAUGGAGUUGACGAGGCGGUAGACGACCCGGUACCGAGAUUCGACACCCACGAUGAGCUGGCCACUCGAGGCUGCGAGUGGGUCGUCGCCCGAGGGAGGCGACGGAGUCGGCAGUGGUAUCGGAGGAAGAGUCAGAGUGGCUGUGGGAAUUGUCUUUGGUGGUGGGGAGUUGUUGCUGCUUGGCGGCGGCGAAAGCUAGGCGGGUCUGGCGGAAGGAGGAGACGGCGACGAGGGCCCGGGCAGGCGGGAACCAUUCUCGGGUUUGGAGCAGGAUGUCGGAUCCAUUGGCGGGUUGAAGAGAGAGGGCUAAGCAGGACAUGGUGUGAUCGGAUCAAGGUCGGAUCGGAUCCAGGGUCUCGGGUUGCGACGUUUUGCUUUGCUGUGAUUCCGUGAAGUUGCGAGAGAUGAUGACUCGGUGAGACUCCGGUGGGGAAAGCUCACAGUUUGAUGGGGAAGACGGUGGUUAUGGGCCA
rnacentral:lncRNA from 1 species